rnacentral:lncRNA from 1 species
UUAUAAAAUGCAUUAGUAAUGACUACACUUUUAGAUACAACAAGUUUCUUCAUCAUUUUUAUGUGGCCUUACUUUUGUUUCUUUUUUACUUAUGAGCUUGAUUCUCUACAACUCACUUAUGCACUCCUUUGAUAAUAUAUCAUUAGCAUUUUAUUUAUGAAUGUUGAUGUUUAUAUGAACUUUACUAAUUUUUAGUGUUUUUAUUAGCUCUCGAUUCUCUCGUACAUCAUUAUAUACUAUGAAUACACUAUGCAUACAACAUCAUUAUGUUGUUUUAACUAAUGUUUAAUUAUCAUGUGUGUUUUCUAUCAAGUAGUUCUUUAUCUUUUGUUAUGUAUCUACACCUUUACAUACAUUAACUUUCUUCAUGAUUUUUAUGUCAAAAAUUAGUCUUUCAACAUUGAAUCAAACUCAAUAAUAAGAUAAUGCCUUUACAUUAUGAGGUGUUUUAGUUAAUAACUCCCCUCUAUAAAAUAAGUCUUUUCACAUAUCUUUUUUUUAUUAAAAAAACCUUCACAUUUCUUUACAUUAUGUGCCAACUUUAAAUAUAAUUUUAUUUUGUUGUUAUAUUCAUUGCUACAAAAAUUUGUUCAUUCAAAAUAUAAAUUUUUAUCAUUACGGAUAUUGUUCAUUUCGCCUGUUUAUAUUGAUUACUUAUGAUCAUUAAUUUAUUUAUGAGUUUGAAAGAAUUUUUUAUAUAUCAGUGUCAUGUUGAUAUCUUGCCCCUUUGACAUGAUCAAGGAUUUGAACGAGUCUAAACACCUUUGGAAGAUUGCAGUUAGGAUAAUAGAUUUGUAUAGAUUUACUUAAGAGUAUAUUUUUUAUUCCAGUUGUGAUGUGGAUAGAUUUGUAGAUUUAUUUAAGAGUAUAUUUUUUAUUGGAAAAUUUAACAUUUUAUUCCAUUGUAUUUAAGACUUUCAACUUUGACUAGAAAAUUCAUUACCACCAUCAAGUGCAUUUGUUAUGUGAUUUUCACAUGUAGUGAAUGGAAAGGUUUAAUGUGACCCUUUAACCAUAGGGCUCUCCUAGCUAGAUUAGUUUUUGUUUGCUUUAUUUCUCAUAGAUUUAGUUUUUUUGAGCUAUUGUAUUUUGUUGGUUAACCUUAUGGUACAUUGAGUUAACUCAUGGUUAAUAUGUGUAUUAUAAUAUCAUACUAAGAUACAUAAUAUAAAUCAACAGGAUAAAACCAAAAUUAACUAUAUUUCUAAAAAACUUGAAUACACAAAUAGUAACCUUCCAAAAAUGAUUAUUUCAACUAUUAAUAUAAUUUCAAUUAAAGUUAUUUCCAAUUCCUUUAUUUUAGGCAAUGCUAAUUAUAAAAAUAAAUUUAUAAUAAUUUUUUGUUUAAUUCUAAAAUAACUUAUAAAAAUAUGUAUAACUCAAAGUAAAUAUAUAUUCUGAUAGAACUUCAAUAACAUAGACGAAUAAAAUAAAUUCAAACAACGAAAAUAUUAAGUGAAAUAUGUUUAUUAUAAAAGUUACAGUUUAUGUUAGAAAACAAAAUGUAAAAAACAAUAAUAACUCCCUCAUGUAAAGGUUGAUUUAUUGACAUUAUUAGAUAAUGAAAUUAUGAUAAAGAUUAUCACAUUGUAUUCAUUGAGGAUAAUAUUUUUCUAAAUAAUAGAAAUGAAACUUCAAUUUUUUGAACAUCAUUUUUUAAAAAUAAAGCCUUUAAAAAAUCACAAUGUAUUAUUGGCCCUAAUAGAGAAAAACAAUAAUUUUGGCUUAAAAAUAAUCAUAUGUUUGAUUUGAUUUAAUUGUGAUAAUGAAAUUAAUUCUAUUAAAAGCAAUCAUGAUAUACAAAGGUGUAUGUAUUAUAAAACAUAUUUGAUUUAAUUUUGUUUGAAUUAUUUAUGAUUCCUUAAUAUAGGCAAUGCUCAUUGUGGAGAAUUUUUUAUAGUAUAUUUCAUUCUAAUAUUGCAAUGUUAAUAUUACAGUCAUCAAUUUGUUAAUUUAGGCAAUGAUCAACCUUAUGUGCCUACAAUAUUCAUUAAUUUGUUUUAUAUUCAUUGUAGAUCAACAACCAUCAUUCUUCAUGGCAUUGGGAAAAUAAACAUGAUGGAUCCCAAGAAUGUCGUCCCAACAACUUUAACCACUUUAAUUACAUUCACUUAUAUUUUAGCUAAAUAUAUUUAUAUCGUUAAAUAAAUUCUUUUAGUGACAAUUGAUUUUUUUAACAAUCCAAGCAGACAAGUUUUCCAUGUCCUUUAUGUGAUUGGAAAAAUCAUAAUUUGAAAUUGAAACUGUUCAUUAAGGACAUAUGACUUUUCAAACGAAAAACAUAGUCAAGUGUAAGGUUUUUUUUUGUAUAAGUCAAUUGGGAUACUUGAAUUAUGUAAUUGUUCUAAUAAGAAAAUUGUUAUUAAAUCUAAAUACUAGCAUUCUAUUUUUUUAUUAUUUUCUCUUCUCCUAUCUAUGUACUUCCCUACCUAAUCGCAUAUACAUAUUCACAAAAACAUGAUUUGUGUCAUCUAUUAAUUGCAAAUGAUCGAUUAAUAAUAAAUAAACAAUUAAUGGAAACAUAGUAAAUUAAUAGGUAGAUGAUAUUUGUUUUCUUAUUUAUGUUGAUGUUUAUUUUAACGUUCUUGCGAGAUUCAAGUGAUUAAUGAACGAGGUAUUAUCGAUAAAGUUGGGUUCUAGCUCUUAAUGUAUUAGGAGAUGUAGGACUUGGAUGUUUUUUUAUAUCACAAAAUAAAUUAAUUUUUGUUAUUGGCUUUGAACAAAAUGGUAAAAAUAAGAUACGAAGAAUGGAAGAAUGAUUAAUAAAGUAAUUGAAUAUUUACUUACUAACUAAUUUACCGUGUGUUGAAUUAGGAAAUUUGUAAAUUAAAAAGUUAUUGAUGAUGUUUUAUGUCUUGUUCUUUAAAACAAGAGGUUCUAACCCAUAUUAUUUAAAAAGUUAGUUAAUACUAAAAGUUCUAGGCCAUAUUAUUCGACCACAAUAAUCCAACAGAAAAAAUAAGCAUAGAAAUACACACGAAAAUAUACAUAUACUCCAAGCCAUAGAAAUAGUGUCGCAUUACAACUUUUCUGUUGCGCCAAGCCAUAGGUCACGUUUUUAUAUUGUUCAAGAUUUCGUGUAGUGUCCCUUAUAUUCAUUCCCUUGUGUUUAUUCCCUGCACUUCAUAUACUAUAAAAGUAAACUAGUUUGUUUUAUAUAAAAAUGUUAAUAACAUAAUAUAACAAAAUAAUAAAUUCCUAAUAUAAAUAGAAAAUGGUCUCUGUAUUAUAUUAAAAAGUUAAAAAAUAGUACAUAUUACUUAUUCCACUUUUAAUUAAUAAUGUAAUACACUAUAACAAUAAUAAUAAUAAAGGAAUAAUAUGUUCGAAUAAUAUCUUAAUUAAAAAAAUUAUGCAGUCUUUAUUGUCCGGCAAUGAUUCACAUUGUCCCUAUCUUUUCUAAAUAUGGGAAGAAGGUCUACGAACAACAUUAUCUCUUUAAUAUUAGAUCCAUUAAAUUAAACAAAAAUAUAUUUUAAAUAUUUUCAAAUUAAUACAAAUAAAAUGUUUUUGAGAUUUGAUAGCAAGGUUACGAUUUAUGUCACAUUUUUCUAUCCAUUCGAACCAAGAAGCCGUUCUGGUCAUUAGUACUAUCUAUGUUAUCUAUCAAAGCAUGAAGAGGAUAAAUGAUCAAUGUCGACUCUUCGUCUAUUAAUACGCCUUCAAUCAACUUUAGUUAAUUUUCUAAAAUUUAAUUAAAAAUCAACUCAACUAAAACAAUAUUUUCAAAUUAAUAAAAAAACAAACCUAUCAACAAUUAUUUUUUUAAUACCAGAACUAUGUAGUCUUCAUUCCUUAAUGCAUAUAGGAUACAUAUGACCAAGAUUAGUUCUUGCCAGACACAAAAAUAAAAAAUAUUUUUUUGUUGUUUUAGAAAUUUAAUAAAAUAAUUUAGGGUAUUUAUUCCAUGCAAUUAGCUAGGGUACCGUUUUAUUACGGUCGGACGGGGUGCUAAUACCUUCCUUUUUAGGUAAUCAACUCUCAAACUCAUAAUUCUGAUAUAAAAUGCCAUUUUAUUCUAAAUUAGGCUUAAAUUGAGUUUUUCUCGUUUUCACCACACAAAAAAGUGGUGGCGACUCUAAAAGAUCUCGCUUUCUUUCCUGGACUAUAAAUAUAGCAAAUAAGAAAUGACAUAUUUUUUCAUCAAACAAAGUAUUUUAAGGAGCUAUUAAAAAGAUUUGGCAUGGAUAAAGGAAAGGAUACUUCCACACUAACGGCUAAUUCAUGCUAUCUUGAUCAAGAUGAGGAAAUACAAAUUAUUGAGGUAACUAAAUAAUGUGGUAUGAUAGGAUCUUUACUUUAUCUAACUACAAGUACACCUAAUAUUAUAUUUAGUAUGUGCAUGUGUGCUAGAUAUCAAGCUAAUCCUAAAGAAUCACAUCUCAUGGCUACUAAAAUAAUAGUGAAAUACUUGGAAGGAACUUUAAGCAUGAAAUUAUGGUAUCCUUGGGAUACAUGAUUGACUUUAAUAGGUUAUUCUGAUUUUGAUUUUUCUUGAAGUAAGAUGGAUAGGAAAAGUACUCAUUGUACUUGUAACAUGUUAGGUAGCUCACUAGUAUCAUAGUAAACUAAAAAGCAAGCACAUGUUGCUCUUACAACCACUGAAGUGGAAUAUAUUAUCGCAUGUGUGUCUUGUGCUCAAAUAUGUUGGAUGAAUCAACAAAUUUUAGAUUUUGGUAUUGUGCUUGAAAUAAUACCUAUUAAAUGUGAUAAUGCUAGUUCCAUAAAUCUGUCCAAGAAUCUUGUUUGGCAUCCUCGCACCAAGCAUAUAGAAAUAAAACAUCAUUUCUUAAGAGAUCAUAUUCAAAAAGGUGAUUAUGUUAUUGAAUUUGUUGAAAAUUCAAAACAACUAGUUGGUAUUUUCACUAAACCCCUUCAUAGAGAUACUUUGUUUGUAUUAAGAACAGAACUAGGAAUUCUUGAUUAAUCAUAUAUUUUUUAGUGGUAUCAAAGUUGUGUUAAAAAUCAUGAAUCUUUUUUAUCUUUAUUCAAAUCUUAUCUUGUUUGCUUGAAUGCAUGCCAUAAUUUCUUAUAUGUAUUAUUAUUUGAUUAGGUAUCCUUUUAUGAUAUUGGUCAUUAUAUAGAGUAGGUUUUGUCUUGUCAGAUGUUAGCAUUCCCUAAGCAAAGAUUGAAAUGUGUUGAUUUUUGUGAAAGAAUUGCGAUAAUCAAGUAUUAUCUUAGUUAAUCGAUUACUUGAGCUUAUUUUAAGUAUCUUAAUUGAUUACCUGAGAACAACUUGUAAUUCACGUACUCGAUUAAACUUACCCUUAAUCGAUUAUCUGGGCAAAAAAAUUCAUUUUGUUAAUGGAUUAACACUACACUUAAUCGAUUAAGCAUAGUUCCAUUAAAAGUGAUUAAAUAUGAAUUUCAAAACCUUAGAAAUUUAAUAUUUCUCUAGAAAUCUUCCCUAACCUCAAAUAAUCUAUAAUUGUGUCAAAUUAAGAACAACAUUAUCUAUUUUCAUCUACUCUAUAUCUAUUACCCUCGUAUUCCAUUAAUUUCCCCUUAAAAUCACAAUACAUAUAAUUUUCCUUCUUUAGAAAUCCUAACCCCAAUCUAAUCAAUUGAUUAAAGUAAUUGAUUAUCCAUCAAUUAAGUUGUAAUUAUGAGUGAAGAAAGGCCAAAGAGAAUGAAGACCACUAAUGGGAUUAACUGAUCUUAUCAUCAUCCUAGACAUAUCAAAAAUGUGGAUAUGGAUGCUUCAUCCUCUGCUCUAGGUGGUAGAAACUUCAUUGGGAUUGAUCCCUACUACUCUUCGGCUCUAUAAGUUGAAAGAAUAUGAAAGUUCGUCAGUCAAGGUGACUACAACAAUAAGUUGUGGAGCUCGUAGGAUUCGGUUGAAAUGUAUAAGUCAUGCCUAAGAGGACCACACUACCAUGUGUGUCGCGUCCCGAUUUUUGGCUACACGACUUUAUUUAGAGUCGCCGCUACAUUUUGUAGUUAAAAUUGUAGAAAAAUAUUUUAAGCCAAUUACCUUGGGCUUUUGGAUUUUUGAUAUUCAGGUUCAAGAAUCGGUUACAAGGUAGGGAAGGUAUUAGUACCCUACCCGACCACCUGAAGUAGUACCCUUCAUUAAAAUAUGACUUUAUUAUUAUUAUUAUUAUUAAAUUAUCUGGUUAAUUAAUUAAUUAUUAAAAGGAACAAAUUUACUUAUUUUUAUUAUUGUGCCUAACAAGAUUGACCUUGGUCCUACAUAUCCAUAUUAAGGGAAUCAAGGCUUAUCUAGUUCUGUAGGUAGAAAAAGGUUUGAUGGUUGAUUGUAUUUUAAUUAAGGAAAAUAUAUUUUUGAGUCAAAAAUGUUUAUUUGCAUGUUAAUUUAUUGGUAAAAAAAAGUUUUUAUUUGGUUAUUUUUUGUCAUUUAUUUAAUAAGAGAAUAUAAUUUAAUCGAUUCUGAGAUUUAAUCGGUUGAAGAGAAGCGGCGUAGCGUGAUCUUUCAAAGAUGAUUUGAGAAGUAAGGGACAUUUGGGGCGACCUUCUCACCCUCUUUGGUUAAUUCUCAAAAUUAUUUUAUUUUUUGAAAAGUAAUUAUUGUCAUAUUUUAUUUAUAAAAUUAUUCAAUUUUUUAUUAGUCACAAUUCUAAUUAUUUACAUAAAAGACUUUUAUAAGUUAUAAAAAAGGUUUGAUAAAUUGGUGGAUAUAUGAAAAUUAUUGUUUGUUUUGCUACUUUUACCAUGUUAAAAUAUAUUCUAUUAAAUCAAAUAAUUUCAUUAAUAGUUACUUUAUUUUAUUUAGUGGAAUAUUAUAAAUAAAUUUCAAAAAAUAAUGACACAAAAAAACUGUUUCGAUGACCUUUUUACAAAAGAAUAUGAAUUCUUUUUGUCUAUGGUGUUUGUUCCUACUUUCAAGAAAAUUAUGAUUUAACAAAUAUCAUUAUUAUUGGAUCUCUACAUCGUACAAUAAAUAAAUUAUUUAUAGGAAAAUUAUUUUUACAAACAUAAUAUAAAAAUUAUGAUAUAACAAAAUGGUAACUAGAUCAAAUAGAGACAAACCUGGUUACAAAGGAAUUAACUUUUUAGCACUAUAGGGAAAUAGAUCAUGUGUUGCAGUAUGGAAAGUAUUCAUCAGUAGAACAAAUUAGAGCUAGCUAUGUGGCACGCUAGGAUUAGAGCAAGCUACGUUGAUCAACUCUCAUAUUUCUAGACGAGAAAUAAAGCUAUACAUUUUUGUAGAAUACCAUUUAUUGCUACAAGCUUACAAUAACCUAAUAACCCAAUGCCCCAAUACUUGAAAAAACUCCGAAAGCGAAAAAAGACUUUAGCAAUGGAAAAUAGUAAUUUUUAGUACUUUUUUGGCGUUUCUUGGAAUUGCUUUCUUUUGGGUAUUUUUUUGGAAUGUUGGGAGUGAUGCCUUCUUUUUUAGAGGUCUUUUGUCAGAAAGAGUUUUUCUUGAGAGAGCCUGUCUUUAGUGUGAAAUCUCAUCAUUCUUUGGUGAAUAAGACACUCUAUUUAUAGACUAUGACUUAUUACAUGUGUCUAAUGAGGAGAAUAUCUCCCAUUAAUUGAUUAGAGGAGGUUAAGGGAAAUAAAUCAUAUUUGCAACAUAAUGAAAUUGAUUUGAAAUUUGAUUUGCUUAUUCUCAUAUUGCAGCCUUAAUUUACUUGAUUCCAAAUCUCUAAAUAUUUAAUUUUUCAUCGAAUCAAAUCUCUAAAGAUUAGUUAUUAAAAUUAAAAUUAUUUGUGCAACACAAUCAGAUUGAUAUAAAACUUUCCAAUCUUAAUUUGAUUUGCAUAGUUCCUAAUUGUGAUCUUUAACUUAUUUGAUUGAUUUGCAAACUUGAUUUAUUUGAUUCCAAAUCACUAAAUAUUUAAUUUUAUAAUCAAAUUGAUUUGUGCAACACAAUUUGGUUGACAUAACCUUUCUAAUUUGAUUUGAUUUGCGUAUUUCGAUAUCGCAAUCUUGAUUUGAUUUUUGAAUCCUUAAAGAUUUAGUUAUUAUCAAUGUGAUUCAUGCAACUAAUCAAAUGGAUAUGAUGUGAUUCAAAUUACAUAUUUUCAAAUCUUAAAUUUAUAUGAUAAUACAAUCAAAUCUUUAAUUCACUCAUCUUUUAUUUUUAUUUAUUUAUAAUUAUUAUUUUUAGAAUAACUCUAAAAAAUCAUUUUUUUUAGAAUUCAAGUACUUUAAACUUAAAUUUUGGUUAACGUAAUCACUUAGAUUUAGGAACCUUAACAAAUGGUUUAGUCUAAUUAUUUUAAAUUUGAAUUUUGGUUAACCCAAUCAUUUAGAUUUUGGAACCUUAACAUAACAGGUUUAGCUUUAUUAUUUUUAGAAAAAUAUUUUUGGAAUUCUAUUAUUUUUUAUUUAAAAAAGUUUUGGGCUUUUUUUGGGCCGUACAAAAAUGAGUGUUCACAACUGCCCCUCUUUACUUGUUACUUACCUGAUACCAAGCAAACUGAAGUUUGAGAGGUAUCAUGGUAAGUAACUAGUAUAGAAAUGAACGCUUUUUGGUCAAGGCUCAAAAAACGUCCUUGAGGAGAUUUGAUGAAGCAAAUCAAUGCUCAACUGGUGGGCCAAGGAUUUGUUGAGGCAGUUCCCGCGCUUGUUGUGAUGAACCAGGGAUUUAUUAACGCAGUUCCCGUCUUUGCUGUGAUGAACCAGGGAUUUGUUGAGAUAUUUCUCACAUUUGUCGUGAUGAACCAGGGAUUUGCUGAGGCACCCGCAUUUUCCGUGAUGGACCAGGAAUUUUUUGAGGCAAUUCCCGCGUUUACCAUGAUGGACUAGGGAUAUUUUGAGGCAGUUCCCGCAUUUUCUGUGAUGAUUUAGGGAUUUUGCUGAGACACCCGUACUGCCAUAAUGAUUCAGGGAUUUGUUGAGACACCCAUGCUGCCAUAAUGAUUCAGGGAUUUUUAAAUGCACUCAUGCUGCCAAAAUGAUUCAAGGAUUUGCUGAGGCACUCAUGCUACCAAAAUGAUUCAGGGAUUUGUUGAGGCAAUCAUGCUGCUAAAAUAAUUCAGGGAUUUACUGAGGCACCCAAUGCUAACAAAAUGAUUUAGGGAUUUGUUGAGGCAUCAAUGCUUCAAAAAUUAUUCACAGAUUUAUUAAGGCACUCGUGUUGCCUUAACGAAGCACAGAUUUCUUGAGGCACCUAUGCUGCCAAAAUGAUUCAGGGAUUUGUUGAGUCACUUGUGCUGCCAAAAUGAUUCAGGCAUCUGCUGAGGCACUUGUGCUGCCAAAAGCAAUCAGGGAUUUGCUGAGGCACCCAUGUUGUCGUAAUGAUUCAAAGGUUUGCUGAGGCACUAAUGCUGCCAUAAAGAAUAAAGGAUUUGGUGAGGCACCUGUGCUGCCAAAAUGAUUCAUGGACUUGCUGAGGCAUUUGUGCUGCCAAAAUAAUUCAGGGAUUUGAUGAGGCACCCAUGCUACCAAAAUGAUUAAGGGAUUUGUUGAGACACCUGUGCUGCCAAAAUGGUUCAAGGAUUUGGGGAGGCACCCAUGCUGCCAAAACGAAUCAGGGAUUUGCUGAGGCACCCGUGCUGCCAAAAUGAGUGAGGAAUUUCCUGAAGCACCCGUGCUGCCAAAAUGAUUCAGGGAUUUGCUGAGGCACUCAUGCUACCAAAAGGAAUUAGGGAUUUACUGAGGCACUCAAGCUGCCAUAGUGAUUCAGGGAUUUUUUGAGGCCCCAUGCUGCCAUAAUGAUUCAGGGAUUUGUUGAGGCAUCCAUGCUGCCAUAACGAUUCAGGGAUUUGCUGAGGCUCCUAUGCUGCGAUAAAGAAUCAAAUAUUUGUUGAGGCUACUAUUCUUCCAUAAGGAAUCAGGUAUUUGCUGAGGCACCCAUGCUGCCAUAAAGAAUCAGAGAUUUCUUUAGGCACACAUGCUACCAUAAAUAUCAGGGAUUUGCUAAGGCACCAAUGUUGCCAUAAUGAAUCAGGGAUUUUCUGAGGCAUCUAUGAUUCCAUAAGGAAUCAGGGAUUUUUUGAGGCACUCGUGCUGCCAUAAGGAAUCAGGGAUUUUCUGAGGCACUUGUGUUGCCAUAAGGAAUCAGGGAUUUGUUGAGGCACCCAUGCUGCCAUAAAGAAUCAGGGAUUUGCUGAGGCACCCGUGCUAUCAUAAAGAAUCAAGGAUUUGCUGAGGCACAUGUGUUGCCAUAAAGAAUCAAGGAUUUGUUGAGGCCCUAAUGUUGCCAUAAAGAUCAGGGAUUUGUUGAGGAACCCGUGCUGUCAUAAAGAUCAGGGAUUUGCUGAGACACCCAUUUUGUCAUAAAGAAUCAGAGAUUUGCUGAGGCACCAGUGCUGCCAUAAGGAGAUUUUUUUGUAAAGCUAGAAAAUUCACUCGAGGAAUGUAAUGUUUCGCAUUGAUUGUUAAAGCAUACAUUGUAUAGAAAUGUAUGUUGAGAUGUACGAUAUGCAAUUUUUGGUUUGUUUGUUUAUGUUUAUUAGAGGAAUGAUGGAGAGAUGCAUGUUUGAAUGUUUGGUUAAAUGUGAUAUAAUGUUUUGGUUUUUUUGUCCUUAUUGGAAAAGUGAUGUAGAGACAUAUGUUUGAAUGCAUAGUUCUAUAUAAUGCAAUGUUUUGUUUGUUUUUUGUGCUUAUUUGAAGAAUAGUGUAAAGAUGUAUGUUUGAAUGCAUGAUUAUAUGUAGUGCAAUGUUUUUUUUGUUUGUGUAUGAUUAUUGGAAUAAAAAUGUAGAGGUGUAUGUUUGAAUGCAUGGUUAAAUACGAUGAAUGUUUUUUUUUUUGUGCUUAUUGGAAGAGCGAUGUAGAGACAUAUGUUUGAAUGCAUGUUUAUAUGUAAUGCAAUGUUUUGUUUGUUUUUUGUGCUUAUUGGAAGAAUAAUGUAAAGAUGUAUAUUUGAAUGCAUGAUUAUAUGCAAUGCAAUAUUUUGUUUGUUUGUUUAUUUGUGCUAUAAUAAUUAAUGUAUGAAUGUGACUAUGCAUUGAUAGAUAUAGUUAUGAUGUAAUGUAUGUAUUAUAUGAGUAUUAUAUGUUUUGUUUGAAUGUAAUUGAACUCAUGCACCAAUGUUCUAAUGUAUCACUCGUGAUUCUUUGGAUGGAACUCAUCAACUUUUGUAGACUCGAUUGAAGCGACCUUUGUUAUCUUCUAUUGAGUGGCACCAUAAAUUUUCACCCAUCAAAAUCUGCCACACUUUACUUGAAGAUACUUUUUUUAAGGUGAUCCGUGUUGAAACGCGGUGUAUCGAUUUUUAUUUUAGUUGGGAGUUUUCUCCUCUCAACAAAUUGUCCUGACAGUAGUGUCAAUUUGUUGAAAGAUUAAUACUCUCAUUUUCGUGAUGUUCUUUUUUAUUCGAUUAAGAGAACUCGGUUUUACUCUUUGUUCACCAUCUCGGCUUUGUUGAAAUAAAUUCCAAAACCGGUAUAAUGNNNNNNNNNNNNNNNNNNNNNNNNNNNNNNNNNNNNNNNNNNNNNNNNNNNNNNNNNNNNNNNNNNNNNNNNNNNNNNNNNNNNNNNNNNNNNNNNNNNNAACAAAUUUAGUGACCUUUUAUUUAUUUACUCCCUUUCGGAUUCAUUUUAUUAACAAACCAAACUUCUUCCUUAAGGAAGGUUGGUAUUAAAGAAUAAAUAAAAUGCGAAAAGUAAAUAACAAUAAAUAAAAGUUAGUAAGUUAGUUCAUCACUUUUGUAUAUUAAAAGGUGUUUUCAACAAAUAAAUUUAUUGAUAACACUUUACUAUUUUACAAUUUACACCUCUUUCAAGAUUCGAUUGUAGCAUAGUAUAGGGUGAUGUCGAACCACAGUGAAUUGUCUAGUAAAAUAAAUCAUGUAAACAUGUCAAAGCACAAAUAAUGGUUUAAACAUAUUUUGGUUGGUUUUGUAUUGAAUUGGAUAUAAACAAGUAAAUAAUAAACAUAAAACUAAAUAUUAACAAAUUCUUGAGUAGACAAAAUCUUUUUGAAGAAGGAAAAUAUAUUUCUCAUCUUCUUUUUUGAGUUUGAACUACUUAGACAAGUUCUUAUGUUUUACUUUGGUUAACCCCAAACACCAAGGUCUGAAAUCCUCCUUUUAGUGUAUAUCCUAAAAUGGUAGAAUCCUAAAUACUUAUAUUCAUCACUUAAACUAUACUACGACCAAAAAAGAGAUUAGGUUGUCACACCAUAACCAUUAGUGACUUUAAUAUUGAAUGAGUGAUGAAUGUAAGAUCUUAAGAAAAGCCUGCUUAACUUGGCAAAUAAACUAAGUAGUACAACUACUCCAAAGUUUAUUUGUUAAGUGCUUGAGACAAGUAGUUUUGACUUGAAAUCAUUUUUAAGUGAUCAAUUAAAAAGAGCAUUAAGCACUUCUCAAACAAAUAAUCUUAACCAAAGCACCAACUUGAAUGAUUAAAAUCCAAACUUUUGAAAUUGAGAAGAAGUAAAAAUGACAUAACCUUGUUCAAAAGAAAAUGUUUAGGAGCAUGAGCCAUCCAUCCAAGGAUUGGAUGCUUUUGAGUUCCAAAUGAGAGUACAAAAUUGAUUUUUGUAUCUCAUUUUCCUUCUCCUUUUCUCCUCUUGAAUUACAUGAAAAACUACUCUAAAACUUACUUGAAAAUGAAAACUCUAAACUAAGAAAUGAAGAAAGGACUUCAAAAUGACAGAAUUCCUUCUUUCAAGUGUGUUUCAGAGCAUUUUAUGAUGAAAUGCUCAAUUACAAUUUGUGUUGCUCGAAGGAAAUGGCCUCUAUUUAUAGGCUCCAUUCCAGACCGCUGAGCUGCUGAGCUGGACCGCUCAACAGCUGACCAAACCCUUCAGCAUGGGUUUGGUCCUUUGACCAAGUAGCUUACGCACCUUCUUGUGCAUGACUCAUCAAAGCUAGUUGUGGGCUAUGAGACCAGCUAUUGUGAGCUACUUCUGAAAAUCCUAUGGUAGGCUACUAGAGGUGAGGUCAUGGAUGACUUUAUGGUUUGCUUGAUGGUGAAGUCAAGUCUGGUAAGCACCGCCCAGCGCACCUGCUUCACUGCUGAGCUUCUUGUUCAGCAGCUUCUGACCGUGUUGACUAGGACGUGGCUUGGUGCUUGCUGAUCUGGCCAGGAGUCUGGUUCUCCGCUGAGCAGCUUGUCCAGCAGCUCGGCUUGUGCCAAGCUCAUGUCUGACCGUGUCAAGCAUAUUUCUAACUAUGCCAGGCUAGUCUGGUGCAAGGCUGAGCGGUUGAGCAGGUCCGCUCAGUUGCCUUGUUGAGCAGUUUGGUCCAGGUCAGGCUGGUGGCCAGGUCAGGCAGGUGGCCAGGUCAGCUCAGUAGGGCUUGUUCCACGCUUAGCUGCCUAGUUGAGCACCUUGAUUUUCUUGACUUUUGUUGCUUUUUGACCAUGAAUAUUUUCUCAUCUUUUCUUCAUUUUAUUUCCUACAAAAUACAUAAAAAGGCAAUACAAACACAAAUAUACCAAAUUGUGAUAUUUUAUACAAAAAGUAUUGUUUUAAGUUGGUUUUUCUCAAUUAUGCUUAAGAUAAGUGCAAUAAAAGUGUAUGAUUUUUAGGUAUGUUUGGCACUUAUCAAUCCGUAAAAUUGCUCCAGUAUAGUAUUGAGGACAAUGACUAAACCCAGUCAUACUGCCCCAGUGUAGACUACCUGAGGAAUUGUAGAGUGUUAGUUUUCUUGUGACAAUAACAAUGCCCCAAUGUACUUAUUUUGAACUCAUGUCUUCAUCUCAGAAGGCUACAACUUAGAUUCUCCAAAAAGUUUCCCUAGUUUGGGUGAUUGAUGGUAUGUAGUAGCGAGUCUUCAACUUGGGGUGUUCAUUUAAUUUUCCCUUAUUUUCCCCAGAAUACAUUAUGUACGUAUUUGUCGGGAAUCCUCUCAUUUUAUUACGAUCUCAAGUCGUCUUUGUAGGUUUUCGACUUAGGACCACUCACCUUUUUAUGGAUUUCCCAUGUGGGUUUUCAACCUAACACUCUUUUGUUUUUUUUGUUUAUUUGUUGUUGUUGUUUUUUCCUUUUUUGGUGAAUACCCUCGAUGCGGCGACUUGAAUUGAUAGGAACUAGAAGACAUGCAUGAGUCGUUGUAGAAGGUGUCUUUGAAGAUAAUAACUUCAGAUCUUUCUCCUUACUUGAGGCAUUUUGGCUUAUUUUGACCAAAUCAAUUUGGAGUCAAGAAAAGUCACUUCACUAUUACCCCAAUUUUUGGCAUUUUAUAAACUUUCACAAGAAAAUGAGAUCAACUCCAAAAAUUUCCACAGCUUGGCCUUCUUGUUACUUUCCACUCCCUAGUGUGAGUUAAUCUGAGUCAUUCUUCUAUUCAAAAUGAUCUAGCAAACUUGGACUGUAAGGCUUUAAAGCAUGAAUCAUCUUAAAAUAUGCCUCAUUUUGGGAGGCUUCUAGUUUUCCUUUGCUUUUAGUGCUCUUUAUUUCAUGCACAAUUAUUUUUGAAAACAGUGGUCAUGCAAACUUUGGUAAGCAUUUGGGGCUAUGAGAGGUGAUAUGGUGGUGAUGAAAAAAUUUAAUAGGGGUUUGGCUAAUGUAGAUAUGAUGGCGAUGGUGAUGAGAAUUCAAAUUAGGUUUGGCUAAUAGUAGAUGUGGUGGUGGCUAUGAUAGAAUUGAAUUUGUCUUUGCCUUAUGAGUGAUCGUGAAGUUACGAAGGAUAGAUGGUUGAGCUUUGAUUAUGGUUGAUGAUAUUUAAUUUGUGUUUGGGCUUGUGUUGAUAUGUUGAUGGUGAUAAUGAAUUUUUACUUAUGUAUUAAAGACGAGAUAUUUUAUAAAAAAUUUAUGAGAUUUUUGUAGUCAACAUUUUUUGGUCAUCAUCCACAUCUUAGGAAAAUAAGUCCUCGACAAGGUCUUUUUUAAGCUUGUAUCGUGGCUUGGCUAAGGGUUUUCAAGAAAAGGAUAUAAGGCUCAAAACUUGUGUUUCCCAUACCCACCUUUCACAUUUCUUCAUUAUCCUAUUUUCAAUAAUUUUCUAGCAUGACAUAAGAUUAAGGCGAUAAUUUUUUUUUCAUGAAUGGUUCCUUUUAUGGUUAUUCAUUUUGCACUUUACUUUGCCCUAACUUUUUCCUGAGAUAUUAAUUGAAGUUUCUCAGCGGACUCUUUUUUGAUUUUGUUUUUUUUUCACUUUAAGGAAGUAUUGUUCUUUGUAUUCUCUUAUUCUUCGGUCAUAUGAAUUGUAAAAAAAAAUACAUUUUUUCUUUAAUAGUUGAAUGUCAAGGAAAACGAUUGAAAAACUACCCUCCUCGGGUUAUUGACAUAUUGAGGAUUAUUCAAAUAUUAUCUUCGUUCGUGAUGUCUAGACUCAAAUGAGGUGACUAGAGAUAUCUCCAAGGUAUUUAGGAAUUACAAAAAAUGCCUUGUAUCAUUAGAAAAAUUUGGUUGAAGAUGUACAUCAUUUUUUUGUUUCAUAUUUGCAUCACUCUCCAUUUUAUUUUACUUUAAAUCAAAUAUCUCACAGUAAUGCAUAGAUUAAUUUUAUUUGGGUUUAUUUGGUGAUGUGUUCUUUGGAUUAAUACUGUGAGUGGAGUUAGUAUGGUGAGGUAUAAGAUGGUGCAAUUUGCAUGAUCGAUGUAUUAGUAUAUACUUAUUAAAAAGAUAUGCAGUUGAAAGUAAAUAUUAAUUCUGGAAAAGAAAAGGAAACUUGGGUGAGUGUGAGAUGAGCUUGGCCUUGACUGGGAUCCUCAAAUGAGAAUUUUUUAAAUUGGUCUCCAAUUUUAGUUGGGGUUGAAUAAAAUGCACUAUCGAGUAUGAUCUCGACCACAAACUUGAAGUUCUAUGUCUUCUUGAAUGUCUCUAGUCUCAAUGUUGGUUGCUUUCAGUCAAGUUUAACAAUCAUGUUCUUAAAAUCGAUCAAUCUUCAAUUGAUGGGUCUCCUUAGCAAUGAGAUCAUGAAAUGCAUGCAGAAAAAUGAUGUCUUAUUGAUGCAUGAUAUGCAUGAAGUGAACCUUUUUCAUGUUACAUGAAUUGAUAUGCAACUUAUAACUCGAAAUGAUGCCUGAAAUGCUAACUUUGAGCUCAUUUUAUGUGUUAUUUAUAUGAAGAUGCAUUUUGGGAUGUAUAAAUGAUAUGAGAUUAAUAUUUUUGAAGUAUAUGAUGCAUGAGGAUGCAUGAGAUUUUAUUUUUAGUGAAUGAGACUCUUAGAAAAUGCAACUUGUGAUGUAUAUGAAUUUGAAUAUAUUAAAGCUAUGAGAAGAUGUAAGAAAUUUUUUAUUUUAUUUUUUUCUUAAAUGAGAAGGUUUGUGAUAAUGAAUGCAAUGAUAUUAAAAUGUAUGAUAUGGUAAUACGUGAAAUAUAAUAUUUUGAAUGAUUUAUUAUUACUUUUUUAUGAAUGUAUGCAUAAGUGAAUGUAUGUAUGAAUAAUGUGUUUAUUUUUUUAAAUUGCAUGUAUACAUGAGUGAAUGAAUGUUUACUAAUUUUUUAUUCAUGAAUGAAUGCCUAAGUCAAUGAAUGAUUACUUUUCCUUCUGAAUACAUGAAUGAAUUUUUUAGAAUGAUUGAAUAAAAUGUAGAUGAAUGUAUGAUUACUGUAUUAUUUUUUAAAUGAAUGUAUGAAUGAAUGUAUAGUUUAUUUUAAAAAAUGCAUGUAUGCGUGAAUUAAUUAAUGAAUCAGUAGAAGAGUGUAUGAAUAAUGUAUGCAUGAAUAAUUGAAUGAAUGAAUAAAUGCAUAAGCCAUUUAAUGAAGAUAUUUUUUUUAAUGUGAUGAACGAAUGGAUAAGUCAAUCGAUUAUUUUUUAUUUUUGAAUGUAUGAUUGAAUGAAUUAAUUUUUCUUUUUGAUUGCAUGAGUGAGUGAAUGUGUGUGUAAUGUACUUUUUUUAGUGAACAUACGAAGGCAUAAGUCAAUGAGCAUUUAAAUAAUGUAUUUUUAUUUAAAAAAAAAAGGCAUAUAUGGAUAGUUAAUUCAAAGAAUGUAUGAGUAAUGUAUUCUUCUUAAAUGCAUGAAUGAAUUAUUUUGAACAAUAGUUUUUUUUAGUUAGUGUAUGCAUGGAUGUACGUAUACGUUUAUCGAUAAAAAAUUUCUUUUUAAUCGCAUGAAUGAAUGCAUAAGUCAAUCAAUGAAGAUUUUUAUUUUUGAAUGCAUAAGUCAAUCAAUGAAUAUUUUUAUUUUUUGAAUGCAUAAAUGAAUGAAUAAUUGACUAAAUGUUUGAAUAUGUACUUUUUAUGUUUAUGCAUCAAAGGAUGAUUUUUUUGUAUGAUGUAUUUUUUUAUUAAUGCAUGAUCAAUGAAAUUUAUAAAAAUUAAAAAUGCAUGCCCCUUAGGAUAAUGGACCUUAUAUUGGGGGUGAUUUAGCCAUCACUACGAUUUCAACAUGUAUAUAUAUUUUUAAAAUUAUAUUUCUUUUAUUUUUAUCAUUCAGACUAGCUUAUGGCUAAAAUAAAUUGUCAUAUUUAUUUUUAUAAUAAUCUCCUUGUUAGGGGAAUAGGAAUUCCCUCAAGAGUGCGAUAUUUUACAUGAUUUUUAUUUUACAUGACAAAAUUCCAAACAAUAUGAUAUAAUACAAACAUAUACAAAUCACAAGAUUCACAACAAGUACAAUAUCCUAGGAUAGGGUUCUAACAUACAAUGGACGCCCUUGGCAAGUUAUAGACUUCCUAUAAUGUGCCCAUAUUGCGACUCUCUCCAAUAGAGAACCCAAAUAUUAUGAUGUUAGAAACAGGAGACCAACUCGAGCGGCUAACUCAUAAUAAGAGGUAACAAUAUGAGUGGUCCACAUCAUCAACACUUAGAAGUGGCAAAGACCGAGGUGUAGGGCAUAUGUGUGGCUAAAGUGUGUAAAUGAUAUAUCACCCAAUAACAAAAAUAAUACAUACAUAAAACAUGCACUUAAUAUUUAUAACACAUAAUUCAUACAUACAAAUAUAAUUAUUAUUUAAGCAUGAAAUUCAUGUUUACAACAAACAAUUAAUAAUUAAGCAUACAAUUCAUAUUUAAAAUAUACAAUUAAUAAUUAAGCAUGCAAUUUUCGCAUUGUUGGAAAUUAACUAAUUAACCAAAUAGAAAAAAUAAUAAUAAUAUACAAACAAUCUUACCAAAUAGAAAAAGGUUUGUUGGUUGACUAUAUUUUAAUUACGGAAAAUAUAUAUUUUAGUCAAAAAUAUUUAUUUGCAUGUAAAAUUAUUGGUGAAAAAAAAAGUUUUUAUUUGGUUCAUUUUUGUCAUUUGUUUAAUUAAGAAAAUAUAAUUUAAUCAUUUUGAGAUUUAAUAUAUUGAAAAGAAGCGGCGUAGUGUGACCUUUCAAAGAUGAUUUAAGAAGAAAGAGGCAUAUGCAGCGACCUUUUCUCCAUCUUUAAUUAAUUCUCAAAAUUAUUUUAUUUUUUGAAAAGUACUUAUUAUCAUGUUUUAUUUAUAAAAAAUAUUCAACUUUUUUAUUAGUCACAAUUUUAAUUAUUGACAGAAAAGAAUUUUAUAAGUUAUCAAAAACGUUUGAUUAAUUGGUGGAUAUAUGAAAAUGAUUGUUUGUUUUGCUACUUUUACUAUGUUAAAAUAUAUUCUAUUAACUCAAAUAAUUUCAUUAAUAGUUAUCUUGAUUUUCUUUAGUUGAAUGUGAUUAUUUAUUAAUGAGAUUUAAUGAUCGAUUAUAGGAAAAUAAUAAAUCAAUUGCAAAAAGUAAUGACACAAAAAAAACAGUUUUGAUGACCUUUUCCCAAAAGAAUACAAAUUUUUUUGUCUAUGGUGUUUGUUCCUACUUUCAACAAAAUUUUAAUUUAACAAAUAUCAUUAUUAUUCAAUCUUUACACAGUAGAAUAAAUAAAUUAUUUAUAGCAAAAUUAUUUUUAUAGACUUAAUAUUAAUAUUAUGAUAUAACAAAGUGAUGAACUAGAUGAAAUAGAGACAAACUUGGUUAAAAAGGAAGGAGAUUUUUAGCACAGUAGGGAAAUAGAUCAUGUGUUACAAUAUGGAAGAUAUUGAUUAGUACAACAAAUUAGAGCUAGCUAUUUGACACGCUCGAAUCAGAGCAAGCUAUGUUGAUCAACUCUCAUGUUUCUGGCCAGGAAAUAAAGCUAUACAUUUUUGCAGAACAUACUUUAUUGCUACAAGCUUACAAUAACCUAAUAACCCAAUGCCCCAAUAUUGGAUAAAAAAACUCAAAGCAGAAAAAGAAUUUAACAGUUGAAAAUAGUAAUUUUUAGUACUUUUUUUUUUUUGCAUUUCUUGGAAUUGCUUUCUUUUGGGUAUUCUUUUGGAAUGUUGGGAGUGAUGGCUCCUUUUUUAGAGGUCUUUUGUCAGAAAGAGUUUUUCUUGAGAGAGCUUUUCUUUACUGUGGAAUCUCCUCCUUCUUUGGUUAAUAAGACAUUCUAUUUAUAGACUAUGACUUAUCACAUAUGUUUAAUGAUGAGAAUAUCUCCUAUUAAUUUAUUAGAGGAUGUUAAGGGAAAUAAAUCAUAUUCACAACAUAAUCAAAUUGAUUUGAAAUUUUCUUGAUUUGAUUUGAUUUGAUUUGUUUAUUCUCAUAUUGCAACUUUAAUUUACUUGAUUCCAUAUCGCAAUCUUGAUUUGAUUUUUGAAUCUUUAAAAAUUUAGUUAUUAUCAACGUGAUUCAUGUAACUAAUCAAAUGGAUAUGAUGUAAUUCAAAUCUUAAUUUUAUAUGAUAAUACAAUCAAAUCUUUAAUUCACUCAUCUUUUAUUUUUAUUUAUUAUUUAUUAUUAUUAUUUUUAUAAUAACUCUAAAAAAUCAUUUUUUUGAGAAUUCAAUUACUUUAAACUUGAAUUUUGGUUAACCUAAUCACUUAGAUUUAGGAACCUUAACAAAUGGUUUAGUCUUAUUAUUUUAAUUUUGAAUUAUGGUUAACCUAAUCAUUUUGAUUUAGGAACCUUAACAUAAUAACAUGUUUAGUUUUAUUUUUGUUAGAAAAGUAUUUUUGGAAUUCUAUUAUUUUUUAUUUAAAAAUUUUUGGGCUUUUUCUAGGUCGGGCAAAAAUGGGUGUUCACAAUGUGCAAGGUAGUUGACCAAGGCUGGUUUCAUGACUUUUGAAAAAAGGCUUCCCCAUUACCUUAUUGCUUAUGUGUUGGUUCAUAGAAACACCAACCAUGCUCAACUAAUGGGUAAUGAUUUGAAGCUUAUGUAUGUUGUGAAAGAAUGAGUCAUGGUUAAUUGGCCUGCUGAGAUUCUGAAGGUGAUGUUUGGAAUCACUUCCUCUUCAUCUAGAUUUAUGGCAUAUGGGAUUUUUAUUUCAUGUGUCAUUGAACAUGUUGGCAUUGACAUAAGUAAUGAGGACUUAAUUAUUGUAAAUCCCAUGGAGCAUCUCAUUGAGGAUAGCCUAAUCAACAAGAUGAGUAUCAAUAAAUAAAGUUGAAUGUUGAUGUAUCGGGAGGAUCAUCAAACUACUAUGGAAUUUCAGAUGAGGAUGUUAUUCCUGCUGAGCAAACACAAACAUCACAACUAGAUGAGGUUCCUACUAUCCUCAAGCAUGAUAUUUCAGUUUGGCUCAUUUAGAUGCUAUGGAACAAUGCCUCAAUGAGUAUAUUGAUAAUGGAAUACAAUUCAUGGAGGAAAGGCUCACGAUAGAGUUGCAUAUACAAGAAUUGGAAACUCAAACUCACUUACGACAACUUUGCUUUAUCCUUAACACCAUUACUAGCUUCUUCCAACCACCUCAUAGUAACUCAUCUAGUUGGGGCAACCGUUAGUAUUCCUAGUUGGCAUAUGUGUAUUUUGACUUGUGUUGACUCUUUGUGUGUUUAAAAUGGAUGUGCAUUAUGGUUUAUAUUUGUUCUAUUUCUUAUCAUUAUGUCAAUACAAUUGAUAUAUUUGUUGAACAUACCUUGCUUAUAACUUGAAUCAACAAAAAAAUCAAGAAAUUUUUAUAAAUUUGUUGAAAUAUAUUUAUUUAAUCGAUUAAUAGCAGAUUAAUCGAUUAACUACUGCUUAAAUUGUAUUUUUCAGUGAAUUCAAAUCUUGCAUAAUUGAUUAACACCAUGAUUAAUCAAUUAGAUUAUUUAAAUAGCAGCUUAUCUCUUUAUCUUGUGUUUUUAGAGUUGAUGCAUUACAAGCUUAUGCAACAUUCAAGAAUAAAUGCACAAAGUGGGGGGAGCAAAUUGUUUAAGCUCAACUCUAAUCAUAAAACAAGUUGAUUUCCUAUCGAGAAUAUUGCAAGACGAGUUUGUCAUCAUCAAAAGGGGGAGAUUUCUAAUGUAAGCAUACAAAAACAAGAUUUUGAUGAAGACAAAGACUAAACCUUAAAGACAAUGGACACCUCAACCACAACAGCAAAAUAAUCAUAUUCAAGCUUCGAGAAAGGAUCCUGAAGACUAAGAGUAAAUAUUUUAUUUUUAGGUCCUAAAAUGCUUUGAAUAGGUAGAGUCUAGGUUGAGUGAACCCUAUGAUAAAUCUCACAUAAUAUGAGCAUAUUGCAAAAAAGUUAUUUUUCAUACAUAAUAUGACUUAAACAUAUUUUCACAAACGUACAUGAUUUUGGGCACUAAUACUUAUAUACUUUUCAAAUUCAUGCAUCAUGCAUACAUCAUUCAUGUUAGAGGCUCAUGCAUAAUCAACCAAGUCUUUUUAUAAAAAAGUUAAUCGAUUAAGACUUUAUCUAAUCAAUUAAGUCUUUGGAAAUCAGAAACACGUUAAUCAGUUAAGGACAUGGUUAAUCGAUUAAGUCAGUUUCUAUUUUGGAAUCUUGGAUGUUUUAAAUAAAUGAUAAUCGAUUAAAUGACAAUUAAAACGAUUAUCCCCAAUAGAACAAUUUAAAACUGAAUGGUAUUUCACCAUCCUUUCCCAUGUGCAAAGUAACUUACAACAACAAGAAAUUUUAUACUCACAGAAACUUGAUGCAAUAUGGUUGUGUUCUGAUUUAUUAGUGUAUGUUUUACCACAUUGAAGGUGCAUUACAAACUUGCACACAUCUUUUACAGUCAUUUUUGCAAAUUUGUCUCUUUGAGGAUGUGAGGUAUCACCUAGGAGAAAGAGAGAAGUUUGAGAGAAAUCGCAGGCUGUGGUCAAGGUCCAUGAAGAGGAUUCAUUGGGAUACUUAUUUAGAAGUGGUGAGGAGCCAUUAAAAGCUAGGUCAAAGAGAAGUCUUGGUGAAAACGUGUUUUGUAAAACAUGUGAUUUCCUCUAGUGAAGCAAAUCUCCCAAGAUGAGAAGGGGGGGUCUAGAUGUAGAUUACACUUGGAUAACAAUCAAACCAGGAUAAAUCCCAUGUUUCAUCUUCUCUCUUACCCUACUCUUUUACUUGCAAUUAUCAUAUUUUUGCAUUAUUUGAAAGUAUUCAUUUUGUGAAUAUUGCAUAAUCGAAUCUGCUUUAUCAAUCAUAUUAUGUAAUCAUUUUAAGAGCAUACUAGAUUAGUAUGAUCACUACAUUCUUGCUACGUUAAGAACCAAAAUAUUUUCAAGAAAACCAUUUGAUUGAAUUAUUAUGUCUAUAUAUAAUCAAUUAAGUUUUGCUCUAUGUUAAUUGAUUAACUCUUCAAUUAAUCUAUUAAAACUAGUAGUUUUUGAGAUUAUCUUUUGCAUUUUGAAUCAAAUUUAAUUGUAGUUUGAACCACCUAUUCACCCCCUUUAGGUGAAGAUAGAGCCUUUGUUAAACCAAUAGAAAUGACUUUGAAUGUCAUAAUCUAAGAUCUUACUCCAACUUAGUUUAGAUUUUUUUUUAUUCAUACGACUUGGUCAUGACAAGCAAUUUCAAUGUUGGCCCAUUUUGGGCUUCUUAGAAUUUUUUCCUUUUGUACGAUCAACAUAAUUGUCUUUUUAUAUUCAUUUGAAAAAUGGGACCAACCCUAAUGUUAGAUAGUGGAACUCAUCAUGUCGUUCAAAUUGUCCUAGCAUAACGGUUUUUUUUAAAUACUAAAAAACAAUAAUCAUGCAAACUUGGAAAUGUUUGGGCUAUGAGUGUUGAUAGGAUGAUCAUGAGAGGAUGAAAUUUAGUCCUAUGCAUUAAAGAUAAGAUAUUUUCAUCAAAAUUUAAUGAUAUUUAAAGUAGUCAAUGUUUCUAUGUCACGGUAUAUACCUUGGGAAAAUCAAUCCUCAACAAGAUCUUUUUAAUCUUGUAUCAUGGUCUGAUUAAAGGUUUCCAAUAAAGAAAUAUAAGACUACAACAUAUUGUUUCCCAUGCUCAUUUUCUCAUUUCUUCUAUUAUCAACAUUCAAUUGCUAAGUCUUUUUUUAACAUGGUCUAAGAUGGAAUGGGUGAUGGCCUACGAUCAUGGUGAUAAUCUUCACAUGAGGAAGGCAUUUGCACUACGUCUACCCCUACUAAGAGAUACCUUCGUUAAUAAGAUGGAUAUACCUUAGACAUGCUUAAAUAUUUAAUUAUUAUUUUUAAAGGAGAAAAUUUAUAUAUUUUCUAAUUUUAUGUUUGACAAGACUGUCUUGCCCCUAUGUAUUUUCAUGUGUUGUAGGAAAUUAAGACAUAGAUAGUUCUUGGGAAAACAGUGUUGUAAUGGUCAGGUUAUUUUUAUUAUUUAAAGAUUAAGAGUGGACAAACAAUGUCAUUUGUUGUCUAUCGUCAUUGUCAAGACAGAAGGAAGUAGCAUCCCAAUGUCCGCUACCACAUCUUAAUUCAUGAAAAGAGAAAGCAUGGUAUUGGUUAUGUCCACUCUUCAAAUAUUUAAAUAUUUUUAUUAAAUUAUUAGGAUUAAAAAAAGUCUAACAUUUGUUGUCAAUCGUCUUUCCCGCUACAAAGAGGGAAGUAAAAUCCUUAUCUUUGCUAUCGUGCCUCCACUUGAAGGAGUGGAAGAUGUGAUUUUAGUUGCUACCACUCUUUCAAUCCUUAUUACAUCUUUCAUCAUUUAAUAAUUAAUUAAUAAUUUUAAAUUUCUUAAUUAAUUAAUCAUUAUAAAAUAUUAUAUUAAAUGUUAUUAUUUAUUAUUUAAAAAUUAAAUUUUAAUUCAUUAUUAUAAUACAAAAUGAUUGAAAAGGAAAGAAACGAAAAUAAAAAAAGGAAAAAACGACAUGCAAGACAAACACAUGGCACAACCUAAAUGGUCAAGAAUUUGUGGCGGAGAAUGCACAAAAUGAGAGGUACACAAAAGUGACACACAGAUCCUGAGGCUACAUAAUGACCUUAGAUUUCCUACUGAUAGGCCAAUGAUAUAGAAAAUCAUAAAAGGGAGAAUGUUAACUAGCAAAGAAAAUGAGUCUUGAUUUUAGGAUUUUUUUUUUUGUGUAUUCUAGUGUGUGUUUUCUACUAUCUCUAAAUUUCAGCCUAAGGGUCUACCUAUAGUUGAAAAUAUAAUCUUUUCUAUAAGGAAUAUUUGGUGGAUAUGCUAUAUUUUAAAAUGGUGAUAUAAUUUGAUAUAUUUUAAAAUGGUGAUAGCAUUUGAUAUAUUUUAAAAUGUUGAUGGGAUUUGAAUAUUUUUUUUCUCUUUCUUGCUCUAGUAUGUAAAUUAAUGCGGGAAAAAUUAUAUAUUCACAACCACUCUGCCCAAAAUAAUAGCACAAGAGGCCUCACAUAAGGCUAUAUUAUUAUUAAGCAAUUAAACUACUUGAUCUAUAACAAAUAUAACAUAUAGGCAUAUAAUACAACUACCAUUUUAUCACAAUUACUCACAAUGGUACUACAACAUUAAACUCAAGUAAUAUUUUUUGUACUUUCUUUCGAUAAUAAUAUAUUAUAUUAUAAACACCUUAGAAAAUGUUUAAAUAAUCUCACAUACAUAAAAUGUUAAGAGUAUAAUAUCUAAUCAUUGUGGGAGUAAAGAUAUUCAUACACAGAAUGUCCGUCUCCAUUCUUUUAUAUUACUUAUAUUUAGUGAUAAAUAUUAAUUAAAUAUGAAUAGUCAAUAAUACAAUGACAACGUAAAAAAUCUUGCAUUAUAAUUACAAACAUUGUUUCUCUAUUAUACUCAUAGUUGGUGUAUUAUUUAUAUUAAUCAACAUAUAUAUAUUAGCUUCUUCCUGAAUUAUGUUAAAUCAAAUUGUCUUCUCUGUAGUGCAUUUUUGAAUAUAGAAUUGUAUGAAGUAAAAAAAAUGCAAGUUCAUACUAGAUCGUGGGAACACUAGAGAAGUGUUUAUUUGUACGGAAGUUACUUCUUGGGAUAUUCUGAACCGGUACAAUGGUUUUAAGAUGGGGAAGGGCAAACAUCACCUGACCAACAAAAUAUGUGUACAACAUGACUUGUUCGGUUGGCCGACUCAAGCUUUGUCCUAGUGAAGCCAAUAAGGAAAAUGCUCACAAACCAUGCAAUUUUUCACAGGAAAAACAUACAAUUUUAAUCAAUUUACUCAUUUUGUUCAACUUGUUUGCCUGUCAAAAACAAAAGCAUUCCUUAAGCAUUGCCGGCGGCCCAUAGGCCACAUAUCCUAUAGGAUUUUGUUGAUAAAUCAUAUAAUUUUAGUCCAUUUCUCCAUUUUGCUCAACUCAUUUGCCUAUCAAGUUUUAGUAUUAAAAAAUAUAAUUCAAAUAAAUUACUAUAUCCUUGUCAUAAUAUUAUGGAUUUUUUAUUUUUUAAUUAUUUAACAAUGCUUGUGAGCGACCCAUUUUAAAAAUGGAAUGACAUGAGAAUUUCUCCAAAAAUAGUAAACUAGCAUGCCCAUGUCCUACUAUCCGCUUUUGAUUUGCAGGCAUUUUUAAGGCUAUGGCUAAAAAUGUCGUCAGCCCAUUAUGCCAACACUACUUGGCACAUAUGGGGUAAAACAUUUUUAUUAAAUCAUUAUUUGUUUUAAUUAAAUUUUAAUCCUACUAUCUUCUCUCUUUUUAAUCCUACUAUCUUCUCUCUUUUUUUCUUUGUGGUACUUAUUAUCUUUGAGUGGCAUUAACCAUAUAUGUGGAUGUAUUACUAGAACAUUUACCACAGUAUAAUGGUUCUCUGCUACAAUGAUUUAGAUUGUUUUGUUUUGGGAUGUUGUGGUUUAUAUUAUGUUCUAACCCUGCAAUAUUUUUAGUGACAUGAUAUUCUUUUUUAAAAUCUAGCGACAACAAUUUCAAUAUGAUUCUUUCUUUGUUUAUUUAAGAGAUAACUCGUUAUGUUUCUGUUGGGCUUGACAUCAACAAACCUUUUCGGUUUGAGGAGUAUCAUUUCAAAAUAUAACAAGAAAAAUGGUGCUCUUUCAAACUAUGACGAAAGAUAAAAUGGCUAAAGAAUUAAAGCCUCUAGAAUGAGAAUGGUCUUACACAUUCAACAUAUUUAAUGGUUAGAAAGGAAACCCAAAUUGCAUUGGUUAGAAAUGAGAGACUACUUUUAAAAGAACCUAAUUUAUGAUAUCGGGUACAAUCUGGAUGGUUCAUCAUAUUAAUACAAGUAAAACUUAAUGUCCUAACUAGCAAAGAAAGAGCCUCACUUGUAAUAGAGUAUAUUAAAAUUAUUGUUUAUUUUUAAAAAAUGAAAAUUUUAAUUAAUUAUUAUGAUACAAAAUAAUUAAAAAAUAAUAGAAAUGAAAAUAAAAAGGGAAAACAUGACUUUGGCCACAUACAUGUUUCACAACCAGAAUGUGUUUGGAAUUUGUGAUGGCUUGUGGCACAAAAAAUGAGGAACACAGAAGUGACACACAAAUCCUCAGACUACAUGAUGAUCCCAGAUGUUCUAAUGAUAAAUCAAUGACACGAAAAAUGAUGAGGGGAGAAUGUUGGCUGCAAGAAAAUGAGAACUGAUUUUAGGACGUUUAUGUGUGUUCUAGUGUGUAUUUUCUACUACCUCUAAAUUGGAGACAAUAGAUCAAUCAAUAGUUGAAAAUAUAGGUUUUGGGAUAAGGAAUAUUUCAUUGAUAUGUUAUACUUUAAAAUGAUUAGAAUUUGGUAUAUUUUAAAGAUGCAGAUGAGAUUUAAUAUAUUUUAAAAUGUGUAUUGCAUAUUUCUUUUCUUUCUCUCUUGCCCUAGUCUAUUAACUAUAUAAUAAAAAAUGUCUUUGUCAUAUCAUCAUGGAUACAUAUCACCCUCUCAUUUACUUUUUAAGAAUAAACUAGACACCCUAUAUUUGUGACAACUGUCCAAAGAAGAGGUUAUUUUUGUUAUAUAAAACUUCAAUUUUAAAAGUCAUUUCCUUUUCUCAUGUCACACAAUAAUAUGUACAUUAGAAUUAAUAAAAACCAAAUAGGAUGAUCUGAAAUGUAAGGAAUAUAAUAAUAAUUAAAAAAACAAAUUCGAAAUUAUUUAUUAACUUUUAAAUAUUUUUUAAUAAAAAAUGCUUAUAUAGUAUUACGAUUUGAUUUCUCUAUUUUAAUUAAAAAAUCAAAUUCAAAAUUGAAAAAUCAUUAUUUUCUACAACUUUUAAAAAUAUUUAUUUUAAAACAAAUCACAUAGUAGCAUGUUUCAGUUUCCUAUUUUCAUCAAAAAAAUCAAAUUUGAAAUUGACAUUUAUUUUUCUUAUUGAUUAAUAGGCAAAUACAUUGGUAAUACAUGUGUUGUUAACAUCUGAAUGUAUGGGUAAUAUGUGUGUUUUAACUAUGCGAAUGCACAAAUAACAUGUGUGUUAUUAACAAUGUGAAUGUAUGCGUAACAUGUUUUUUUAACUCUAGAAUACACGAGUCACAUGUGCGUUCUUAACAAUACGAAUGCACAUGUAACAUGUGCAUUUUUAAACAUAUGAAUGCACGACUAGCAUGUGUCUUCUUAACCAUAUGAAUGCACAUGUAAAAUGUGUGUUCUUAAUCAUGAUGCAAAAAAAUAUCGGCCCGGGUAACUUGCUAUUAUGUAAAUUAAGUCGAACAAAGUUAGGCGUUCACAACUAUUAUGCACAAAAUAUCAUUAUUUAACAUUUAUCAAUUUAUCACAACUACUCACAAACAUUCAAAUAUCAUUAUUUAACAAUUUUUCAUAACGAUAUAUCAUAAGCGAGUGUUUCACAUUGUGAUUACCAUAAAUAAAUUUAUGAACAUACUACACUAGAAUAGAAAAAUAACAACGCUUAAAAUUGUCAUUUAUAAUAGUGCUUAUUGGGCAUUGUCUAUGUGAGUGUAGUAGAAUAUAGGAUUAUAUUCAACAACGCUUUUGAAGUGCUAUAGAAAACAAAUUAAACAUUUAACCGCGCUCACUGAAGCAAACACUGAUAAAUGUCUACUUUUAAAGAAGGCAAAAUCUCUCUCAGAUAUUAUAUCAAACAUAUAAUAAGCAUACCCAAUUCCACCAUAUUUACCAGAGGUUUGACAAUAUAAACAUCAUUUUAAAAACCCAAUUCAUAAAUCAUUGCACAAACUAAUCUCCUUUAGUUCAAAUCCAUUAACCCAUAAGAUUAUAUGCAGGAAUGACAGGGACGAAGGAUAUGAAGAUGUAAAGGAUAAAUCUAUGAAUUUCUUCUCUCCCUUGACUGAAGAAAUAAGAAGACAAAAAGAUGUAGUUUAGAUUCAACAUAAUGAGAAUCAAAUUAAAAUUUACAUAGAAAAUAUGGAUGAAAAAAUAAUAGUCAAAUGCAAGAAAUACAUACAGAUAUUGCAAGUUUGAUAAAUCAUCAACACCUCCACCUAGCUUCAACCUUGACAUUUCCUAUAUUAUAAAAUAAGCAAUUAAUGUAUAUGUAAAUGCAAGCAACAACAGUGAAUCAAAGAAAAAUAAAUAAGGUAAAAUAAGAUAAUGGUUCACCUUAUACUCGAAAAUAGAAACCAAAAGCUAAUAACUUUCUUGAAGAGAGAAACUAAGAGGAGGAGAAGAGUAAGAGAAAUAGAGUACUGAAUAAUAAGUAUAUUAUUGUGUGUGAGUUUUGUUUUUAAAUGUGCAAAAAUUCACGCUCACUAAAACAAGUGAUUUUUGAAUAUAUGAAUUUUAACAGGACUUAUUGUAAUGAACUUGUUGAUAUGUCAUAUUUAAUAACACUUAUUUAAGCAAUUGUUAUUAAAUAGAUUCAAAUCAACAACGAUUGCAUAAAAAUGCCAUUAAAUAUCAAAAUUCUUUAAAAUUUUUUAGUUGUCAUAUUAUGUUCAACUUUUGAUAAUGGAAUGACAAAUAACAUAAUUUGGUAAUCAAAUAUGAUUUUUUAUUGUGUCAAAUCACAUACCUUAAUAUUAAUUUUUAAUAAUAUUGGUUGGUGAUUUAGAAUAUAUUUUUUGAAGUAAUAAACAAUUGCAUUUUUCAUAAAUGUAUGACCAAGUUGUGUUAUAUAAAAAAACUAGCAUAUGAGUUUCUAUUAACAAUUUGAAUUACUUUCUUGUAAUGUUUACUCCAGUUAUAUCUUUCAAAAUAAAAUUAAAUAAUUUCAUAAAUAUACGUUAAGUAAUAACUAAAACAAACAUUUUUUGUACAUAUGACUUUUAACAACAUUCAUUAAAGCAAACACUGUUAAAUGUAUGACUUUUAACAACACUUAUUGUAAUGAGUGGGGUUGAUUUGUCACGUUUAACAACGCUUAUUUAAGCAAAUGUUAUUAAAUAGAUUCAAAUCAACAAUGUUUGCUUAAAAAAAUGUUGUUGAAUAUCUAAGGCAAACAUACAACAUCACUUCUUGAAGAAAGCGAUGAUAAAGCUAUAUCAACCUAUCAAAUUUAACAACUUUUAUUUAAAAGAGCGUUGUUAAUGAUCUUCCGUGUUGUAUUUACAAACGUUGUGCUAAAAAACGAUGUUAAAGGAGUGUUGUUAAGUAUCCUCCAACAUACGAAAUAUAUAAGACAUGUACAUUGUCACAAGAGCAAUUAUGAAAUCAUACAUGGAAAACAUUUUCAUGCGAGUUCCUUAUUCUACAAAGCUAGUUGACUUUAGAGAUCAUUGGAGCACUUUAAUGAAAAAAAUAUAAGAUCAUGUUGGUAUUCUCCUUCAUCUUAGUCGCUUUCUCUCAUCACUUUAAUAUUGUCAACCAAUCUCGAGUAUCACUACUUACAUCUACUUGAGCCAUGCGUCAUUAAUUCAUCAAACAAUAAAAACAAAAAUCUAUUCAAACAAACCUACUUUAACAAAUCACAUAAGGACGUCAAAUAAAAUCAUACUAUUAUGAAAAAUAGUUUCAGUCUUUGAAACUAAAUAUUAAUUUUAAAAAAAUUAAUAAAAUAAUAAAUAUUAAUAAUUUAACCUUUGUGUUUUAUCAAUGUCAUAGAAAUGGAAACAGAUAAUAAAAUGGAUAUAAAAUGUAAAAUGAAGUACUUUUUAAUAUUUUAUUUCGCACAUUUUAUAAUAAUAUUUUUUAGUCUAAUGAUAACAAUAUUUAUGUUAUGUCAAAAACACACCACAUAGUAUGCCAUUAAUGCAAUGGUACUACAAUAUUAGACGCAAGUAAUAUUUUAUGUAUUUUCUUUAGAUAAUAAAUUUUUAUUUUAUAAACACCAUAAGAAUAUUUAAAUAUUCUCACAUACAUAAAAAUUAAAAGUGUAAUAUCUAUGUACUCUGACAAUAAAUAUUUAUACACAAUCAAUAAAUUAUCUACCAUGUUUAUAUUAUUUGUAUCUAAUGGUCAAUAUUCAAUAAAUAUGAAGGGGAUGAUACAAUAACACGAUAAAAAACUCUUAUACUAAUCAUGUAUACAUUUUUCUCUCUAGUAACACUAAUUACUCUUUUAAAAGUAAUCAUAUCUCACUAGUAUAUAAAGGUGGUAGAGGCCUAUGAAGAAUUGAGACAUCUAUUUAACGUUAGAGAUUCGAUCAAGUGUGAAUAGUUUGAUGAGUAUGAGGAUGUCUCUUGUUUAAUUUGCUUUCUUUUUUGUGUUUAUCAUUGUAUCAGGUUAGAAAUUUUUUUUCUUUAAAUUUCCACCAUGUGUUUUAUACCUUCAAAUUUUCAUGGAUUAUAUUUUUUUUUAAGCCGAAGGUGUAACUACACCUCGAUAUAUAUUAGAUAGCAGGGAAGAUACAUUAAUAAGAGUUGAAACGAUAACAAGGAAGAUGAUUCCUAUUACGCAAGAAUUCAUGAAAAAUGAAAUUAGGAGUAGAACUCCAAUUAGAGCUAACUUUAGAGUUAAUCCCGUAGUUUGCCAAUUUGUCCGCGCAAGAGUUGCCUUCUCUAUAGAUAUGAGAGACUCUGAAAUUCCUUUCAGCCAUUGCUGCUUUGCAUUUGAUCCAUCUGUUGAGGAGUUUCCAAGGAGGAUUGUGAUUACCUUUGAAGAUAUCAACCACUAUUGUAGAAUCACAUUCAAGCCAAAGAGACAACCAACCUUUAGAUAUAGCAAACAGGAUGGCAGAUAAAGCUGCAUUAAACUCAACAUAUAAAGCAUCACGAAUGCCAUAGUAGUCAGCCAAGCAGGCAAGGCACUGGCCAUUAUGGUCUCUGAAAAUAGCUCAUCCUCCAGCAUGGCCAGGAUAACCUCUAGCUGCACCAUCAAUGUUUACCUUGAUUGUAUGUCUCAGAGGGGGAUGCCAAAUAACUUCCAAUAUCGAGGGAGCCUUAGGAUAGAAGGUAGGGACCUUAAAAGAAUUUAGAAUACCAAGGUCAAUCUGAGAAGGCUUGCCUGAAGCUUUGGAAUAUAUGCCUGAAAGAGAGGUUGCCAUUUUGAUUCUGUUGAUUGCAGAGCCGAGGUUGCAAGCUUUGUUUUCAAACCUCCACUGAUUCCUGCACCACCAAAUCGUGUUGAUUGAGUGGAUAAUGCAAGCAGUGAAGAUGUGCUUAACCUGAUCACUCCAAUCAGGUUUACUGGCCAAAAGGAUUAAUUUGAUGGAAGAGGUGUCCAGAUGGAUAUUGAAGAUUCCAUUAAUCCAAUUCCAAAUUUGAAGAGCCAGGGGGCAUCUGAAAAAGAGAUGGAAUGAAGUCUCAGCAUGAGCUCUGCAAAGGCUGCACAUAGAAACCAUGUUGUAGCCUCUCCUUUGCAAGUUAUCAUCACAAGGCAUUUUGUUAUUAAGGAGUCUCCAAGUCACAAAGGAUUGAGAGGGGGGAAUGGCAGAGGACCAAAUCUUUAUGAACCAAUUUAAAGGAUUAGGAACCUGAUCAAUAGAAUUGUAGGCCUCCUUUAAGGUAAGCACACUAUCAGAAGAAUUUUGCCAACAGAGCACAUCCUGCCCACCAGAGAAAUCAGUUUUGGCUAUCAUAUUAGUAAGAAAAGGGAAAUGAUCAACCAAAUUUUUAGGAAUAUGCCAAGCAGAGUUUUGAAUGAAGUCUGAGAUUUUAGCGUUUAAAUGAACCUGCCAUUGUUGAGGAAUGUUUAGAAGAUCAACUAAAGGUGUUCCAAGCCAGUUGUCCUUCCAGAAACUUAUGUUAUCCCCCUUGCCAAUAACCCAUAUGGAGUUAGCAAAAGCAGCAAACCAAUUCAUCCUAAUACCUGGCCAGAUGGAGGAUUUGAAGUAUCUAGUAAGGGGGUAGCUAUGAAGACAGAAUCUUGUUCUACACAUGAUAGCCCAAUCUUUCAUGGAUUAUAUUAUAUUUGUUAUAUUUUUUUUUUAUGUUAAUGUAUUAUUUGUGUGAAUACAGAUAUAUCCAAAGAAUCAGAUGCAUUUUGCAUUAUCCAUUUUCCUUGUAAAACAAACGCAGAGACUGUGCAAAACUUUGUGGUGCCGGUUGGAAAUGUGUUGGUAAAUCCUGUGAACAUCUCAACCAUUCCAAAAAAACCUAAAAUCAAGCAUCCAAAGAUUAAGAACACACCUCAACUUAUUAUGUAAUAAAAAUGUGCGCAUUUGUAAUACAAAAUUAAUAAAGAAUAUCUUAUUAUGUAAUAUUAUACAUAUUCUUAUUAAAAUUAUGUAUAUAUAUUUAGGUUUUGUUGUGAAGUAGGUCUCACAUUGCAUAUCUCAUUGUUUCAGGAAUGCUUUAAAUAUUCAUUGGGCUACUUCUCUCAUUACCGAUUGGUUUUGAGAUGGAGUAUUAGUGCCAGAGCCCAACUUCUUUCUAGUUUUCAUGGGCCAAAAGAUAUCCUUUAGUUACAGGUAGAAAAGGCAUGUUGAGAAGUAAAUUUCACAUGUUUUAACAUUUUCCAUAAUCUCUCUUCUUUAAUAAAUACAAAUUUGACUAUAGAGAUAAGUAAUGUAUUCCAUGGCUCAAAUGUUAUUCUCAAAAGAUAAUAAAUGUGUUGUUUUCCUUACACAAAAAUAUUUAUUCUAAUUGACAAUGUCAAACAUGGAUAUAUAAGGUUAACCUCUGAGAUAUUCAAUUAAUUUUAUAGAAAGGUCGGCAAAAGUAUCACUACAAUAAAUUUCAAUAAAGGAUAUAUGUGAUGAAAACGAAUAAAUUGAGAAAAAAGAACAAAAUUGGAAGGUCAGAAUCGUGAUAAAAGUGUAUCGAAAUUAUCACAAAUUCUUCUGAAUACUUCCAAUUAAUCAUGUCUAUUAUACUCAUUGUUGAUAUAUUAUUUAUAUUAAUCAACACAUAUAUAUAUAUAUAUAUAUAUAUUAUUGCAGCUCUUUGGUGAGGCUUCUCUAUAGUACAAUAUGGAAUAUUGAAGUGUAUGAAGUAGAACAAAAUUUGCAAGUCUCAUAUUGGAUAGUGGGAACACUAGAGAGUGUUCAUAUGUAAGGAAUAUACUUCUUUGAGUGUUUCGAAUGAGUAUAAUGGUUUUAUGGUGUGGAAGGAAAAACACUACCUGACCCCAACACACUAAGUGUGCAACAUCGAGUGCUCGACCAACUAACUCGGUGUUGGCCCUAGUGAUAUCAACAAGGACAAUGCUCACAAAACGCACAAUUCUUUUUAGAGGAAGAUCAUACAAUUUUCUUCAAUUUACUCAAGCAGAAAACCAUUCAUAUUAUGCAUUAUAGACGACCCGUAAUAUUUUGUUGACAGAUUAUAUAAUUUUAGUCCAUUUGUCCAUUUUAUUCGACACGUUUUCCCAUCAAGUUUAGUAUUAAAAUAUAAAAUUCCAAUAAAUUGUGAUUUAAUAUAAUUUAAUAUCUCAAAUAAUUUGUGAUAUAAUGUGUUUUAUUCAACUUUAUAUAAAAUAUCAUCUUUUUUGUUAUAUUUCUUCAACUUCUUUAUUUAAUUUACUUUUAAUUAACAUCAUGGACUUUUAUAUUUUAAUAAUUUAUCAAUGCUCACAGCGGCCCGUUUUACAAAUGGAAUGACAUGAGAAUUUGUCCAUAAAUGGUAAACUAGCAUGCCCACGUCCACUUUUAAUUUGCUGGCAUUUUUAAGGCGAUGACAAAACAUGUCGACAACUCAUUUUGUCACCACUAUUUAGCAUCUAUGACGUAAAACAUUUUUGUUAAAUCAACAUUUAUUUUAAUUAAUUUCUAAUUGAAGCUUCUAGAAGUUGAUCCACACUAGCUCUACCUUAAAGAUGACUCUUUCUCCAUGUCUAUCCAAGAGAUUACCUGUUCUUCUUCUAUUGAGUUUGACAUCAACAAACCUUUUCGGUUUGAGGGAUACAAUUCCAAAAGACGACAAGAAAAAAAAAUGGUGCUCUUUCUAACUAUGACGAAAGUUGGCUUCGUUUUGAAUGAUGAUAAUUCCUAAAAAAGAAGAGCAUGCUGAGAAAGAUCGCAUGGCUAAAUAAUUAAAGCCUUGGGAAUGAGAAUGAUUUCUUAUGUAAGAACUUAAUACUUAAUGGACUGAGUGGUGAACUAUAUGAUUCUUAUACUACGUACUAGACUUCCAAGGAAGUCUUGGAUGCACUAAAAAAUAAGUGUGAUAUUGAGGAAGUGCUACAAAAUUACCCUUAGGAUUAUGGGUCCUACCAAAUAUAUUUCCUUUAUCUGAAAAUGUGACACUCUAGGGAAUAUCAAAAUAUAAUUAUAUCCUGGAUCACUCGGGCUUUGGAUGGCGACCAAGUCACUUCAUUUAUGGGAUAGAAGUUCCAAUUAUGACAUAGAAUAAAAAAUGGUAAAAGAUAAAAAUUAAGGUGUGUUUCAUGUGUUCUACAUAAGAUAAAUCCUACAUGGUUUUUGAAUCUCUUAAGGUGGAUGUCAUACAACAUAAUACUAAGGUAUUGUAAGUUUAAGAUGCUAUCUAGGGGGGGUGAAUAAGUUGUUGGGAGAAUAUGACUGAUUUUUCUUCUAUGUUAUCAAACUUUAUGUGCAUCGGAUUAUUUAUGCGGAAUUCAACCAAGUAAAGAAAAAGAAAAUGACAAGAAUAAGUAGAAGAGUACACACAGAGUUUUUAUAUUGGUUCGUCUUCUCGUCCACCGAAGGUUACAUCCAAUAUUUUUUCCACACAAGUGAUUUUUCUACGAGAUAAUUUGAGUUGUAAUUACUUUUGUACCUUACAUACUCACAACUUAUCUACCCUUCAAAAUUCCCUUUUCAAGUGAACUUUUUUUACCUUCUCAACACACCCUUGUGAUGAAUAGAUUACAACUAAGCUAAAGAAUAUAACAAUGGCAGGAUUUCUUUUACAAGUUUUGACAAUUCUAUAACUUGCAAUCCUUAAUCUCAUAAUAUAAAUACUUAGUAUACAAUGCUCAUAUUCUUUUGAAAUUUUAGAACAAAUGCACUUUGGAAUCAACUUCAUAAAAUUUGAAAGUUUAGGAACAAAGUUGCUAACAAAAUAGGCAGAAUUUUGUUUACUAAGUUGUGAAUUUUUUUAUGUGAUUGUAUGUUAUUGUGUUCUUUUAAUUUGAAUGUCACAAUGCCUUUAAAAGAUUAGAACUUUUUUUACCUUCUCAACAUGCCCUUGUGAUGAAUAGAUUACAACUAAGCUGAAGAAUAUAACAAGGGCAGGAUUCCUUUUACAAGCUUUGACAAUUCUAUAACUUGCAAUCCUUAAUCUCACAAUACAAAUACUUAGUAUAAAAUGCUCAUAAUAUUUUGAAAGUUUAGAACAGAUUCUCUUUGGAAUCAACUUCAUAAAAUUUGAAAGUUUAGGAACAAAGUUGCUAACAAAAUAGGCAGAAAUUUGUCUACUAAGUUGUGAAAGUUUUUAUGUGAUUGUAUGUUAUUGUGUAUAUUGUGUUCUUUUAAUUUGAAUGUCAUAAUGCCUUUAAAUAGGCUUCUAAUCAGCCAAGAUAUCUAUUAAAAAAUUAUAUUUCCACAACAAGAAUUCCCCCCUCAACAACAAAAUUUGUCACUUUGUUGAAAGGGUAAUUCGAGUUGUUACAAGUUUAUUUAUUUAAUUUUGAGUGAUGAGUGAUGAACAACUUAUUUAAUUAGUGAACUUAUUUAUUUACUCCCUUUUAGGGUUCAUUUAACCAUACCAUAAAGGUCAAUCUCAUUUUAUUAAGUUAACCAUACCAUUUCUUACAAAAGAUUGGUAUCAAAAAAUAAUAAAAUGAAUAAAAGAAUAAAAAUAGCAGUUAACCGUACCACUUCUUUUCAGAGGUUGGUAUAAAGAAAAAGAGAAUAAAGUAAUAAAUAAAUGUUAGUUAUGAAAAGUAAAUGACAGAAAGUAAAUGUUAGUUACAUAAAGUAAAUGACAAAAAUAAAAUGUUAGCGGUUAGAUUUAUUAUUGAUCACUCUUUUAUGGUUAAGUAACAAUCCGUUGAUUGGAUUACACAUUUUGCAUAUUAUUCCUAUGUACAAAGUUACAAACCAUGAAUUGGUUUCAACUUAUGUUUUUAGGAAUCCUUACUCAACAUAUAAAAUUUAUAAGUCAAUACUUUACUAUGUUACACUUACAUCUCUUUUUAAGAUUCAAUUGUAGUAUAGUAUAUGGAUAUGCUGAACCGAAAGGAAUUUCAUUAAUAGAUGCAUAUCAUAUAGACAUAUUAUAGCAAAAAUAAUGAUAAACAACUUUAUGAUGGUUUUGGUGUUACGUUGCAUAAAAGUUAACAAGGGAACAUAAACUAAUAUUCACAUAUUCUUCAGGAGAAAAUUCUUUAGAAAUAUGGAAUUAUUUCUAGACUCAAUUGAUUUUUGAAAAACAUUAACAAGUUAUGUGUUAUACUUUCAAUUAAUUCUACAUAUCAUUUCUAAAUCCCCAAUUUAGUGUCCUAGUAUGAUAAGAUGAUUUUUAAACCUUAUACACUAAAUAAUAAUUAACUGUCACUCGUUGGAGUAGGUUGUCACACCCUACUUCAUGCCCUGUUAACAUUAUUUAGCCUUGAAUAUAAGUUGCUUAAAAUAUAUGUUUGAUAUGGCAACUGAACUAAUGUGUAGGUUAUACGUUUUAGUUAACUUGUCAAUAUUUUAAGAAGAUGCAUUUUUUGAUCUUUAUAUCAAGUUUUAGGUGAUCAAGCUAAAAUCGCAUUAAAAAUUUCUUAAAGAAUCAAAACUUAACAAAAAGUAAUAACUUGAAUGUAUUGAAAUCAAAACAUGAUACAAAUGAAGAAAAUAAAUAACAUUACAUCAUAAUCCAAAUAAAUAUGUAGGAGCAUUAACCAUCUAUACAAGGAUGAGAUGCUUUUGAAACCAAAUGAGAUUACAAAUUCAACUUUUGCAUUACAUUUUCCAACUCAUUUCUCCUCUUGAAUUCUAAGAGAAAACAACAAAAAUUAAUUAAGAACUAGUUUGGAACUGUGGCCCCAAAGUACAAGAAUUCUAGAGAGAAGUGUUUUUGAGAGAAUAAGUGAAGAAUGGAAGUCUUUUUGAAUGGUGGAAGAGGGCCUCUAUUUAUAGGAAAUCAGGUAACCGUUUAGCCCUCUUUUUGUCCAUGUUUGGUGCACCAAACCCUUAAGCAUGGGUUUCAUUGGCCAGGCUAUUAUGGGCUAUUCAAACAAGUUCUCAUGGUCCUUGUGAAGUGAGGUCAUGCAUGAUAUAAUUGUUGUUUGGUGGCUAAGUCAAAUUAACCACUUGUUGGGUCCAGCCCGCCUAGCUGCUUAAUUUGCACCACUGAGCUACAUGCUUGAGUAGUUUGUCCUGCUCUAGCGAGGUGUGUGGUUCCAAGCUAGGCGGUCCAAAUGCACGCUGAGUUGCCUGCUUCAGUAGGUUGGCUCGUGUCAGGCCUGAGUUUGACCGUGUAUAUCUUGUGUCUAACUGAGCCAAGUUAGUGCAAGUUCAGCUAGGCAAUGUUGUUUGUCCAAUCCAGGCUGCUUAGUGAGUAGCUUCAUGUUUUUAGUCCAUGCUUAUGGCCAAGCACUUAGCUUGCCAUGUGCGCAUCAAAAGUGGCUUAUGCAGACACCUCUUUGCUUGACUAUUUUUCUGAUUUUUUUCUUCUCUUUGAUUUUCCUAGAAAACUUCACAUAAAGAUUUGGAAAAGAGGUGGACAAAAUAUAAAAUCAAACUAUGGCAAUUUAUCUAAAAAGUGUUGAAUUAAGUUCGUUUUGCAUGAAUUACAUAGGAUAAGUGCCUUGAAAAAGUGUAAGAAUUUUUUUAUAAUUUUGGCACUUAUCAAUAUCAAUCUGUAAAGAGGAGACAUAAUUAAAAUGAAACAUAUUCACUUCAGAUGAAAGUUGUUCAUUUGAAUUUAAAAAUAUGGUAUCAAAAGCUCUGUGUAAUCGAUCGUCACAAAGUGGUAAUCGAUUACCCUAAUGUUAUGUCCAAGGUGGUAAUCCAUUAAUACACUGAAAUAAUCGGUUACAUCAAUCAAUUUUGCUUUGUAACUAUUUUCUCAGUCACGUAACCUGUUACUUAGUUCCAGUAACCUGUUACCAACUGCCUCAUAGUUCAGGUAACCUAUUACCUAGUUCUGGUAACCUAUUACUCAUAUCAAGUAACUCAUUACUUAGCAAUUUGAAUUUGCAUUUUAGAUAUAUCAAAUUCUUUAAAAAUGAUUUUGAUAUGUUUGAGCAUUGCUCCUAAAUAUUAAAGUGAAUGUAAGGAUAGAAGUACCUAUAUGAAGACUUUAAUCUAUAAACAUCUUCAAGCUUGAAUCUUCUAUGUUUUUAUGGUCUUCUUCUUUUUUGUGAUUUUGGUGUCUUCAUCAAAAUCGUGUCAAGGUCAGGGGCAAGAUCUUCUUCACAAUCUCCCAUUUUUGAUGAUGACAAACCAAUAUCUUUUGAAAAUGGAGAUCUGAAUUUUUUCGAGGUUCAGCAUAUGUAGAUGAUAUAGCUUUGUUGUAUGUUCGAAUAUACUCCCUGUAUCUUUUAUACUUCCCUUUUUUAUUUAUAUGUGCCUGAAAAUAUUUGACAGAAAAUAUAACUCCAACUUUUCUCCCCAUUUUGACUUCAUCAAAAAGAUGAAGAUAUAGUUUUGUCCAAUAUAAUAUAUACAUAUAUAUAGAAAAAGGUCACAAGAUAUGUUGUCUUAUUUACAGGCCAAUGCUAUAAUUUUGCAAAAUAUUAAUUUUGAAUAAUAUCAAAUACUAGAGAAUAAUAUAUCAAGUCAUAACAUAGCAUUGAAACAAUAGUUAAGAAACAUAAUUCAUAUACAACAAAUGGUUCAAGAACAUAUAGCAAGAUGUUCUAAAAUAAUAUCCAAACAAAUAAGUAAAAAUAGCAGUAACAACAGUUUUGAACUAACAACAACAACAACAUCAAAAUACUUAAGUAAAAUCCUAGAUUCCUAGACUACUACUCCUCAUGAGGAUAAGCUUUCUUAGAGUCCAAGUCCAUGUAGUCCAACCGCUUUGAUAAGCGUUUAAGCUCUUCUUGGACUUGAUGAUUCAUUGUAUCGAGGGCAUCCAUACGUGUAGUGAUGUAGCCCUUAAGCGAUAAUAACUCAUCCAUAAUCAUUUGAUUGGCAGGAUUGUAGUCAUAAGAAGAUGAUUCAGCACGAAAUGAAGGAUGAGUAGGAGGGUCAGCAGAUGGGUUUUCUUGAUUUGUAGUUUGUUGAUCAUCACGAUGCUUGUAGAUCAUGUAAUUAGUAUCUUGAAAAAACUCGUUUUGUGGAUUAUAUCCACAUCAAUCUUAUUGUGAGUAUCGAGGGUGAUUUUAGAUUCUUCAUCAAAUGAAACACCAGAAUAUCCAAGAAGAGUAGUUAUGAGAAUGACAUAAGGCAAAAAACUUCGCUCUUUAACAUAUGAGAAAAUUUUAUUCUUCUUAAAACUCAUAAUGCAAUAAAAUACUCGUACGUUAUAGAUAGUAAGAACCGUACAUUUCCCAAAAUUCAGAGAAUUGUUUCUGUUCAAAAAGGGUUCGGAAAAUUAAAUUAUUAUCCUCAAAGGAACUGAACAUACCAUACUUCUGAUGAAAAAUGGGUCGUUGCAUGAAGUGAUUCUUCAAGGUUUUGCAUUGAUCCACAUUUGCCAAAAGAUGUGCCAAAUCCAAUGUGUUGACUUCGUUCGGGUUUUGUUGCCUUCCUUCAGUCACAUUGGUUCUUUGCUUCUUGGAUCUAGUGGAUGAGGCCAUGUUGUUGAGGUUUGAAAAACUUAGGUUUUGAAGAUUUUGAGAUUUUGAGGUUUUUGGUUUAGAACUCUAAAUACAAAAAUGAUAGUAGGAAUGUUUUAGGAGUGAAAAUGUAGUAUGAAACACCAUAAAGAUCAAGCAAAAAUGGUUUAGAAAGAAAGUUUAUCGAAGUUGUUGGGGGCUACCACGGUUGGAAAGAGGGAAAAUGAAGAAGAUGGAGUUCAAAAAUCUGAUUUUUGCCUUAAAUAGUGUAGAGUGUAACCGAUUACCACGAUUGAGUAAUCGAUUACAUAAAACUUAUGUUUGUACAGUUAAUCGAUUAAUUCAUAUUGUAAUCGAUUACAUAGGCUAGAUUUUGAAUAAAUUUUUCCAAUUAUGCCUUGUAAUCGAUUACCCUUCCAUGGUAACAGAAUACAUACCCCAAAAUUAUAAAAAUUAAGCAUUGAAAAGCAUAUAAGAGUACAUAUAGGCAUGAAAUACAUAUAAUGGAGCACAUAUAAUGUACAUAUCAACAUGUUAAGAUAGAUAUACUUCAUCAAUGAUGCCUAGUUUUUGCCUAUUUUUAUAAAAAGGUUCUUUAGCCAAAGGUUUUGUAAAGAUAUCUGCUAGUUAUUCAUGGGUAUCAACGAAUUCUAAGAGAACAUCUUUCUUUUGGACAUGGUCCCUAAGGAAGUGGUGCCUUAUAUCAAUAUGUUUAGUCCAGGAAUGCAUAAUCAGAUUCUUCGUUAUAUUUAUAGCACUGGUAUUAUCACAUCUUAGGGGAAUGCAUCCUAGGUGUAAUUCAUGAUUUCGUAAUUGUUGUUUGAGCCGUAAUAUUUGGGCACAACAACUUCCUACAGCUAUGUAUUCUGCCUCGCCUAUACUUAGAGCAACACAUGCUUGCUUUAUACAGGAUCAAGAGACUAGGACAUUUCCAAGAAUAUGACAAGUAUCGCUUGUACUUUUCCUCUCAUAUUUGCAUCCAGCGAAAUCUGAAUUCGAAUAUCCCACCAGAUUACAUAUACUUCCUUUAGGAUACCAUAGUCCUACAUCAAGUAUGCCUUUAAGAUAUUCUAAUAUCACUUUCACAGCAGUAAGAUGUGACUCUUUAGGCUUUGAUGGAUAACAUGUACAAAGAUAGACACUAAACACAAUAACAGGUCUACUUGUAGUAAGAUAAAGAAGGGAACCAAUCAUACCUUGAUACUUAGAAAUGUCGACACAUUUUCCAGUCUCAUCAACAUCAAUGUAUGUUCCAGAAUUCAUAAGAGUGGCGAUAGGUUUGUAGUCACCCGUUUCAAAAUGUUUCAGCAGAUCCAUGCAGUAUUUAGACUAACAAAUAAAGAUAUCAUCCUUGAGUUGUUUGAUUUUUAGUCCAAGAAAGUAGUUCAACUUUCACAUCAUGGACAUCUCAAACCCUCAUUGUAUCAUCUUACCAAAUUCACUAAACAAAAGAUCAUUAGUAGAACCGAAAAUAAUAUCAUCAACGUAAAUUUGAACAAGCAAAGUAUGAUUGUUUAUUUUCUUAAUGAAUAAUGUAGUGUCGACCUUUCCUUUAGUGAGACCUUUAUCAGUUAAAAAUUUUGUUAGUCGAUCGUACCAUGCACGUGGAGCUUGCUUUAAGCCGUAGAGGGCUUUCUUAAGUUUAUAUACGUGAGCAGGAUACUUGUAGUCUUCAAACUCAGGGGGUUGUUUGACAUACACCUCUUCUUGUAUAUAACCAUUCAGAAACGCACUCUUUAUAUCCAUUUGAUAUAACUGGAAAUUCAAAGGCCAUCCAUAUGCAAGAAAUAGCCUAAUAGCUUCAAGUCUAGAAACAAGAGUGAAGGUUUCAUCAAAGUCAAUACCUUAUUCCUGGUUGUAUCCUUGUGCUACAAGUCUUGCUUUAUUUCAUAUAAUAAUGCCAUUUUCAUCUCUGAAAGACCCAACGAGUUCAUAUGACAUGUCAUUAUUUAGGUCUAGGAACAAGUUCCCAAAUUAUGUUUCUCUCAAACUAAUUAAGCUCUUCUUGCAUAGCAAGAAUCCAGUGUUCAUCCUCAAUUCUAUCAUCAAUCUUGGAUGGUUCCACUUAAGGAACAAAAGUCAUGUUUAGACAAACAUCAUUCAAUUUCAGGCGAGUAGAGACUCCCUUACUUAUAUCACCAAUGAUGUUUUCAAUGGGAUGAUAUUGAUGGAUUAUCCAUUCUUUUGGUAAGUCAGAGUUAAUAUGCUCUUCUUGUGAAGGUAUAUUGUCAUCUAUUUUCAUAUGCUCUGUAUUGGUUGUACAUCAUUAAUGGAUUCUUCCACGGAUGGACUAGAAAAGUCAUCAUCAUCAAUCAUGGAUUUUUCUUCCAAGGUUGGAUUAGAGUCAUCAAAAUUCACAUGAAUAGAUUUUUCCAUAGCCACAUUUCUCUUAGUGAAAACUCGAAAAGCUUUACUAGUAAGAGAGUAGCCAAGGAAAAUUCUUUCAUCGACUUUUGUAUCAAAGUUUCCUAAGUUUUCCUUUCCAUUAUUUAGCACAUAAUAUUUGCAGCCAAACACAUACAAAUGAGAAAUAUUUGGUUUUCUACCUUUAAAGAGUCCAUAUGGGUUUUUCUUUAGAAUAGGUCUUAUUGGGACUCGGAUGGAAACGUAGCAUGUCAUACUAACUGCAUCUGUCCAAAAAUAUUUAUCGCCCAUCAUAUGUUUUGAGCAACUGUUAUCCAAAUACCAUAAGUCGCUGGCGGCUACCACCUAAAAGAAAAUUUAAGUAAUAUUAUGUACCCAAUUCAUUUUGGGUCCUACAAGGUUAGUACGUUUCUCUACCCAUUUAAAAUAUCUUAAGGGAAUACCAUAUUACAAGGUAUGCCCGUGAUUUAGACAAUAAGUGAAAUUGGGUUGAUGCAUUUUUAUCCUUGAUUUAGAUUUAGAAAUAUGAUGAUUAUGGAUACUUUACUUUUGAAAGAUACUUUUAUUAGACACCAUUUUUUUCUUAAGUGAAGAAUUUUUGGAAAAACCAAGACCUCUACGAUCAGUGGAGUGUCUUUGUGUCUUCAGCAUGUCAUCCAAUUUUGUACUACUUUUAUUAAGUUUCUUGAGUUGAAGACUCAAAGUGGAAAUUUUAUUUUCAAGAGUAAUACAAUUUGGACAAGAGCAAUAAGAAGAUUUAUUGUGGAAUGCGUCAUUCUUAGUUUUUUGUUUAAAACAAGUCUCAAUUUGUUCAGUUUCGCUUACCUCCUCAUCAUUAGAAUGAUGAGACACCAUUAGAGAGAGAUAAGUUUGCGCUUCAUUUUAAGGUUCUAAAGUGGAACUUGAGUCAUUAUCCUCCCAUGCAAUGUAAGCCUGUCUACUAGACUUCUUUUCAAAUUUUGCCAUGAAAGGGUUUUUCUUCAAUGUAGGACCAACUUUUCCAUAUGACCAACUUUUCCACAUUCAAAAUAUUUGAAGCUUUGAUAUGAAGUGGAAACUUCAUAAAUUUUGGUGAAUCUCCUUGGUUGUCCAGCCUUACCACUUUUAUUCCUUUUCAUGAAUUUAUUGAACUUCUUCACCAACACACUCAUGUCUUCUACUUCCUCUUUUUCUUACUCCUUCUAAGGAUUCAUUUUCCUUUACUUUAGCUUUGAGAGAAAUAUUCUUUCUCUUCUUAUCUUAAUCAUCGUGUUGUUUGAGUUGGGUCAAUUCCAACUCAUACUCUUGCAACUUUCCAAAGAGUGCAGUCAAUGACAUCUUAGAUAAGCUUUUCCUUUCUGGAAUGAAUCCCGCCUUGGGUUGUCAUUGUCUUGAAAGUGAUCUUUGAACUUUCAAGUUCAAGUCAUUGUUUGACAAUACUUUUCCAAGUGUAAGGUGGAUAAAUCUCUUUUGGAGGUCUAGAAUUUUCUCUCUAGGCUUCAUACGAAAUAUUUCAUAUUCCUGGGAGAGAGUAUUGAGUCUCGACCUUUUUACUUCUUCAGUUUCUUCAUGUGUGGUCCCUAGAGUGUCCCACAUUUCUUUAGCAGAUUUAUAGUUUGACACUAUGAAGAAGUGAGGUAGAUAUUUGCUUUGAGAUUGUAUUGCACUUUCUUUUUAUCUUCGUCAUUCCACACAGAUUUUGGCUUUACUUCCCUUUCACCAUUAACAACGGUGAAGGAUUCAUAAGGUAUUUCCUCAAUCGCGAUCCAAAUAUCCAGGUCUUGAGAUUAUAUAAAGAUUCUCAUCCUAAUUCUCCAAAAGUCAUAGAAUUCUCCAAAAAAGCUUGGAGGGUGAUUGAUGUUGGAACCUUCUCCCAAAAAUGAUCUUAAGGCCAUCUUAAAUUCAUGAUCAGAUUUGAGAAUAGAUUACUCAAAAUAAGUUCUGGUGCUAACUGUAAGUUUAAAAUGCCAACUGAGAGGGGGUGAAUUAGUUGUUGAGAGAAUAUGGUUGAUUUUUCUUCUAUGUUAUCAAAUUUUAUGUGCAACGGAUUAUUUAUGCAAAACUCAACAAAGUAAAGAAAAGGUAAAUGACAAGAACUAUUCUAAUCGAUUACCUAGGCUCAUUUUUUUCUGAAAACCUGGAAUUUUUACACUGCUUAGUCGAUUAAAUAAAGCACUUAAUCGAUUAACGACAUCAGAUAUAUUAGAAUCAGAAGCGUUUUGUCACUUUUUCAAACCCUCUCUUCCUUCUUUUCUCUGAAAAUCUGAAAUACAAGCAGCAAAUUCAAAAUCUUAGCUAAAAACAAGUAUUAAACCUUACCUUUACCCAUUUGUACACCUCAUUUCAUCUACUUCGUUUCUCUAUUUCCCAAGAAAUCUCAUUCCCAUUUCCGAAACCCUAAGCUCUAGGUUCCAUCCCUCAUCCUCAUUCUCCUCUUAUUACUCACGAUUUCAAUCAAUCAAUGGAAAGAGGUCGUUCGAAGAGGUUCAAGACAACUGCUCAACGCACUUGUAGGACUCCUAAUGCUUCAUCUUCAAAACCGAAUGUGAGGCACGACUGUGGAGAUCCCUACUACUGAUAGAAACCUCUUUGAGGAUGCCUUUACUUUGGAUCGAUUUUAGCUUGAAAAUUUUAAGUUUGGAAUCUCAAAUUCGGUUUUGAUGUUAAUGGUUUUUUUUUGGCUAUUUUUGGAUGGGGUUGUGUAUGGUUAUUACAUGAGGUCUGGGUUAGGUUCUAUGUUAGGACUUUUGGGGAAUGUUUGGCUUGGGUUUGGGAUUAAUCUUUGAGGCUAGGUUUGUGUUGAUUGUUGGGUGUAUUUGGGGCUAUUUGGAUGAAGGUAUGUGUAUGUUCGAGAAGGAUUUGGGGCUGGGAUGUUUAUGGACAGAAUUGUAUGAAGUUCGUGACGUUAAAGAUGAUUUGUGGCAGGUAUGGUCACAGUUUGAUGUGUAUAGAAUUGAAAAGGGACUUGUGUUGUGCGUGAGGCACUAGGGAAAUGGAAAAAGAAUGAUGACGAAGCGCCACAAGCAAAGGAUGCUUGAUAAGCCAAUGUAGUCUGCCACAAGCAAGGAUGCUUGAUAAGAACAAGGUAUUCGCCACAAGGAUAACUCCUUGAUAAGAAUGUAGACGCCACACCGAGAGGAUGAUGAGUCUUAGAAUGUCACAAGAACUGAUGUUCUUGAUAAGUCCAAUGGUUGGCCACGACCAAGGUAAGAGUAGGAGAAAUUCUCAACUAAACACUUAGAUUUUUAUCUCAAAUUCAACUUAAUCCAUUCAUGCUGAAAAGGAAUACAUAAAUAGGGAAAUUUGACUAGUCCUAAUUUGAAAAUUGAAAUCCUAAUUAAAAACAUGUAAUUAAAUGAGUAUAAUGGCUGAGUUAUUUUGGUAUUUGAUGUUUUUCGAAUUCCCUUGAAUUUUUUCACCCAUGUGCUUAUUUGAUUUUGACAGCUUUAAUGUGCCUUGAUAUGGACGGAUUCUUCAAGUAAAAAAUGCUUGAAAAGGAAAGUUCAUAAUUGAUUGGAUCUUCAUGCUUUUGGUUGUGAGUUUGAAUUCAUAUUUGAAUGAGCUGAUUGCCUUUUGUUCCUUGCAAAUCUGAAUUGAAGAGGUGAAGAUUACCCAAGGAUUCUCACGCUUCAUUUGAAUGAAAAGCCUUGAUUAUGUGCCUUUCUUGGAUGAACCUUGAAUGUUUUAAAUGAGAUUUGAUUUCUUGCCUUUUGUUCCUUGCAAAUCUGAAUUGAAGAGGUGAAGAUUACUUAACGAUUCUCACGCCUCAUUUGAAUGAAGAGCCUUGAUUACUUGCCUUUCUUGGAUGAACCUUGAAUGCUUUAAAUGAGAUUUGAUUUCUUGCCUUUUUGGAAUGAGCUUGGCCUUGAAUGCAUUGAAUACUUGUUUAAACCGAAUGGCAUACAGAAGGAAAGGUUUGGACUAAAUUUGCAUGCUGAAAUAUCUUUAGCUUCACCUUGAAUUUGAAUUCUUUGAUCUAUGCUAAGUUCUUCAUUUAUUCCUAGGCUGAUUGGAAACGUGCCUUAUUAGUUCCUCUUCAUGCUAGAUUGACUUGACCUGCCAUCAAUAUCUUCUUGCUUAAUUACAAUAAUGAUUCUACAUGGUUUCCUAGUAUUUAAUUUCUUGCCCACUAUUGGACCAUGUUACAAGGAAAUAAAAUAUCGUCAUCCUCAUCCUCAUCCCCAUCCUCAUCCUAUCCUAAUCCUCAUCCUCAUCCUUAUCCUCAUCAGAUCCAUGAGAAUUAAUCCCACUUAUUCUUGCAAUAAAAUAAAACAACUACCAUAUAACAUCUAAGGACAUAAAUGCCCUUUCCCCAUGUAAUCUUCAGGUUCAAUUGAGUCCUUUGUGACCUUAAGGAGUCUUGAUUUGGCUUUGGCCCUAGUCAUAGGACCCUAUUGACCUCUCUUGUCACUUGACUCAGAACUUGGCCUAGGCUGGUUCAUAUCAACUACUCACUCAUACUUCAAGAACCCAGUUGUCCAAAUUUUUGGGAAUAAAACCCAACUAUAUAAGGUAUGUUGAUCUUACUUGGAUGGCGGAACAGAACUUCGAAUUUCCAGGCUCAGGAUCCUGUAAUGUUUUGGGAAUGAACGGGUAAUUUGUACCCAGCUUUGAUUAGGGAAUUUUAUGUUAAUUUCUGCUAUAAGGAUGGUAGAUAUUGUAAGAAUGAAAUUUGCAACUAAGAGGAGGGGGGGUGAAUUAGUUGACUUAAAAUUAUGGUAACUUUUUCUUCAAAAUGUAAGUUAAUGUGCAGCGGAUAAUAUUGCAGAAAAUAAACAAGAAUAAAUUAAAGAAGUAAGGGAAAGGAGAGUACACAAGGGUUCUAUACUGGUUCACCUUAUUGUCCACCGAAGGCUACGUCCAGUACUCUUGCAGCAUAAGAGAUUUUCCACUAAAUAUUAUGAGUUGUAAUUACAAUAUCUCACCCCAAGAUCUCUAAGUAUCUUACACACUCACUAAUAUUUAUACCCUUAGAAAACACCUUUCCAAGUAACUCUAUCACCUUUCUAUUCACACCAUGUGAAAGAAAGUUUAUUGCAAAGAAUGAAGAAUUUGAAUGAUGGCUUUGGAUUGCCUUUACAAGUAUGAAAUAUUAUUACACUUGCAAUCCAAUCAACUCUUUUGUAUACUUAGUAAUAAUGCUCAAUAGAUUUGUAAAACCUUGAAACAAUUACUUCAAGUAACUCAGAAAAAUUAUCUUUUGAAAGUUUAAGAACUUAGUGCAAAAGUGAAAAAAAAUAGUGAGAGAAUUUUUCAGAAUCGUAUGAGAGUUGUGUAAAAGUUGUGUGUUUGUGUUGUGAAAGUUAGAGUCUUUAUAUAGACUUUCAAAACACCCAUGGUGUCUUUCUGAAAGUGUAGGAGUUGUUUGAAGUGAAGAGAUUUCAUUUGGAGUGAAUACAUUUUGUUUUGAAAUCUGAAAUCUCAUGCAACAGUCUUCAGUAAUCAAUUACUGAUAGUGGGUAAUCGAUUACCCAAACUCUCUGUCCACUAUUUAUUUAAAAACGAAUUAGAGUAAUUCAUUACACCAUUUGGGUAAUCGGUUACUCAACUUUUCUAAAACUGGUAAUCUGUUACUCAAAGGCAGUAAUGGAUUACUCUAAACAGUUUCAAUUUGGAUAACUCUUUUUCUCUCACAUGUAACUUGUUACUUAAAUGAAGUAACCCGUUAAACAUCAUUCUUAAAAAAUGUUUUAAGUAUUUUUAACAUAGUUUGAGCAUCACUACUUUGUAUUUAUAAAGAGUUUUAGGAUAGAAGUACCUAUAGAGAUUUAAUGUAAUUUUCUUGAAGCUUAAUCUUCUUUGUCUUCAUAAGUAUUCUUUCUUCUUUUUGGUGAUGUUGGUGUCUUCAUCAAAACCUUGCCAAGGUCAGGAUCAAAGAUCUUCUUCACAAUCUCCCCCUUUUUGAUGAUGACAAACCAAGAUCUUCUUGAGAGUGUAAUGUUCUUGAGAGCAGCAUACUUUGAGAUAUGUUGAAGUUUGACUUGAGUAUGCUCCCGCUAUCUUGUAUGCUCCCCCUGUCUUUUGGAGUAAUGUGCCUGAAAUAUAAUUUUACGGAAAAUACACCCCAACUUUUCUCUCCCUUUGGACUUGAUCAAAAAGUAGAAAAGCAAAGAGAUUCCAGCACAAUAUAUAUAGCAUACAUACAAUUUAUAUAAUUGAAGAUAUAAAAACAUUGUAGCAUAUAUUCAUGUAAAGAUAUAGAUAAGUAGUGCAUAGAUAAGAUGUUUCAAUGAAACUAUCCACGAAUGGAACAAUAAAGCAUAAGACAUCAUAAAGUAACUUGUCCAGGAAUAUGCAGCAAUAACUUAAAGACAUCAUAAAUUUGUCUGAGAUUUUAAAAUAAUGCAUCCAAAACCAAAAAAAAAUCCUAACAACAGUUAUACUAAGAUUCAGGCUCUGAAUUGUCUUCAUCAAUAUCCAUGCUAUCCAUCCGAGAGGAGAGGCAAUGAAGUUCAUAUUGGAUUUGUUGGUUCUGAGAGUUGAGAGCAUCCAUCCGGUUAGUGAUGUAGCCUCAGAGAGAAACCAACUCAUCCAUAAUCAUUUGGUUCGAGGGCAUGGCAGCAGAUGAGGACGAUUGAGCAUGAAACUCAGAUGGUUGUGAAGGGUUAGGAGCUUCAGGUUCAGAUGGUUCAGCAUCAGUAGUCGGCUUAUCGGUUCUAUGAGAAUAAGUGCGGGUUCUAAGGUCUUUGGUGAAACCCAUUUUUUGGAUCACGUCCACAUCAAUUUGGCUUUCUCGAAGAUUCAGAGACAUCUUUGUUUCACCAUUCGUAGAAACUCCGAAAUGCUGAAGAAUUUUGGUUAUGAAGAUUGCAUAUGGCAAAGGACUUGGAGUACCUCUAAAAGUCCACAUUUGUCUUAUUAUCGUUAGAGCCCAAUUGAUCUUGAUGUUAAACUUUAAAGCAUACAUCAAUUGGAGUUCUAUGUCACUUAUUUGAGUAUGAUUUGAAAAUUUUGGUAAAAUGACAUAACUAAAAAAAUAAUGAAGCAAGUGUUCCUCUAGUUUGAGAUAUCCAGCAAAUAGGAUGUCUAGGUGCUUGACAGUCUCUCCAAAGCCUUGUUGCUUACGCAUUUCUAUUUCCCUUUUCGAAAGUCUACAUAAUGAAUGAUAAAAAUCCUUUCGAUCAUAAUUAUCCCAUUCACAUACAAGGUCGAAACCUGUUAUGUUACCUUGAGAGGGUAUGUUACAUAACAAUGAACUGAAAGUUUUUUUAUCUGAAAUAAUGUAUUUUCCUUUGACAUAGGAGGUAAGACGAUUUUUCCGAAAGUUCAUGUUAUAGUAAAAUACUCGCACAAGUUCGAGAUAAAUGUAAUUUGUUUCACAACAGAAGUCAAAAAGGUUUUGUUGAUGUAAGAGAUAAGGGAAAAGAAAAUCUUCAAACUCAAAAUUGUCCACAUUACCGAAUUUAGGAGUGAAAAUGGUGCGACCAUGGAAUUGUUCCUCAAAUAUCUUGCAUUGCUCAACAUUCGAAAGAAGCCUUGUCAAAUACAGAGGGUUACACUCCAAAGAUGUUGUUCCUUGACUCCUUCGAGAGGUAUUGGAGCGUUGUUUCUUUGAUCUAGAAGAGGAAACCAUGGAUUUGGGAUUUUGAAAUUUUAGGUUUUUUGAAUUUUGGAGAUUUGGGGGUUUUUGAUUUAAGCCACUAAUCACGAAAAUGAUUGGUUAGAAGUUUUAGAAUCGAAAUGUGAUAGGAUUGAACACAAAAAUCUCUUGAAACAGAUCAAAAAUAAGGUUUUUAAAGGUUAAGAGGCUUUGAGAAGAAGAUAACACGAGUUGAGUGAGGAAGAUGGGUUUUGAAAAGGUUAAAAAUUGCAGAAAUCUCAUAUAUAACGGCACAGAGUAAUCGGUUACUCAUUUUGAGUAAUAGGUUACUCAAAAAUAAAUUUUUAAAAUUUUCAAACAGCAGCUUGGAGUAAUCAAUUACUCACUUUGGGUAAUCGGUUACUGAAACACGCUUUUCAAUCCUCUAAUCGGUUACUCUCUAGUGUAAUCGAUUACUGACCCCAUAAAAACUUAUUUUUAGGCAAAAUGUAAGGUAUGAAAAUGAUUUUUCAACCAAAAAUUGAAGUUUUUGAACAUAAAUAUAUUUAAGAUCAAGUAGGCAUGAGAUAAUUAUAAUGAAACAAACAUAUAAUCAUAUAAGCAUGUUAAGACAGGUAAGCUUAAUCAAGAAUGCCUAAUUCAAAUCUAAUUUUAUAAAAAUGUUCUUUUGCCAAGGGUUUAGUGAAAAUGUCUUCAAGUAGGUUAUGAGUAUCAACAAAUUCUACGGAUACAUCUGUGAACACUCAAUUUUUGUCCUACCCAAUUUCGCAGUCUCCUUGCAUCGGUUGACUCAUAAGAAUUUUCCCUGAUCAGUAGACAUUCAAUUUGUUAAGAGUUUAUCAUCUUGUAUGUUCAUUAUUAUUUUUUUUUUGUGUGCUCAUCAGACCGAUCAUAAGUCUUGUAAUGUUUAAAGUGCAAGCACGUUACCCAUGAUUAAGUUGAUCUAGGUAAUGAUUUUUAACACAAGCCUUAGACAAAAGAUGUGAAGAUCUUAAAUAUGAUUUUUAUGAAGAACUUGUAAUUCACAGAUUCCCUGAACUUUGUUUUAAAGAUUAGAUUAAGGAAUGAAUUCGUCUCACAGGAUUGUAAGAGUCAAAGCGUGAGUGCUCACAUUUUUAUAUGAAGGACAAUCUAUACCCGUCAAUCCCUGGUUUUAAUAUGGCAAGAAAAAUAAUAGAGUACCUGCAUAUUCAAAAUAGAAAGUCAAGUUCAAGAUCUUUAAGUGGAAAAUUGUCUCACUGGGAGAACAAUCUUAAUUUCCAUUUAAUCCCAAAUAUCUGUUAGUUGUUUAAGUUUGAAAAUAAGCUUGUCAAUUUUGCUGAAAAUAAUACAUUUUAUGUUCUGGUUGGCGAUUCUAAUGUGAGACCAAAGAUAGUCGGCAAUCAAUAUGGAGAAGGCCCAUCCUUUGUGCUUGUCUAUAUCUCAUCUCGUUGAAGAUGUUGAAGCAUGCCUAAAUUUUGGUGGAAUAACAAAAAGUCAGCGUAAAUCAAGUUAAGGAUUCUGAUGGUGUGCAAACAUCAAAGGAACAUCAUUCUAAUAGGAGAAGCAAUAGUGAUCUGCAUCUGGCUUUUAAUGGUGAAGAUAAGACAAAAUCUGCAUCAAUCUGACAGGCCUUUGACAAGGAUGGUGAUGUCGCUUUAAUGGGACUCACCUACAACACAAGGAAAGCCCACAUUAGAUCAUUUGGUGCCCCAUAUGGCAAAGAAGACAACACAGUCAUAUCAAUUGAUGAUUCCUAUGAUAAAGAAGACAUAAAAAUAAUUUCUUUUGAUGGUUUCCCAGAUGAAAAAGGAUGUUAACCCUGUGGGGAGGCCUGACAUAGACUUCAUUCAAUUUUUAUAAUCAAUCUUCAGUUCAUGUGUCAAUACCUUAUGAGAAAGAGAUAGAUGCUUCUAAUGUUGACUAAAUAAAGUUUAAAACCGUGUCCAAGAAUAAGCAAAAGUUCAAAACAACAUGCUUCAACUCAAUUAGUUAUAAGGUGUCGACCUCUUAUACACCACCCUGCACUGGUAAUGGAAUAGUAUUCAUUUUGUUGCAUGAGAAAUAAGAUAUUCAUCGCAAAACAGAAACGAUAAAUAGUGGUACCUGAGCAAUAUGCUUAACAGAGAUCAGUUUAAUCAUUACAAAUGAUGCAUACCAUCCUUGCUUUAGACCAGAAUAUUUCCAAGAGCCCUUCGGCAUCAUCAUCAAUAUAAAAGAGGGUAUCCAUGGGCAGCCCAACAUCAGAACAAAAAGGGAAAUCCAAUCAGGAAUGGACUAUCAGUUAAUAAAAGGCUGUAAAGAGAUGGCAUCAGGAAUGGCCUAUGCUGUUACAGAUUUCAAAUAAAAUCNNNNNNNNNNNNNNNNNNNNNNNNNNNNNNNNNNNNNNNNNNNNNNNNNNNNNNNNNNNNNNNNNNNNNNNNNNNNNNNNNNNNNNNNNNNNNNNNNNNNCAAUUUUUGUCCUACCCAAUUUCGCAGUCUCCUUGCAUCGGUUGACUCAUAAGAAUUUUCCCUGAUCAGUAGACAUUCAAUUUGUUAAGAGUUUAUCAUCUUGUAUGUUCAUUAUUUUUUUUUGUGUGCUCAUCAGACCGAUCAUAAGUCUUGUAAUGUUUAAAGUGCAAGCACGUUACCCAUGAUUAAGUUGAUCUAGGUAAUGAUUUUUAACACAAGCCUUAGACAAAAGAUGUGAAGAUCUUAAAUAUGAUUUUUAUGAAGAACUUGUAAUUCACAGAUUCCCUGAACUUUGUUUUAAAGAUUAGAUUAAGGAAUGAAUUCGUCUCACAGGAUUGUAAGAGUCAAAGCGUGAGUGCUCACAUUUUUAUAUGAAGGACAAUCUAUACCCGUCAAUCCUUGGUCUUAAUAUGGCAAGAAAAAUAAUAGAGUACCUGCAUAUUCAAAAUAGAAAGUCAAGUUCAAGAUCUUUAAGUGGAAAAUUGUCUCACUGGGAGAACAAUCCUAAUUUCCAUUUAAUCCCAAAUAUCUGUCAGUUGUUUAAGUUUGAAAAUAAGCUUGUUAGUUUUGCUGAAAAUAAUACAUUUUAUGUUCUGGUUUGCGAUUCUAAUGUGAGACCAAAGAUAGUCGGCAAUCAAUAUGGAGAAGGCCCAUCCUUUGUGCUUGUCUAUAUCUCAUCUCGUUGAAGAUGUUGAAGCAUGCCUAAAUUUUGGUGGAAUAACAAAAAGUCAGCGUAAAUCAAGUUAAGGAUUCUGAUGGUGUGCAAACAUCAAAGGAACAUCAUUCUAAUAGGAGAAGCAAUAGUGAUCUGCAUCUGGCUUUUAAUGGUGAAGAUAAGACAAAAUCUGCAUCAAUCUGACAGGCCUUUGACAAGGAUGGUGAUGUCGCUUUAAUGGGACUCACCUACAACACAAGGAAAGCCCACAUUAGAUCAUUUGGUGCCCCAUAUGGCAAAGAAGACAACACAGUCAUAUCAAUUGAUGAUUCCUAUGAUAAAGAAGACAUAAAAAUAAUUUCUUUUGAUGGUUUCCCAGAUGAAAAAGGAUGUUAACCCUGUGGGGAGGCCUGACAUAGACUUCAUUCAAUUUUUAUAAUCAAUCUUCAGUUCAUGUGUCAAUACCUUAUGAGAAAGAGAUAGAUGCUUCUAAUGUUGACUAAAUAAAGUUUAAAACCGUGUCCAAGAAUAAGCAAAAGUUCAAAACAACAUGCUUCAACUCAAUUAGUUAUAAGGUGUCGACCUCUUAUACACCACCCUGCACUGGUAAUGGAAUAGUAUCCAGUUUUUUACAUGAGAAAUAAGGUAUUCAUCGCAAAACAGAAACGAUAAAUAGUGGUACCUGAGCAAUAUGCUUAACAGAGAUCAGUUUAAUCAUUACAAAUGAUGCAUACCAUCCUUGCUUUAGACCAGAAUAUUUCCAAGAGCCCUUCGGCAUCAUCAUCAAUAUAAAAGAGGGUAUCCAUGGGCAGCCCAACAUCAGAACAAAAAGGGAAAUCAAUCAGGGAGUUAGGCCAAACACUAGAUAGAGGACAUUAAGCUAAUAAAAGGCUGUAAAGAGAUGGCAUCAGGAAUGGCCUAUGCUGUUACAUAUUUCAAAUAGAAUCAUUAAGCCAAUCCAGCCAUGGACUAUCAGUUAAUAAAAUCUCAUAGGACAGCACUAAGCAGAAGUAAUUCGAAAUUAUUAUCCUCCAGUUACACUUUGAGGCAUUAAUGCAAUGAUAUUAGAGGAAAAUAAAAUGCUAUCGACAGUAAGGGCAUCAAUCAACAAAAUUUCAAAAGGGCUGCACUAAACAGUUACAUUCUGAAGUAAUAACAGAGCAAUAAAGUAUGAAAUUCAAAUCAGUCGGGGGUUACAAAUCAGUGUAGAAAAACAGUAAGGUACUAAGGCAAAGGGAAAUACAAUCAGCCGUGAAUAAUAUCCAGAGAGCAGUUUAGAGCAUUAAUAUUUUAAUUACGGUCAUCAUUAGCAAAUUAUAAAUAGCUCGACAGUUAUCACAUAGUCCUAAUCAGCAUUCAUGGGCAGUUAAAGUAUUGAAAUCAGAAAGCAAAAUUCAUGGGAUUUCAAAAGGGGCAGUUUCAGUCAGUAACUCAAAAAAAGCAAAAAAAGCAAAAGAGAAAGAAUACAAAAAAGAAAGAAAAGCAUUGCAACAGUGAUAAAAAGAGAACAAAUCAGAAAAAUUAGAGAGGAUAACAAGUGAAAAACAUGGAGCAUUCUAGAGAGAAAGGCAGAAAUAUAAACAGAGAGACUGACAUUCAAGCAAAGUCAACUUGUUAUCCGAUGCAAACCGUAGUACGAGUAGUAACCAGAACCGGGAACCACCGUGAAGGUUCGGGUCCCGCCGAUGAAAACCGCACUCGAUCCUUUCCUCGCCCUUAAUAAGCCUCUACGAGGACAGGAAGUUAUAAAAAUGAUAAAAAAUGUAUAAUAAUAGAACAAAGAAGCAAAUGGAGAAGUAAGAGGAGACGAGUGAUGAAAACCAAAGAGAUUAGGAAGGAAUGAGGACCUUUUUUCGGCCGUGAAUGAGAACCGAACCACCGUAAGCCCCGAUGAUUCUUAAUCACCGCUAUCGCAACGCUUCAAGCCGAGUCAUCACCGAAGAAGAGAAAAGAGGGAGAUUUCGUUCGAUGCAUCUUGAAGAGAAAGGGAUUCUCUUCGUCGAUCCCCUCCAACACGGGCUGGAAGGCUUCCUCCAGCUAAAUCCGUGAGCCAUCGUGCUCCUCCGCGCCGAUGAAGGUGGAGCGAUGCAAGAAGGAGGAGUUGGCAAUUAGGGAUUUUAUUCCCAUUUCCCUUUCUGCUGGAUUCCAUGGGUUUGGGGGUGAAAGGGGUUCACCCCUUUUAAUUAUUCCCAUCUCAUUUAACUCCUUUUCUUUAUUUACUCUUUGGUUGAUUUUUUUUUAUUUUUCAUUAUUCCAUCUAUGCAAUUUAAAAUGAAAUGAACAUUAAUUUAUAUGCUGCAUAUCUCAUAACUUUUAUAAUGAUUGCGUAUUCCAACUUUAAGCAACAAGCUAUUUUAUCACUAAAUUCAACCAUCAAUUCCAUAUAAACUAUUUUAUUUAAUAAGACUAUUUUGCUACUAAACUCUAUAUGUAUAAAUAAUAAGAUACACCAACACCGUCUCUAAACUAUUAAUUCUAUAUGUAUAAUUAAUAAUCACCUAAAUUCUAUAUGUACGAAUAAUUAGAAACUAUAUUAUCAAAUUAAUCAUAGAAUUUUUAUAGUAAGGUUAUGGCUCGAGUUGUCUCUAACUUCUCUAAGAAUGAGAAGAAGGUCUACAACCAACACCGUCUCUAAACUAUUAAUUCUAUAUGUAUAAUUAAUAAGCUAUUUUAUUACUAAAAUCAUAUAUCUAUAAAUAAUUAGAAACUAUUAUACUAAAUAAAUUUUAUGGGUUUUUUAGUAAGGUUACGGCUAUUAAUCAUGUAUAUAGAAAAUAAUUCUCCGGCCUAUUUUGCUACCUAAUUCUAAAAAUAACCCAAUAUUAUUUUAGCGAAUAAAUUGGGAUUUUUAUAGUGAGGUUACGGUUCGAGUCGUCUCUAACUCCCUGGAAAUAAGGAGAAGGUCUACGACCAACACCGUUCCUGAACUAUUAGUCUCAUUGAACCAAAAAAAUUAUAUAUUAACAAACUCAAUAAGCUAAUACCUCUAAAACCUAUCGGUAUUUUCCAAAUCAUUAACAAUCAACCAAAGUAGAAGCAAUUAUUUGAAAUAGAACUACGUAAGCCUUGAUCCCCUUAAUAGGGGUACGUAGGACCAAAGUCAAUAUUGUCAGGCUCAAUAAUAAAGAUAAAUAAUUCUAAAUAAAUAAUUGUUAAGGGUAUAAAAGUCUAUGUUAUUAGCGAAUACGGGCGGACGGGGUGCUAAUACCUUCCCCGAUCUGUAAUCGACUCCCGAAUUCAGAAUCUCUAUCUAAAGACCAUUUUAUCCUAAUUGGGCUUACUAUAGAGUUUUCUACGUUUUAACCGCAAAAAACGUAGUGGCGACUCCAAAUCAAUUGGGAGAGGUAGAAAUCGGGUUCACUUCUCUCCAAGUCGUAGAGCCGGUCUUCCAACCGAAAAGCGGGUCGCGACAGUUGGCGACUCCACUGGGGACAUCCUAUAAGAGAGUCAGGCCUUGAACCGCUAAUAACAAGAACUCAAGUACCCUUUUAUUUUUUGUUUGAGUCUUGUUUUUCUUAGGAAUGAAUUAUUAUCUUGAAUUACCUUUGUUGUAUGAUAUGCGAGUUCACGUGUUUGUUUUGCAGCUUAUUGGGGGGUGGGGAACUUCCUACAAAAGGUUUGUAUGCUUCCUCACACACUCACGAGAGUCAACAUGUACCUAUACCCUGAGCCCGGGUAUUAGUGAUUAAGAUCUAAGAUAGAAGGGACAUCUGCUUUGCCGGUAAGUGACCUCGAGUCGCAUCUGGUAUUGGUGGAAUGAACCACCCAGAUCGUUUCUGGUAUUAUGAGUUAAAGGCUUGGAGGGCUCGAUCCUUCUCAUUUUUAACCUAUGAUACCUGGUCUCCUUAAUUUCGGGAUUGGGUGCGAUCUGGUGACCUAGAAGUCUAGAGCUUUACCAAGUCCACUCUAAACAAAAUCUAGUAUCCUCACCUUAGGACGUAACCUAUAAACAUUCCAAGAAUCCCUUGUAAGACGUACCUUAUUUAGGACACAGGAAGCAAACAAUUUCUACUCUUUAUUAUUUACAAUCAUAAAAGUGGGGCGUAGGCCGUAAAUGGCCAGUUCCUUCAACAUCCCCACCAGAGGGCCCAAUGCCCUACGGGAUGCAUUUCAUACACACCCGUUGAUGGGUGCAAACACCCUAAAGACGUAAUUUAUGUUAUAUCAGACUAAUCGAGGUUAUUUCAUUUAAUCCCAUGCUGCAAUUAGUCCCAUUAAUGCGCUCGAGGCCCUAGGGACAAGUUUAUAUCACCAUGUUAUGAAAACAUAAUAUAAUAAAAUCAAGAUUUUACUGCCCCCAUAUAAGGACCAGCAUCCUAGGGGGUAUACAUCAUGCACAUCAUUCAUUCAUGCAUUCAUCCAUGCAUUCUUUAUCUCAUUUAUUUAACACCUUUACGAUUGUCACGCCUUUUGCAGAUUACUUUGUCGAAGAGAAACUGGUAUAGUAAGACAUGGAGACUGAUUCUCAAGUUGUGGGUUCUGUCAGCACUCUAUCAGUGAAAAAAGGAGUGAGGGUAGAAUUACAAGUUAUGGAUGUAAGCUUCCUAGCAGAUCUUGUCCCCAAGAUCCCUCAAGAGGUUCAAGACCAGCUGGCAAGAGAAUAUGGAAGGUUGUCUGACUUGGUCCUCAUCACGGUUGAUAUAGAAACAUUAAAGGGCAUGAAAGACAUGAUCCAGUACUGGAACACUGCUCUACACAUCUUCGAAUUCCCAAAUAUUGAUGCAUCCCCGACUGUGGAGGAGUAUGAGGUCCUACUCGAUAUCGGCUCUUCCAUCACAGAUAUCGAGCUAUCAAACAGGCUAAAGCUGUAUCAGUAUAACGGUACUCAGAAUGUUACAGAAGAGUAUAUCGAGGGGCUGAUCGGGAUGCAUCCCUUGUUCUGGGCAGAGUUACGGCUUUCUGUUUUUGCUUCGAAUGAUAUGGGGCCUAGGUUGCCCAAUAUUUGGGGUCUUUGCAAUGAAAAAACAUCUUGCCGAAAUGGUGGAACAAGGAAAUUGGGAGCUAUUCAAACCCGCUUUUGCUCUAGCAGUAUAUGGUAUGGUCCUAUUCCCUUUCGUUUAUGAUAUGGUAGACCAAGCGACGAUCGAUGUCUUCGCCAAAGUCAAGAGGUUCAGAGUUAACCCCGUUCCAGCAAUAGUCGCAUAAAUUCUCUUAUCUUUCCAAAGGUGUCAUGAAAAAGGCUACCACAAGGUCCGUUGUUGUGUACAUUUACUCUAUGUGUGGAUGAUUACUCGGUUUGCGCAUCACCAAUAUCCAGAUUGGAGCAGGUACCCCCUGCGCCGGUUCAGAAAUAUUGCAAUUAAACCUAUGCAACUGGCGGAUUGGAAGAAACUGUUCAAAGAGGUAACCCCUAGGAAUUUUGGAACAAAGUGUUGCUUAUAUGACAAACAUCAGGCAGUGAUGUACUCAUGUGGAGACUUUCCGAACAUGAUGUUGAUGGGCCCCCGAGGAUGCAUCUCUUUCACCCCAGCCUCAGUACUGGGACAACUGAAAUGGGGGAUGAAUCCGGUACCUCAAGAAAAGUUGCAGGGGAUCACAGUCUGGUAUAGGGACGAGGGAACUACCCGAGAAGUUCUCACAUCUGUUGGGAACGCUCUGAGGAGUAUCCGUCUCUGUGGGAAGAAUGAGCUUGGAGAACACCAAGCCUAUUACACUGAAGAGUACAAAUGCUGGAGGAAUGAAAGGACGAAAUAUGUUAUGUUGCCACCAUCUGAGUCAUCAAAAGAACCGAUCGGGCCAUCCCAUAACGAACUACUACUCGUUAGUCAGAACAAACUUCUGGAAUCAGAGUUGGAAGAGGCCCGAGAUGAAGUAGAGAAAUAAAAAUUGAUGGUGGAGAAGCUUAACAAACCAUCGCUGCACAGAAGAAGGAGGAAGUCAGCUUGAAGCGAGACUAUGCCAGCAUGUGCUCUUCAUCCGACAAAUUCCGCCUGAUCCGAGCUGGCAAAGAAAAAGACAAAAAAAUAACAGAAUUGAUCAGGUCAGAGAAAGAAAAAGAUGAACAGAUAGCCGACAUGGUUGAUCAACUGAAGGCUCGAGGGCGAGCCCUACAUACUACUUAAAGGGAUGUUCACAUGCUGAAAGCAAAAAUAGAGAAUAUGCAUGCCAACCGAAGAGAUGGGAGCCAAACGGGGGCUAUCUUAAAAGAGUAUCAGGAAGCCUUGAUGCGAGCCAGGGAAAGAGAGGAUCAACUGAAUGUUGCGUUGGAUGCUCGUUUCCAAGCAUUGGCUGAAGCAAAUCACGAUAAAACCCAUCUUUCUGAACGAAUGAAGGACCUUGAGGAAGCCUACAAUGAGUUAAAUGCCAAACAUCAUGAGUGGUCACACAACUGGGAGAAUAUGCUCCAGGAGUGUAAAUGGGACAAGGAGAAAUGGGAAGGAAGAUGCAGGCAAAUCAUCGAGGGUCUUGGGGACUUUGCUGAUGAUUGGUUGAGAAACUUUGAUGAUGCCCGCCAGGAGGUGGAAAUGUACCCUGAUACNNNNNNNNNNNNNNNNNNNNNNNNNNNNNNNNNNNNNNNNNNNNNNNNNNNNNNNNNNNNNNNNNNNNNNNNNNNNNNNNNNNNNNNNNNNNNNNNNNNNUGCUGCAUCUGGAGAAUAUUGAGCAUUUUAUGUUUUUCUUCUCCUUUGUUAAAAAUAAAAAGAAAGAGAGAAUCAUAAAGGAAAAUUGUAGUCCUACUAUGAAUAUGAAUAAAAAAUUUCUCCUUUUCUCAGAGUUUAUCCAAGUUGUUAUCUAUACAAGUAUCAUAAGGGCUCAUCAUCUUAUCUAAUAUGCAAGUAAAAAAUUCGUGACAGAGUAAAAACAUCUUGUAAUUAGACACAAUCUUGGUCUGAAGCCUAGAGUUUCUUCUAACGAUUGGUAUCAAAUGUAAACGGUCUUGCGGACUACGCUCCCAAGAUUACCAAAUACAUGACAAGAUGUUUAAUGAUAGUGAUCCACAAUGAGAGAAUAAGCCUAGAUGUAAGCAAGGUCCGAAGCCUAGAGCUUCCUCUGAGUAUUGUUAUCAACACAAGAGAAACUAUUGGGGUGCGCCUCGUAGUCAGCAAAUGCCGGUCAAGAUGUCUUACUAUACCAAGCCUCUCGAAGACAAAGAAAUCAUUUUGCUUUCAUUUUUAUCAUUUAUUUUUCAAAUUUUUAUUUUUCAAAAAUUUAUUUUUCAAAUUUUUAUUUUUCCAAUAACUCAGGUUCUGUAAUCAUUGCACACCAACAUCCUUACAAUACCCGAUCAAAAACAAAGACCAUGGCCGACCAGGAAGCUACUACUGGAGGGAAUCCCGAGGUGAUUGAGCUGAAAGAGCAAAUAGCACUGAUGAUGAGAAUGAUGGUAGCCAUGCAGCAAGAAAUGGCAUCUGGGAAUUCUUCUGUAGCAGAUAAGCGGGCCCAAUCCGCACGUAAUGCCAAUGAAGGGGGGCACAACCAACAGUCUGCCUCUAAGCAUUAGGGUGCAUCACAAGGACAUACCUCGUCAAACAAAGAGAACUCACAACACACCAACCAACAUGACUCGGAUGACGAUCCUAACUACCACGCUCCCAAGAAUGAUAAAAGCACUGCAGGACAUCAAGCUAGUAAAGACACAAACGCGAUGAUAAAGGGAAGGGGAAGGAGGAUGAAAUGUGGGACGUCAUUAAUGAAAGGCUUAAAGCUGUGGAAGGGGCUAACUGUCCCGAUUUAAAGAACGCUUUUGAAAUGUGUCUGGUCCCAGAUGUCGUUCUUCCUCCUAAGUUCAAGGUUCUCGAAUUCGAAAAGUAUGACGGGACUACAUGCCCGAAAAGCCAUCUUCAUAUGUACGCCCGGAAAAUGUCAGCGUACCAUAAUGAUGAUAAGCUGCUGAUUCAUUGCUUUCAAGAUAGCCUUGUGGGGAUCGCCACUUUGUGGUACAUCCGCCUCGAAAGCAAGCACAUUAAGACCUUCCUGGAUCUUUCCAAUGCCUUCAUAAGGCAGUACAAAUUCAAUGAGGACUCUGCGCCGGACCGCAACAAGCUUCAAAGCAUGUCGAAACCGGCAAGUGAAUCAUUCAGGGAAUAUGCACAGAGAUGGAGAGGAGUGGCCUCACAAGUCUUACCCCGUCUGGAGGAAGAAGAGCAGAUCACUAUCUUCAUCAAUACUCUCCCUAACCCUUUCUUCGACAAGAUGAUUGGGAAUAAUACAUGUGAUUUCAAUUCAUUGAUUAGAGUAGGAGACAGAAUUGAGCAAAACAUGAAAACUGGAAAGAUUGCCGCCGAACAAACCGGAGAGCCCAAAAGGCCCAACUACAUGAAAAAAAGAAACUGAAGCCCACUACAUAGCCGGAGAACCCCAAAAGAUGUCAAACAAGAUAAACAACAAUCCCUGUUCAUAUACACACCGCCCUCAACACAACCAAACACCAUACCAACCGAGCUCGCAAAACACAUACCAGAUCCCAUACCAACCAAUAGCCUACAUUAACCACAACCGCCCACCACUUCAACAAAACACAACCUUUCAAUACAACCAACCACAACCAAACCUCUAUCAACCCCGACCACCUAGGCCCAACUAUCAACCAAAUAACCAAGCCCAAAACCAUCAUCCACCCGCGCAAUACCAAACUCAGGAAAGAAGGACUUUCGACCCUAUCCCUAUGACCUAUGCCGAACUAUUCGCCACCUUACAAACAGAGCGCAUCCUAGCACCCAUUCUAGGAAGAGUCCCAAAUACUAUGGCCGCAUGGUACAACCCCAAUGUCAAUUGUGCUUACCAUUCGGGAGUAGUGGGGCAUUCAAUCGAAACUUGUAAGGCAUUAAAACACAGAGUGCAGGAUCUUAUCGAUUCCGGAUGAUUGAAAUUCAAAGACGAUGUUCCCACCAUCACAAACAACCCUUUGCCCAAUCAUGGGAACCAGGGGGUGAAUGUCUUAGAGUGGGAUGAGGCAGACACUAUUAUUGACAGGGUGGAAGACAUAAAGACACCCCUAAAGAUCAUAUUUUUGGAGAUGUGCAAAAGAGGUCUGGUGAAGUGUACGCAAGAUGGUCAACAUGAAGGUGACGUUUGCAUGCUACAUGGGACUACAUACCAUAACAUAGAAGAAUGUUCCAAGUUCAGGUCAUUGAUACAAGAAUUAUUGGACUCCCAGUUGUUGAGGAUCGGGAGGCGAAAUGAAUGUUCUGACAUAUGUGUCAUUGAAAAAGACGAGGAAAGUCCGAGUCCGGUCAUUAUAAGGUAGUUUGUACCAGUAUUCAACAUACCUACUAGCACACCAUCAUAUGCAGCUCCGCCCCGAUGGGCGCCUCAUUUGAGAAAUAUGGGACAUGAGAUAGCAAGACAACCGAGCCCAUUCCCAUAUCAAUCAGACAGAGCCGUCCCUUGGAAGUAUCGAGAGGAAGCCGGAAAAAUGCCAGUUCCAACAAAUGAAGUUGUCCACUUGGCCGGGGUGGGAAAUAUGACAAGGAGCGGAAGGGUUUAUAGCCCCGUUGAGAUAGCCAGUAAAGUCAUCAAUGCGUCUAAAGGCAAAGAAAAAGUUGAUAAGCCAGUAGAUACCAGUUCUGGAGCGGCCCGGGUUGAGAUCCCUCCAUUUGAUGUUGAAAGAGAAGUCACAGAUGAUGAAGCUUGUGAGUUCUUAUGAUUCAUCGGGCAAAGCGAGUAUCAAAUAGUUGACCAGUUGAGUCGCACUCCAGCCAAGGUAUCAUUGUUGUCUUUACUGAUGAAUUCAGAAGCUCACAGAAAGGUCCUACUGAAAGUGCUGAACCAGGCCCAUGUCGACCAUGAUAUAAGUACUAGCAAAUUAGAUGGUAUCGUCAAUAAUAUCAUGGUCGAUAACUUUAUCUCCUUCAGCAAUGAGGAAAUACCGAGUGAAGGAACAGGGCACACCCGUCCUCUCCACAUCUCCAUCAUGUACACAGAUUUUGUAAUAGGAAGGGUGUUGAUAGACAAUGGUGCAUCGCUCAAUGUGAUAACCAAGAGAACAUCGUCUAAAUUACGAGUGGACGAGUCAGCCAUAAAACCAAGUUCAACAGUUGUUCGAGCCUUCGAUGGAGCCCGAAGGGAUGUGCUGGGAGAAAUCGAGCUACCUGUGAAGAUUGGGCCGUGUACUUUCCAGAUCCUAUUUCAGUUCAUGGAUAUCAAUCCGUCGUUCAGCUGUCUAUUGGGAAGGCCAUGGAUCCAUUUCAUCGACGCUAUACCUUCCUCAUUGCAUCAAAAGGUGAAGUUUAUCGCGGGGGGCAAGUUGAUAACCAUCAUGGGUGAAGAAGACAUUCUGGUGUCUCAGCUUAGUGAUACCCCAUACAUAGAAGCUGACACUGAAGCUUUAGAGUCUUCUUUCCGGGCGUUAGAGAUUGCAAGUGCUUCUUCCAAUAGGAGAGGACAUCCUAAACUCAAUCUGCCACCCUCUAAUGUCUCCAUUAACAUGGCGAGGGUCAUGCUAAAGAAAGGAUUCCAGCCAGGAAAAGGUUUAGGGAGAUAUGGUCAGGGAAUUGAAAACACCACAACCCUCCCAAUUAAUAAUGGUCGAUAUGGAUUGGGCUAUAAACCCAGCAAAGCUGAUGAGGACCGACUGGCAGAGGAAAAGAAGAGGAGUACUACUCGUGCGGGGCGUUACAGAAAUGAUAGCAGAAGGAUUCCCAUCCCCCACAUCAGUCAGAGUUUUGUGAGUGCAGGCUUCCCAGAACAGAAACUGAUUGCAAUGAUGAGUGAAGACCAGCCAGAUGAUGAUUUCAGUCAGGUGUACUAGUGCCCUCCAGGCAUGAUCUUGGACAAUUGGACCAUAAAGGAUGUUGCUAGCUGUAUUUAUGGGCCAAUGUAAUUAAAAAUGUUUUAACAUUUAUAAACUUUUUUGGUCACCAUUUGCCUAGCCCUGGGCAUUUGGAUCUCGUGUUAAUAAGGGCAUGUUUUUACUUUCAUCAGUGUGAUUUCUAAUAAAACAAACCAUCGCAUUUCAUUCCAUUUCUUGAACAAUUUUAUAUUGCACUUUCUGCCUAAACAAAUCAAUAAAUUAACCUGAUAUAAACCAAUAAACCAUAAUGCAGAUCUGACAUCGAAUCUAUAUCUAAUGCCAUCAUUAACAAUCACUUGCCAAAUUUUGAUCACCCGAUAAAUCAAGCAGAGGGAUGUGACAGUGACGAAGGCUGCGAAGCGUCACCGGAAUUGCGGAGAUUAGUCAAACAAGAAGGCCAAGAAAUUCAGCCUCAUGGGGAACCCGUCGAGUUGGUGAAUCUAGGUUCAGAGGAAGAAAAGAAGGAGGUUCGGAUAGGCACAAUCAUGGAUAGCACUGAGCAAGAAAAACUCAUUGCGCUUCUACAUGAAUACAAGGAUGUAUUCGCUUGGUCAUAUGAGGAGAUGCCAGGUCUAGAUCGGAAUUUAGUGGAACACAAACUACCGCUACAAGAAGACUCUAAACCGGUAAAACAAAAACUACGAAGGAUGAGGCCAGACAUAUCCUUAAGAGUCAAAGAGGAAGUGGAAAAAUGGUUGGAAGCCAAAUUCGUGACAGUCUCUACAUACCCCAAAUGGGUGGCCAACAUAGUUGCAGUGCCAAAGAAAGGAGGGAAACUCCGGAUAUGUGUUGACUAUAGAGACCUUAAUCGGGCAAGUCCAAAGGAUGACUUCCCUGUGCCACACCUCGAUGUUCUAGUCGAUAGUACAGCCGAUCAUGCUUUAUUCUCAUUCAUGGACGGAUACUCCGGGUACCACCAGAUUAAGAUGGCUCCGGAAGAUAUAGAUAAAACAACCUUCAUUACCCCAUGGGGUACCUUCCGCUAUCUCGUGAUGCCAUUCGGGUUAAAAAAUGCUAUGGCCACCUAUCAAAGGGCCAUGAUUGCCAUUUUUCAUGAUAUGAUGCACAAGGAGAUCGAGGUCUAUGUCGACGAUAUCAUUUGCAAAUCCAAAUCGGAAGAGGAGCAUGUCCCCAAUCUGCGAAAGCUCUUUGAGAGGUUACGAAAGUAUCAGCUCAAAUUGAACCCAGCUAAAUGCAGCUUCGGAGUGAAAUCUGGCAAAGUCUUGGGCUUCAUUGUUAGUCAGAAAGGCAUAGAGGUUGAUCCUGAAAAAAUCAGAGCCAUCGCCGAGAUGCUAGCCCCUAAGACAGAGAAAGAAGUUAGAGGAUUCUUGGGUCGUCUGAACUACAUCUCCCGGUUUAUCUCUCAACUAACUGCAAUUUGUGAACCCAUAUUCAAGUUAUUAAGGAAGAAUCAAGCGGUGACAUGGAAUGAAGACUGCCAAACAACUUUCGAAAAAAUCAAGCAAUACUUGGACAGAACCUCCGAUAUUGAUGCCUCCAGUCCCAGGUCGACCCCUAAUCCUGUAUCUAACAGUGCUGGAUGAGUCCAUGGGUUGUAUUCUAGGACAACAUGAUUACUUAGGGAAGAAAGAGCAGAUCAUUUAUUACCUGAGCAAGAAAUUCACUGAUUGUGAGAAGAGGUAUUCUCUGCUGGAACGCACUUGUUGUGCCUUGGCAAGGGAUCGUAAUACAUGUUGAGCCACACUACUUGGUUGGUAUCUAAAAUGGAUCCAAUUAAAUACAUAUUUGAGAAGCCUAUUAUGACGGGGAGAAUUGCCAGAUGGCAGGUGCUUCUAUCCGAGUAUGAUAUCGUGUAUGUCACCCAGAAGGCAAUAAAAGGAAGUGUCCUCGCCGAUUACCUUGCCAGCCAACCGGUAGACAAAGGGGAUUUGAUUAAUGAGGAAUUCCCUGAUGAAGGGAUUAUGAUGAUAUCUCUAGGCAUGGAAACAGAAGGAGAUAGAUGGACUCUUGUGUUUGACGGGGCUUCCAAUAUACUCGGACACGGAAUAGGGGCAGUAUUGAUCUCCCCGGAGAAUAAAUUCAUCCCGAUUACUGCUCGACUAUGCUUUGACUGCACCAACAACAUCACGGAGUAUGAGGCAUGUGUCUUGGGUUUGGAGGCGGCCUUGGAGUCAAGAAUUAAAUCCAUAGAAGUAUUCGGAGACUCUGCUCUAGUGAUUCAUCAAGUAAAAGGGGAAUGGGAGACCAGAGAUUCUAAGUUGAUACCAUAUAGAGAUCAUAUCCAAAAGUUGAUCGAUCGAUUCGAGGAAAUAGACUUUUACCAUAUCCCAAGGGAAGAUAAUCGGUUGGCUGAUGCUUUGGCAACUUUGUCCUCCAUGUUCCAGAUAGGUGAAAAGGAAAUGCUAGUUAUCAGAAUAGCAAGCAAAGAUCAGCCUGCAUACUGCUAUGAGUAAAGAGUAUCAUGACAUAAUGACAUACCUCAAGAGCAAAGAGUAUCCUUCCGAGGCCACGGAAAAUGAUAAAAGGACUCUACGAAGGUUAGUUAUGGGCUUCUUUCUAAACGAAAACGUGUUGUACAAAAGAAACCAUGACAUGAUGCUACUGAGGUGUGUGGAAGCCAAGGAAGCAGAGAAGAUCAUCCAGGAAAUACAUGAAGGAAUGUUUGGGACCCAUACGAAUGGGCACUCAAUGGCUCGGAAAAUCCUGAGAACAGGCUAUUUCUGGUUAACAAUGGAAAGUGAUUGUUGCGAUCAUGUACGAAAAAGUCACAAAUGCCAGAUUUAUGCUGAUAAUAUUAAUGCAUCUCCCAGCCUGCUAAAUGUUAUGUCUUCCCCAUGGUCGUUUUCUAUGUGGGGUAUGGACGUUAUCAGUCCGAUCGAACCAAAGGCUUCCAACGGUCACCGCUUCAUCUUGGUUGCAAUCGACUAUUUCACCAAGUGGGUCGAGGCGAACUCAUACGCAAGCGUAACUCGUAACGUGGUACUCAAGUUUAUAAAAAAGGAGUUGAUUUGCCGCUAUGGUUUGCCUCAGAAAAUUAUCACAGAUAAUGCUACCAAUCUCAACAACAAGAUGAUGACGGAGAUGUGUGAGGAAUUCAAAAUCAAACAUCACACUUCUUCGCCUUACAGACCUAAGAUGAACGGGGCAGUGGAGGCAGCAAAUAAAAAUAUAAAGAAGAUAGUCCAGAAAAUGAUGGUGACCUACAGAGAUUGGCAUGAUAUAUUACCAUAUGCACUUCAUGGUUAUCGGACUUCUGUCCGCACAUCAACUGGGGCAACACCCUACUCGCUGGUUUAUGGGGUGGAAGCAGUGCUGCCGAUAGAAGUCGAAAUCCCGUCACUAGGAGUGCUCGCUGAAGCUGAAUUAGAAGAGGCAGAAUGGGUCCAAGCUCGACAUGGUCAGUUGAAUCUUAUUGAAGGGAAGAGGUUGGCAGCCAUAUGUCAUGGUCAAUUAUACCAGAGGAGGAUCAUGAGGGCACAUGCUAAGAAGGUACGCCCUCGAGCAUUCCGGGAAGGUGACUAGUACUGAAGAAGAUUUUACCUAUUCAGAAGGAUCACCGGGGAAAAUGGACACCCAAUUACGAAGGCCCGUAAGUGGUAAUGAAAGCGUUCUCAGGGGGAGCUCUCAUUCUGACCAACAUGGACGGAGAAGACCUUCGUCUCUCCGUAAACUCUGAUGCAGUGAAGAAGUACUAUGCUUGAGGCGACUUCCUAAAAAAAAAGAUGAAAAAAAAGAAAAAAACAAAAAAGAAGGAGAAAAAGAAACUCAAUUUCUUAGGAAUAUUAAUGUAAUGAACACGAUCGUUAUUUAUAAAAUUGCAUACAUGUUUUAAGCGAAAAUGGAGAAUGAUGUAGACAAAUUCCCUAAAGGUGUGAAUUCUCGAAUAAAUGUUUCCGAUGACACAAGGCUUCUUUGUAACUCCUAAACACUUAUGAAGAUAUCCCUAGUCACCCUAUUUUAGCCCAGACUUUAUGAAGAAUGAUCAAAAUAAAAACCCUAAAAAGACAUUAAUAACCGGGGAAGGGUAGUUUUUCCAAUAUUUCCUAUAAUUCAAAAGAACAAUGCUUCAAAUCAAGUAGUGAGAAUCUAGAAAUCUCAAAGUAGAAGAAAAAUGAGAAAGGUCCGCUAAGAUACUCAAGAGAUCUUAGGCAAAAAUUAGGACAAAAACACAUCAGAUCCUCACUUGUCAAUACUAAAACGAAGCAAUAAAAUCACGAGAGGAAUCAUUGGAAAUAGGAUAUCGGAGAAAAGGAGAUGUAGUGGGAAGGGAAACACAAUUUGAGCCUUAAUAUCCAUUUUUUUGUAAGCCAUUUAACCAGGCCACGAUUCAAGCCCAAAAAGUCCUUGUUGAGGAAUAAUUUGUUUGGAACCAUGCUAGGGUAAAAAGCAAACUGACUCCAGAAGGAAACGUUUUAAGUGCACUCAUAUUUUGUAAACCAAAACUCGCACAAAGUGAUAAUUACGUUAAUAUUUCUAAAAAAUAAAAAGAAAAAGAACAUCCUGGUAGGUCGAAAACCUGAAAGGGCGGCCUAGGCAAAAGUUAGGGAUUAUCAUUAAAGAAAGUCGUUCUCAAUCGGAAGAAUGAUCACUCAGGAAGACAUCAAAGUAAGAUACUGGGGGCAGGUUCAUUGGAUGAGUAGUCUCACCCANNNNNNNNNNNNNNNNNNNNNNNNNNNNNNNNNNNNNNNNNNNNNNNNNNNNNNNNNNNNNNNNNNNNNNNNNNNNNNNNNNNNNNNNNNNNNNNNNNNNAAAAAAAACUCGUUCAAAUCUAUACCUCCACAUGUUAAUAUAAAGUCAUACCUUGUUCAUUAUCCCUCAUAUAUUAAUGCAUGAGUUGUUUUUGUGAAAAUACACUGAUGAAUAAUAAUAUGACCUUUUGCGAUAAUUAAUCAGAACAAGUAAUCGAGCAGCAUGGCCAUCCGUAAAGAAGAGCUGAAAUCAUGUCAAUAUAAAGCUUUAUUACUAGAGCUUCCACACCAAAUGAAAUUGGAACUUCAGAUUGUAAGGAUGCUCAAAAUCAAAUUCAAUGAUAACGGACUUGUAAAAUGAAAACAAUCAAGAUUUUCUCAAUAAAUGAUUCAAACAUUACAAGCAAAAAACCACACAUCAUGCAUUGCAUAUUCACAAACUAAAAAACAUCUGCAUUUACUUUUAUUGUCUCGAGUUCCGGCAGUACCUGACCAGCGUUCUCGCAAGUACUUUUAUUGUCUCGAGUUCCGGCAGUACCUGACCAGCGUUCUCGCAAGUACUUUUAUUGUCUCGAGUUCCGGCAGUACCUGACCAGCGUUCUCGCAAGUACUUUUAUUGUCUCGAGUUCCGGCAGUACCCGACCUGCGUUCUCGCAUUUACUUUUAUUGUCUCGAGUUCCGGCAGUACCCGACCUGCGUUCUCGCAUCUACUUUUAUUGUUCCGAGUUCCGGCAGUACCCGACCUGCGUUCUCGCAUUUACUUUCAUUGUCUCGAGUUCCGGGAGUACCCGACCUGUGACCUGCGUUCUCGCAGUUACUUUUAUUGUCUCGAGUUCCGGCAGUACCCGACCUGCGUUCUCGCAUUUACUUUCAUUGUCUCGAGUUGUGGUAGUACCCGACCUGCGUUCUCGCAUUUACUUUCAUUGUCUCGAGUUCCGGGAGUACCCGACCUGUGUUCUCGCAUUUACUUUUAUUGUCCCGAGUUCCGGCAGUACCCGACCUGCGUUCUCGCAUUUACUUUUAUUGUCCCGAGUUCCGGCAGUACCCGGCCUGCGUUCUCGCAUUUAUCUUUUUAUUAUUUCGAGUUCCAGCAGCAUCCGACCUGCGUCCUCGCAUUACCUUUUGUUAUUAUCAAGUUCCAGCAGUACCCAACCUGCGUUCUCACUUUACCAAUUAUCUCUAUCUCACUUAAGGUUGUAUAGUUUCUUUCGCCCAUUUGUACCAAAAUUGACGUUCAUUUCUUUACUAACUGCUUACAGAAAUAGCAACCAAUCCUCAGUUUGUCUACUACUUAGUAAGCAAUGAGUAAAGAGGGGCAGUUGUGAACACUCAAUUUUUGUCCUACCCAAUUUCACAGUCUCCUUGCAUCGGUUGACUCAUAAGAGUUUCCCUGAUCAGUAGACAUUCAAUUUGUUAAGAGUUUAUCAUCUUGUAUGUUCAUUAUUAUUUUUUUGUGUGUGCUCAUCAGACCGAUCAUAAGUCUUGUAAUGUUGAAAGUGCAAGCACGUUACCCAUGAUUAAGUUGAUAUAGGUAAUGAUUUUUAACACAAGCCUUAGACAAAAGAUGUGAAGAUCUUAAAUAUGAUUUUUAUGAAGAACUUGUAAUUCACAGAUUCCCUGAACUUUGUUUUAAAGAUUAGAUUAAGGAAUGAAUUCGUCUCACAGGAUUGUAAGAGUCAAAGCGUGAGUGCUCACAUUUUUAUAUGAAGGACAAUCUAUACCCGUCAAUCCUUGGUCUUAAUAUGGCAAGAAAAAUAAUAGAGUACCUGCAUAUUCAAAAUAGAAAGUGAAGUUCAAGAUCUUUAAGUGGAAAAUUGUCUCACUGGGAGAACAAUCCUAAUUUCCAUUUAAUCCCAAAUAUCUGUCAGUUGUUUAAGUUUGAAAAUAAGCAUGUCAAUUUUGCUGAAAAUAAUACAUUUUAUGUUCUGGUUGGCGAUUCUAAUGUGAGACCAAAGAUAGUCGGCAAUCAAUAUGGAGAAGGCCCAUCCUUUGUGCUUGUCUNNNNNNNNNNNNNNNNNNNNNNNNNNNNNNNNNNNNNNNNNNNNNNNNNNNNNNNNNNNNNNNNNNNNNNNNNNNNNNNNNNNNNNNNNNNNNNNNNNNNUUCAUUCAAUUUUUAUAAUCAAUCUUCAGUUCAUGUGUCAAUACCUUAUGAGAAAGAGAUAGAUGCUUCUAAUGUUGACUAAAUAAAGUUUAAAACCGUGUCCAAGAAUAAGCAAAAUUUCAAAACAACAUGCUUCAACUCAAUUACUUAUAAGGUGUCGACCUCUUAUACACCACCCUGCACUGGUAAUGGAAUAGUAUCCAGUUUUUUACAUGAGAAAUAAGGUAUUCAUCGCAAAACAGAAACGAUAAAUAGUGGUACCUGAGCAAUAUGCUUAACAAGGAUCAGUUUAAUCAUUACAAAUGAUGCAUACCAUCCUUGCUUUAGACCAUAAUAUUUCCAAGAGCCCUUCGGCAUCAUCAUCAAUAUAGAAGAGGGUAUCCAUGGGCAGUCCGACAUCAGAACAAAAGGGAAAUUAAUCAGGGAGUUAGGCCAAACACUAGAUAGAGGACAUUAAGCUAAUAAAAGGCUGUAAAGAGAUGGCAUCAGGAAUGGCCUAUGCUGUUACAGAUUUCAAAUAAAAUCAUUAAGCCAACCCAGCCAUGGACUAUCAGUUAAUAAAAUCUCAUAGGACAGCACUAAGCAGAAGUAAUACGAAAUUAUUAUCCUCCAGUUACACUUUGAGGCAUUAAUGCAAUGAUAUUAGAGGAAAAUAAAAUGCUAUCGAUAGUAAGGGCUAUCAAUCAACAAAAUUUCAAAAGGGUUGCACUAAACAGUUACAUUCUGAAGUAAUAACAGAGCAAUAAAGUAUGAAAUUCAAAUCAGUCGGGGGUUACAAAUCAGUGUAGAAAAACAGUAAGGUACUAAGGCAAAGGGAAAUACAAUCAGCCGUGAAUAAUAUCCAGAGAGCAGUUUAGAGCAUUAAUAUUUUAAUUACGGUCAUCAUUAGCAAAUUGUAAAUAGCUCGACAGUUAUCACAUAGUCCUAAUCAGCAUUCAUAGGCAGUUAAAGUAUUGAAAUCAGAAAGCAAAAUUCAUGGGAUUUCAAAAGGGGCAGUUUCAGUCAGUAACUCAAAAGGUUUUUGCAUUGACUCAUACUCAGCUAUAAAUAGCAGCUCCAUUCAUAACCAGAGGAACAUUGAUACACACAUACAUUCAGCCAAAAAAGCAAAAGAGAAAGAAUACAAAAAAGAAAGAAAAGCAUUGCAAUAGUGAUAAAAAGAGAACAAAUCAGAAAAAUUAGAGAGGAUAACAAGUGAAAAACAGGGAGCAUUCUAUAGAGAAAGGCAGAAAUAUAAACAGAGAGAGUGACAUUCAAGCAAACUUAAUCCAAAAUAGACUUACGUUUCACAAGCAUUACAAAGUGGUAGAACCCGUAUCAUACGACAGGAAGCAUAUAUUCAGGUAACCAUUCAAACGAAAUAGGUAUCAUAACAUGUCUUAUUUUAGGUGAUUUAUGCAUCGAAGUUAUAGGAAUAAAUUAUAAACCGAUUUAAUCGGCCAUUUCGCAGAAACUCACAUAAGUAUAAUAGGCUAGAAUAUAAAAUAGAGCAUGAACGAAAUUGGUUUUAAUCUAUGUAUUUCCACCAGUUAAAGAGAUUUGUUUUAGUCCAUGUAUUCCCACCAGUUAAAGACCAAACACUCAUCGAUGUUGACAUAACAGAUUAAAUUCAUGCUCUAAAAUCAAAUAGAAAGGAUAAAAGAUCAAAGAGGGAUACCGAAGUAGAAAAAUGCGAUUUCCAUUCUCGAUGUCAUCUUGUUAUCCGAUGCAAACCGUAGUACGAGUAGUAACCAGAACCGGGAACCACCGUGAAGGUUCGGGUCCCGCCGAUGAAAACCGCACUCGAUCCUUUCCUCGCCCUUAAUAAGCCUCUACGAGGACAGGAAGUUAUAAAAAUGAUAAAAAAUGUAUAAUAAUAGAACAAAGAAGCAAAUGGAGAAGUAAGAGGAGACGAGUGAUGAAAACCAAAGAGAUUAGGAAGGAAUGAGGACCUUUUUUCGGCCGUGAAUGAGAACCGAACCACCGUAAGUCGCGAGGAUUCUUAAUCACCACUAUCGCAACGCUUCAAGCCGAGUCAUCACCGAAGAAGAGAAAAGAGGGAGAUUUCGUUCGAUGCAUCUCGAAGAGAAAGGGAUUCUCUUCGUCGAUCCCCUCCAACACGGGCUGGAAGGCUUCCUCUAGCUAAAUCCGUGAAAUCAAUUGGGAGAGGUUGAAAUCGGGUUCACUUCUCUCCAAGUCGUAGAGCCAGUUUUCCAACCGAAAAUCGGGUCGCGACAACAUCUUUCUUUUGAACAUGGUCCCUUAGGAAGUGAUGCCUUAUAUCUAUGUGUUUUGUUCUAGAAUGCAUAAUAGGAUUCUUUGUAAGAUUUAUAGAACUAGUAUUAUCACAUUUCAGCGAAGUGCAGCCUAAGUCUAAGCCAUAAUCUCGUAAUUGUUGCCUAAGCCAUAACACUUGGGCACAACAACUACCUGCUGCUAUAUAUUCAGCCUCAGCAGUGCUUAGCGCAAUACAUGCUUGUUUCUUGCAAGACCAAGAAACUAAAGCAUUGCCUAAAAUGUGACAAGUACCUCUUGUACUUUUCCUUUCAGAAUUUCAGCGGAGUCCAGCCUAAGUCUAAGCCAUAAUCUCGUAAUUGUUGCCUAAGCCAUAACACUUGGGAACAACAACUACCUGCUGUUAUAUAUUCAGCCUUAGCAGUGCUUAGCGCAACACAUGCUUGUUUCUUGCAAGACCAAGAAACUAAAGCAUUGCCUAAAAUGUGACAAGUACCUCUUGUACUUUUCCUUUCAGAAUUACAUCCGGCAAAAUCUGAAUCCGAAUAUCCAACCAAUUCACAUAUACUUCCUUUAGGAUACCACAGUCCAACUUCAGUUGUUCCUUUAAGAUAUUUCAUAAUUCUCUUAACAACAACUAAGUGUGAUUCUUUUGGUUUAGACUGAUAACAUGCAUACAGACAUACACUAAACAUGAUAUCAGGUCUAUUGGCAGUUAAAAAUAUAGAAGAGAUCCGAUCAUACCUCGAUACUUUGAUAUUUCAAUAAUUUUUCCACUUUCAUCAGUAUCAAUGUAUGUGCUAGAUCCCAUAGGAGUAGCUAUUGGCUUGCAGUCAUCCAUAUCAAAUAUUUUCAGUAAAUCCCUACAGUACUUGGUUUGACUCACAAAAAUGUCAUUAUCAAGUUGUUUGAUUUGUAGUCCAAGGAAGUAGUUCCACUUUUCCAUCAUGUACAUUUCAAAUUCUCCUUGCAUCAUUUUUCCAAAGUCACUACACAAACUUUCAUUAGUAGAACCAAAAAUAAUAUCAUCUACAUAAAUCUGAACUAGUAAAGUAUUAUGAUUUAUUUUCUUUAUAAAUAGAGUACUGUCGACCUUCCCUUUGGUAAAACCUUUUUCUAUCAGAAAAGUUGUUAGAUGAUCGUACAACGCUCGUGGAGCUUGCUUUAGACCAUAGAGGGCUUUCUUUAACCUGUAGACAUGAGAAGGAUGUUUGUAAUCUUCAAAACCAAGAGGUUGUUCUACAAACACUUNNNNNNNNNNNNNNNNNNNNNNNNNNNNNNNNNNNNNNNNNNNNNNNNNNNNNNNNNNNNNNNNNNNNNNNNNNNNNNNNNNNNNNNNNNNNNNNNNNNNCUUUCAAACUCGUUUAAUUCUUCUUGCAUAGAAAGAAUCCAGUGUUCAUCCUCGAUUGCAUCAUCAAUCUUGGAGGGAUCUAUCUGAGAGACGAAGGCCAUGUUUAGACAAGCAUCAAUCAUUCUACGAGUAGUUAUACCUUUACUUAUAUCACUUAUGAUGUUGUCAAUAGGAUGAUUUUGACGAGCUCUCCAUUCUCUUGGUAGAUCUGAGUGAAUAUGCUCUUCUUGAGAAGAUAGAUUAUCAUAUUUUCUCAAUUCUUCAGGUUCAGUUCUAACAUCAACAAUAGAAUUUUCUUUGGCAAAGGAACUUAGCAAGUCGUCUUCAUCACAGGAUAUCACUUCUUUUAAUACAUGAUUGGUUUCAUCAAAAGUUACAUGAACAUAUUNNNNNNNNNNNNNNNNNNNNNNNNNNNNNNNNNNNNNNNNNNNNNNNNNNNNNNNNNNNNNNNNNNNNNNNNNNNNNNNNNNNNNNNNNNNNNNNNNNNNUUGAAGAGUUCAUAGGGGGUUUUCUUAAGAAUAGGUCUUAUAAGAACUUGAUUCGAAAUAUAACACGCAGUGUUAACUGCAUCAGCCCAAAUGUAUUUUGGGAGGUUAGUUUCAUUUAACAUUGUUCGAGCCAGUUCUUCUAAGGACCGAUUCUUUCUCUCUACAACACCAUUUUGUUGAGGUGUUCUAGGAGCAGAAAAAUUGUGGUUGAUCCCAAGAUCAUCACAGAAUUCCUGAAAAGAGGAGUUUUGAAAUUCUCCCUCAUGAUUACUUCGUAUAGCAGCGACUUUUAGAGAUUUUUCAUUCUGAACUCUUUUAGCAUAAAUGCUAAAGGCUUUGAAUGCCUCAUACUUAUGUACUAAAAAUAGAGUCCAAGUAUAUCUAGAAAAAUCGUCCACUAUAACAAGAUCAUAAUAAUUUCCACCAUAACUUUUUGUCCUUUAGGGACCAAAUAAAUUCAUAUGAAGUAAUUGUAAUGAUCUAUCGGAAGAAACCAUGUGCUUUGGUUUGAAAGAAGUUUUUGUUUGUUUACCCAUUUGACAAGCACUACAUAGUUUGUCUUUAACAAACUUCAUUUUGGGUAAACCGACAACUAAAUCUUUCUUAAUAAGUUUAUUCAGAUGUUCCAUGUGAAUAUGAGCAAUUAUUCUAUGCUAAAGCCAUGCACUUAGAUAAAUAUAAUAACAAUGUUACCUGUACCAAGGAUUUUUCUUUUGAUGUUCUAUGCAUAGGUAACAAGGCCUUUAUUGCUUGAAUAAAUGAUAAUUUUGAAAAUCCACGUGCUGUGUGCUUUGAACAGCGGUUGUCAUGAUAAUACAUUUAUGCCUAUGGAUUUCAAGCAUUCCUGCAAAACAAAUUAAAAACAUUUUCUAGGUACCCAAUGUGAUUUGGGUCCUGCGGGGUUAACAACUUUUUCUAUCCAUUUAUAUUGGCCACAUGACACACCAUAUUUUUCUAAUAUGACAAGUGUUUGGUGUGUGACCAAUUUUAUCACAAUAAGAACAAGUGGGUAGAUGCUUAUGUAUCUUGUGUUUAGACUUGUGGAAAGAAUGUUGAUCAAAAUUUUCUUUAGAAAUUUUAUGCAUGCAAUCAUUCUUAGUUUUCCCAAAAGUACUCUUUAUCAUACCAUUAGUUUUUCGGCUAUUUGUGUAGCCUAGACCUUUUCGGUAAUUGGUAUGUUUUUUAAUAUUUAAAAUAUUGUCCAACUUAUAUGUACUCUUCUUGAACAUAUUCAUUUCUUGAUUUAAUGAAAUAAUUUUAUUUUCAAGAGUAUCACAUUUUCGACAAUCAAUGCACUUGUUAUUUGAUUUGGAUUUUAAAACAUCCAAAUCCUUCUGUAGAAUUUUAUUUUGACUCUCAAGAAGUUCUAUAGUGUUUUUCUGAUUUAUGCACACUUUAGAGAGUCUAAUAAAUUCUUCAUGUAAUUCACAAAAAGGCAUUAUGUAACUCUUUAUAUGAAAAUGUAUCAUCUGGUUCAGAGUUACUAACCUCAUAGUCGUCAUUUGAAUUAUGCGAAGCCAUCAAUGAAAUAUGUGUUUGCUCCAUAAUUCUGAGUUCUGCAUUUGAACUGCCAUCUUUAUCUUGUGAUAUAACAUUUGUUCUUCUAUGCUUCUUGUCCUUCUUUCCUUUGAAAGUAUGAUGUUUUUGUAGGGCUGGACAAGCACAUUUUAGAUGAUCUGGUUUUCUGCAUAUUGAGCAUGUAGAUUUCUGUUUGGAUGUUGAUGCUUCACUAUUUGUUGUAGAGCUUUGUACUUCUUUGGCUCCAUGUAUCCUUUCUAGCGUAUCCCAAAUAUCUUUCGACAUUUUGCAACUUGACACUCUAAGGAAUUCGUUUUCUUCUAGAACCGACACAAGAAUGUGUUUGGCUUUAAGGUUGUAUUACACUUUCUUCUUCUCUUCAAUGGUCCAUGAACAUUUUGGUUUUGGUUGUUUAACCCCAUUAACAAUCAUGGAUGGGAUGAAUGGACCUUCUUCUAUUGAGUCCCAUAUAUCUAAGUCUAUAGAUUCUAUGAAGAUUCUCAUCCAGAUUUUCCAGAAUGCAUAAUGUUCUCUAAUGAAAAUCGGAGGUCUAUUAAUUUUGGAACCUUCUCCUAGAAAAGACUUAUAUGCCAUCAAAAGUGCUAGGAUAUUUGGGAAUAACUUACCCAAAAUAAGCUCUGGUUCCAAUUGUAAGAAUGAGAUUGCAACUAAGAGGGGGUGAAUUAGUUGACUUAAAAUUAUGGUAACUUUUUCUGCAAAAUUUAAGAGUUAAUGUGCAGCGAAUAAUAUUGCAGAAAAUAACCAAGAAUAAAUUAAAGAAGUAAGGGAAAGGAGAGUACACAAGGAUUUUAUACUGGUUCACCUUCUAAUCCACCGAAGGCUACGUCCAGUACUCUUGCAGCACAAGAGAUUUUCCACUAAAUAUUAUGAGUUGUAAUUACAAUAUCUCACCCCGAGAUCUUUAAGUAUCUUACACACUGACUAAUAUUUAUACCCUUGGAAAACACAUUUCCAAGUAACUCUAUCCCCUUUCUAUUCACACCCUGUGAAAGAAAGUUUAUUGCAAUGAAUGAAGAAUUUGAAUGAUGGCUUUGGAUUGCCUUUACAAGUAUAAAAUAUUAUAACACUUGCAAUCCAAUCAACUCUUUUGUAUACGUAGUAAUAAUGCUCAAUAGAUUUUUAAAACCUUGAAACAAUUACUUCAAGUAACUCAGAAAAAAUCUCUUUUGAAAGUUUAAGAACUUAGUGCAAAAGUGCAGAAAUAUAGUGAGAGAAUUUUUCAGAGUCGUAUGAGAGUUGUGUGUUUGUGUUGUGAAAGUUAGAGUCUUUAUAUAGACUUUCAAAACACCCAUGGUGUCUUUCUGAAAGUGUAGGAGUUGUUUGAAGUGAAGAGAUUUCAUUUGGAAUGAAAACAUUUCGUUUUGAAAUCUGAAAUCUCAUGCAACAGUCUUCAGUAAUCGAUUAUUGAUAGUGGGUAAUCGAUUACCCAAACUCUCUGUCCACUGUUUAUUUAAAAACGAAUUAGAGUACUCGAUUACACCAUUUGGGUAAUCGGUUACUCAACUUUUCUAAAAGUGAUAAUUUGUUACUCAAAGGCAGUAAUGGAUUACUCUAAACAGUUUAAAGUUGGAUAACUCUUUUUCUCUCACAUGUAACUUGUUACUUAAAUGAAGUAACACGUUACACAUCAUUCUUAAAAAAUGUUUUUAAGUAUUUUUAAAAUAGUUUGAGCAUUACUACUUUGUAUUUAUAAAGAGUUUUAGGAUAGAAGUACCUAUAGAGACUUAAUCUAAUUUUCUUGAAGCUUUAAUCUUCUUUGUCUUCAUAAGUAUUCUUCAUUUUAUUCUUUUUGGUGAUUUUGGUGAUUUUGGUGUCUUCAUCAAAACCUUGCCAAGGUCAGGAGCAAAGAUAUUCUUCAUAGAUAUUGGUCUAUGAUUUCUGGAAAUCUGUUUGAGAUGGAUAAUAGCAUUUUUAGGAAUGUGGGUGGCUUAUCUACUACUGGUGUUAGCGUAGGUGAUUGUGAAAGGCUUGCUGAUUUCGACGUUGCUGAGGUAUAUAAAUCAUGUCUGAGAGGUACUCAUUUGUAUGUCCAGGGAGAAUUGAGUAAAGAUGGUUCUCUAUCGGUAGAGAAUAGAUUGCUUCACUACUUGAUUGCCUACAUUUUUAUUCAGAGGAAAACUAACCAUGCACAACCUAUUGUUAAUGAUCUGAAAUUUAUGUAUGUCGUGAAGGAGAAUAUAAUGGUUAAUUGGCCUGAAGAAAUUCUGAAGGUCAUGUAUAAUGUCUCUACAUCGCUCCAAAAUGUUGCCCUACAGUAUCUUCAUAUCGAGAAUUAUUGACUAUUUGCAUAUUGGUGUUUCGGACACCAUCAUCACAUAGACUUCUGAUAAAGAUCACCUUGUUAGUGAAAGCCUAAUCCACAAAAUGGGUAUUUACAAGUAUGGAAAUACUUGGCAAUACCAGGAAGAUUUUACUAUAGUGGAUUUGGAGAUAUUUGAUGAUGAGGAUCAGGCUGGUACAGAACAGCCUAAGGUAGAGACUCAGUGGGAGCCAUCUGGAACUGCGAAGCAAGAAUCGUCCUUUGGAUUAGAUCAACUGGAUGUCAUGGAGCAAAGGCGGAGCAAUAGGAUGGACUUACACUUUCAGUCUUUAAAGGACUCCUACCACACUGGUUUGGAACAAUUUGAGGAGCGUCAGAUUGCAUACAUCGAUAAUUACUAUCAGACUAUGAGGAGCUUUGUCCAGAACACUAUUGAGGCACAUAAUGCUAGAUUUUCUGCAGAGUUUAAGAAGCAGAAAUUCCUCAUCUGAGGUGAUAGUAGUUUGACCGCACCUGAUGAUAGAGAUCCUCCUCAGCAUCCCUAGAAUAGAAGGCCUUAGAUCUUAGAUUUCCCUAGGUUUAGUCUUUCUAUAUGGCUAGUUUUUAGGAUUUGUGUUGCUUUGUAAUUCUGAGACCUAUUUUCUCUUCGAUUUUUGGAUUAUAAUUAUCUACUAUUGCUGCAACUUUAUGACUUGAUAUGCAUGCCAUUUGAUCUUUAAAUUGUUUCUAUUGUGGUUUCAUUUUGCUUAAAUAUGUCAAAUAUUGGAUGAUUGCAUCUUUUAAUGGUUCUUGAUCAUGUUUGGUUAUAUGUAUAUCCUAUCUUUAAUUGAGCUUACUGUUUCAAUGUUCUAAUGUAAAUGCUUGAUCAUUCCAUGCUUGAUUGGUUCAUAUAUAGCCCUCCAUGCCAUUAUAUAUGUCAUAUUGCUGUAUUUUGUUGGUUUAAUCGAUUAACCUACUAUCUUAAUCGAUUAAAUGUUGCUUAACUUGUGAACUUGUUCAAUUCUUACAUCAAUUGGUUAAUUAAUUAAAUUCCCACCACUAAUUGAUUAGUUACAGUUUGAGUUCACUUCAUAUGUCUUCUUACUUUGGACCAAAAUUUCAUUGAGUUUAUCUUUUUGAUAAUGUCAAAAGGGGGAGAAAGGUUGUUUUGUUGUUUAAUGUGCGCAGCUUGUAAAUAAUACCAAGCUUUCAUUGUCUAAGCUAUGUGCUUUAACUUUGAAAUCAACAACCAUGCAUUCAAUGAUCAUCUUCAAGCUAUGCAUCAAAACAAAGUUGGUGUAGAGUUUGUCAUAAUAAAAAAGGGGGAGAUUUAAAGUGUGAGUGUCAAGAGAGUACGUUAGUUUGCCUAUGUUUUGAUGAAGACAAAGGACUUAGUGAAAGCUUAAAGACAACUCAACAAAUCAACAUGAGACAUGCCAUCUAGUUGAUUAUAUGUUCAUGCAUUAAUCAUACAUGUUAUUUGUGCAUUUUAGGCAUAACAUAAAGGUAAAGCAUAACAUAUAGGUAGUUUACCAAUUUAGAUCUUAACUGAAAAUACGUUAGUUAAUCGAUUAAGUAAAGCUUUAAUAGAUUAAUGAGAAAACAGUUUUUAAUAGUUUCAACAGAAAACUGAAAAACAUAUUUCAGUUACUCACUAACAGCCCGUUAAUUGAUUAACAUGCAACUUAAUCGAUUAACUGGGUGAAAAAUAGCUUUUCUAUAUAAAUUAUUUUGUUAACAAAUUUCACAACGAUUUUCAUACAUUCAUACAUUCAUAUUAGAAUUGCUAUGUUGUGUAUUCUUUUGUUCAAUGUAUGCCAUAUAGGCUGAGAGAAAGUGCAUGUGAGAUUAGAGUGAGAUAGUAUUAUGCUUUAGGAUUAACAUGUCAUCCAUUGCAUAUUUUCAAAUGUGUUUGUCAUCCUAUCUUGUUCUUGCAUGAUUCUUUCAUUACUGUUUACAGGUUUUUUAAGGGUAGAAAUCAUAUGUUCUUCAUGAUUUUCAUCUUAUACAUAUUCAUAGUAAUUGUUAGAUUUGUAUAGGUUUAACAGCUUGUUCGUUCGUGUAAUAUUUGAGCUAUAUUGUUGCUUCACAUACUACUGUUUUUGUGUUGAUUGUGUAACAAGGUAAAGUAGUCUCUUGGUGUCGUACCACCAUAGAGAUCAGAGAGUCUUCACCAAGACUUGUAGGUCUUGAGUUUAGAGCAUACUCUUGGCUGGGGCUGGAUCGUAGGAAAGGUUUUCCUAGGCGAUUGGGUAAGGUCAAACCAAUGUAUAGGUUCUGGGAACUCAAGAAGGGAGCAUUCAAGGUCUUGUAAUUGGAAGUGUGUUUGUAAGACACAUUGGCUUUAAUUGUUAGUGAAGAAAAAUCUCCCAGAUCAGAGGGGAGGACUGGAUGUAGUUUUGCAUUGGACCGCAAAACGAACCAGUAUAAAAAUCUUGUUGCAAGUUUUUCUUCCCUUAUCUCUUUACUCUUUUCAGUAUCUUUUAAUUGCUUAUUGAAGCUGAUUUUUUGAAUAUAGCAUUACUGCCAAAUAAAUAUCAUUUGUGUUCAAAAAUAUCUGAUAAAUCAAUUUUGUAUAAUCUGUAAUUGACUGUACAAUUGUGUCAGUUAGGAACUGCAAUUUUUUGUAAGACUUAAUCGAUUAACUAAGCAAAUAUCCAGAACAUCGAUUAACUAGGCAAAUUUCCAGAACAGGGUGUUCGUGCAUAUAGCGGUAUGUGGGAACCGGGACACCUAUUCACCCCCCACCCUUCUAGGUGUAUUUUGUUACUGAUACCUAACACUCCUUAGCAAUGAGAUCGUGAAAUGCAUGCAAAAAAUGAUUUCUUAUUGAUGCAUGAUAUGCAUGAAGUGAACCUUUUUUCAUGUUACAUGAAUUGAGAUGCAACUUAUAACUCGAAAUGAUGCCUGAAAUGCUAACUUGGAUGGAUGGCUCAUGCUCCUAACAAUUUCUUUUUAAUAUGGUUAUGUAUUUCUACUUCUUCUUAUAUUCUAAAAGUUUGAAUUUUAAUCAUUCAAGUUGGUGCUUUGGUUAAUUUUACUUGUUUGAGAAGUACUUAAUGCUCUUUUUAGAUUGAUCACCUAAAAAUGAUUUCAAGUCAUAAAAUUACUUGUCUAUAACACUUAACAAAUAAACUAAGAAGUAGUUGUACUACUUAGUUUAUUUGCCAAGUUAAGCAUACUUUUCUUAAGAUCUUAUAUUCAUUACUACUUCCAUAUUAGAGUAGCCAAGAUUAGGGUUUAACAACCUAGUCUCUCGUGGACGUAAUAUUGUUUGGUAAUAAAUAUAAGUUUAUAAGUGUUUAUGAUUCUACCAUUUUAGGACAUACACUAAAAGGAGGAUUUUAGAACUUGGUGUUUGGAGUUAAUCAAAGUAAAACAAAAGAACUUGUCUAAGUAGUUCAAACUCACAAGAAGUUGAGAAAUAUAUUUUCCUUAUUCAAAAUGAUUUUGUCUCCUAAAGAAUGUGUUAAUAUUUAGCUUAUGUUUAUUGUUAAUUGUUUAUAUGCAAUUCAAUUCAACAAAACUAAAAUAUGUUUAAACUCAUUAUUUGUGCAUUGAAAUAUUUAUGAGAUUCAUUUUAUUAGACAAUUCCUUGUAGUUCGACAUAACAUAUACUAUACUAUAAUUGAAUCUUGAACGAGGUGUAAAUUGUAAAAUAGUAAAGUGUUAUCAAUAAAUUUAUUUGUUGAAAACACAUUUUAAUAUACAAAAGUGAUGAAACUAACUUACUAAGUUUUAUUUAUUGUUAUUUAUUUUUCACAAUUUAUUUAUUUCUUAAUACCAAUCUUCCUUAAGGAAGAAGUUUAGUUUGUUCAUAAAAUGAACCCGAAAGGGAGUACAUAAAUAAAUGUCACUUAAAUUUAUUAUUCUUUUGUUCUUUAUUUAUUCAUUUGUUUCUAACAACUAACUACUCAUCACUUUUGUAUAUUAAAAUACCAUUAAAAUGGUGUUGUAAUUUAUUCCACAAAACCGAGAUGGUAUUCAAAGGUACUUAAUAAUUAUGUAAUAGGUAAUUGCUUCGAUACCAUUGUACUGGCGUUAGAAUUUAUUCAAAUAAAGCCGAGAUGAGGCAAAGAAGGAAUGACUUAUUUACAUGAUUGUUAAAGAAGUAAGUUAUAACUGGAAUUUUCUUGAAACCAUUAAACCGGCGUUGGAAUUUAUUCUAACAAAGCCAAGAUGGCGAACAAAGAAUACAAUCGGGUUCACUUACUUAAUCAAAUAAAAAGAACACACCGAAAAUGAGACUAAUAACCUUUCAACAAAUUGUUACUGCUGUCAGGAUGAUUUGUUGAGGGGAAAAACUCUCAACACCUAAAACCCUUUCAACAAUAAGCCACUUAAUGAAGAUAUUUUUUUAAUGUCGUGAACGAAUGAAUAAGUCAAUCAAAUAUAUUUUUUUAUUUUUGAAUGUAGGAUUGAAUGAAUGAAUUUUUCUUUUCGAUUGCAUGAGUGAAUGGAUUUUUUUUUCAAUUGCAUGAGUGAAUGAAUGUGCUAGUAAUGUACUCUUUUUAAUGAAUAUACGAAGGCAUAAGUCAAUGAAAGUUUAAAUAAUUUUAUUUUUAUUUUAAAAAAAAUGCAUAUAUGGAUAGCUAAUUAAAAGAAUGUAUGAGUAAUGUAGUCUUCUUAUAUGCAUGAAUGAAUAUUUAUUUAGUUAGUUUAUGUAUGGAUGUACGUAUAAAUCUAUUGAUAAAAAGUUUAUUUUUAAACGCAUGAAUAAAGGCAUAAAUCAAUCAAUGAAGAUUUUUAUUUUUGAAUGCAUAAGUCAAUCAAUGAAUAUUUUAAUUUUUUGAAUACAUAAAUGAAUGAAUAAUUGACUGAAUGUUUGAAUAUUUAUUUUUUAUGUUUAUGCAUCAAAUGAUGCUUUUUUUGUAUGAUGUAUUUUUUUUAUUAAUGCAUGAUCAAUGAAAUGUCUAAAAAUACAAAAUGUAUGCCCCUUAGGGUAAUGGACCCUAUAUUGGGGGUGAUUUAGCCAUUACUACGAUUUGAACAUGUAUAUAUAUAUUUUUUAAAUUAUAUUUCUUUUAUUUUUAUCGUUCUGGCUAGCUUAGGGCCAAAAUAAAUUUCAAUAUUUAUUUUUAUAAUAAUCUCUUUGUUAGGGGAAUAGGAAUUCCCUCAAGGGUGCGAUAUUUUACAUGAUUUUUAUUUUACAUCACAAAAUUCUAAACAAUAUGCUAUAAUACAAACAUAUACAAAUCAAAAGAUUCACAACAAGUACAACAUCCUAUGAUAGGGUUCUAACAUACAAUGGAUGUCGUUGGCAAGUUAUAGACUCCCUAUAAGGUGCCCAUAUUUCAACUCUCUUCAAUAGAGAAACUCAAAUAUUAUGAUGUUAGAAAUAGAAGACCAGUACGAGCGGCUAACUCAUAAUAAGAGGUAACAAUAUGAGUGGUCCACAUCACCAACACUUAGAAGGGGUAAAGACCACGACCAGUGAGGUUAGUGUCUCUUCUAUUAAAAAAUGUAUCACUAAUACCCAGGUGUAGGGCAUAUGUGUGACUAAAAUAUGUACAUGAUAUAUCAGCCAAUAAAAAAAAUAAUACAAACAUAACACAUGCACUUAAUAUUUAUAACAUGUAAUUCAUCCAUACAAAUAUAAUUAUUAAUUAAUUGUGAAAUUCAUGUUUACAACAUACAAUUAAUAAUUAAGCAUACAAUUCAUAUUUAUAACAUACAAUUAAUAAUUAAGCAUGUAACUCAUAUUAAUAUCAUAACAUAGGAUUAAUAAUUAAGCAUGCAAUUUUUCGUGUUGUUGGAAAUUAACUAAUUAACCAAAUAGAAAAAAAUCAUAAUAAUAAACAAACAAUCGCACAGAUUAUUCAUUAUGGGUCGAACUAUCAAAAAAGUCCCCAACAUAGUCGCCAGUUAUCGUGCCUCGAUUUUCGGCUGCACGACUUUAUUUUGAGUCGCCACUAUAUUUUAUAGUUAAAAAUGUAGAAAAAUAUUUUAAGCCCAAUUACCUUGGGCUUUUGGAUUUUUGAUAUUCAGGUUUUGGAGUCGGUUACAAGGUAGGGAAGGUAUUAACAUCCUACUCGCUCGCCUUAAGCGGUACCCUUCAUUAAAAUAUACGACUUUAUUAUUAUUAUUAUUUAUUAUCAAAUUAUCUAUUUAAUUAAUUAAUUAUUAAAAGGAACAAAUUUAUUUAUUUUUAUUAUUGUGUCAGAAAAGAUUGACUUUGGUCCUACGUAUCCAUAUUAAGGGAAUCAAAGCUUACGUAGUUCUUUAGGUAGAAACAGGUUUGUUGGUUGACUGUAUUUUAAUUAAGGAAAAUAUAUUGUUUAGUCAAAAAUGUUUAUUUGCAUGUUAAUUUAUUGGUGAAAAAAAAAGUUAUAAUUUGGUUAAUUUUUGUCAUUUAUUUAAUUAAGAAAAUAUAACUUAAUCGAUUUUGAGAUUUAAUCGGUUGAAAAGAAGCAGUGUAGCAUGACAUUUUGAAGAUGAUUUGAGAAGAAAGAGUCAUAUACGGCGACCUUCUCUUCAUCUUUGAUUAAUUCUUAGAAUUAUUUUAUUUUUUGAAAAGUACAUGUUGUCAUCUUUUAUAUAUAAAAAAUAUUCAAUUUAUUAUUAGUCACAAUUCUAAUUAUUUAUAGAAAAGAAUUUUAUAAGUUAUCAAAAAGGUUUGAUUAAUUGGCAAAUAUAUGAAAAUGAUUUUUUGUUUUGCUACUUUUAGUAUGUUAAAAUAUAUUCUAUUAACUCAAAUAAUUUCGUUAAUAGUUAUCUGGAUUUUCAUUAGUGGAAUCUGAUUAUUUAUUAAUAAAAUUUAGUGAUUGAUUAUAGGAAAAUAAUAAAUCAAUUGCAAAAAAUAAUGACACAAAAAAAAACAAUUUUAGUGACUUUUCCCAAAAGAAUAGGAAUUCUUUUUGUCUAUGAUGUUUGUUCCUACUUUCAACAAAAUUUUAAUUUAACAAAUAUCAUUAUUAUUGAAUCUCUACACAGUAAAAUAAAUAAAUUAUUUAUAACAAAAUUAUUUUUACAGAAUUAAUAUUAACAUUAUGAUAGAACAAACUCAUGAACUAGAUCAAAUAGAGACAAACCUAGUUAUAAAGGAAUGAAAUUUUUAGAACUAUAGGGAAAUAGAUCAUGUGUUGUAGUAUGGGAGAUAUUGAUUAGUGCAACAAAUUAGAGCUAGCUAUGUGGCAUGAUAUGAUCAGAGCAAGCUACGUUGAUCAACUCUCAUGUUUUUUGUCUGGGAAAUAAAGCUAUACAUUUUUGCAGAACACACUUUAUUGCUACAAGCAUACAAUAACCUAAUAACCCAAUGCCCCAAUAAUGGAAAAAAGUCUCAAAGCGGAAAAAAACUCUAGCAGUCGAAAAAUAGUAAUUUUUAGUACUUUUUUUGGCAUUUCUUGGAAUGGCUUUCUUUUGGGUAUUUUUUUGGAAUGUUGGGAGUGACGGAUCCUGUUUUAGAGGUCUUUUCUUGAUUUUCACAUUUCCUAAUUGAGAUCUUUGACUUAUUUGAUUGAUUUGCAAUCUUGAUUUAUUUGGUUCCAAAUAUCUAAAGAUUUAAUUUUCUAAUCAAAUUGAUUUGUGCAACACAACUAGGUUAAUGUGAACUUUCUAAUUUGAUUUGAUUUGCGUAUUUCCAUAUCGCAAUCUUGAUUUGAUUAUUGAAUCGUAAAAUAUUUAGUUAUUAUCAAAGUGAUUUAUGCAACUAAUCAAAUGAUAUGAUGUGAUUCAAAUUACAUAUUUUCAUAUCUUAAGUUUAUAUGAUAAUACAAUCAAAUCUUUAAUUCACUCAUCAUUUAUUUUUAUUUAUUUAUUAUUAUUUUUUUUAGAAUAACUCUAAAACAAAUAAUGUUUUUUAGAAUUCAAUUACUUUAAACUUGAAUUUUGGUUAACCUAAUCACUUAGAUUUAGGAACCUUAACAAAUGGUUUAGUCUUAUUAUUUUAAAUUUGAAUUUUGGUUAACCUAAUCAUUUAUAUUUAGGAACCUUAACAUAACAUGUUUAGUUUUAUUUUUUUUAGAAAAUUAUUUUUGGAAUUCUAUUAUUUUUUAUUUAAAAAAGUUUUGAGCUUUUUCUGGCCCAGACAAAAAUGGGUGUUCACAAUGUGCAAGGUAGUUGACCAAGGCUGGUUUCAUGACUUUUGAAAAAAGGCUUCCCCAUUACCUUAUUGCUUAUAUGUUGGUUCAGAGAAACACCAACCACGAUCAACUGAUGGGUAAUGAUUUGAAGCUCAUGUAUGUUGUGAAAGAAUGAAUCAAGGUUAAUUGGCUUGCUGAGAUUUUGAAGGUGAUGUUUGGAAUCACUUCCUUUUCAUCUAGAUUGAUGGCAUAUGGGAUUUGUAUUUCAUGUGUCAUUGAACAUGUUGGCAUUGACAUAAGUAAUGAGGACUUAAUUAUUUUAAAUCCCAGGGAGCAUCUCAUUAAGGAUAGCCUAAUCAACAAGAUGAGUAUCUAUAAAUAAAGUUGAUUGUUGAUGUAUCAGGAGGAUCAUCAAACUACUAUGGAAUUUCAUAUGAGAAUGAGAAUGUUAUUCAUGCUAAGCAAACCCAAAUACGCAACUGCAUGAGGUUCCUACUAUCCUCAAGCACCAUAUUUCAGUUUGGCUCAUUUAGACGCUAUGUUACAAUGCCUCAAUGAGCAUAUUGAUAAUGGAAUACAAUUCAUGGAGGAAAGGCUCAUGACAUAGUUGCAUACACAAGAAUUGGAAACUCAUACUCACUUACGACAUCUUAGCUUUAUCCUUAACACCAUUAGUAGCUUCUUCCAACCACCUCAUAGUAGCUCAUCUAGUUGGGGCAACCAUUAGUAUUUCUAGUUGGCAUAUGUGUAUUUUGACUUAUGUUGACUCUUUGUGUGUUUAAAAUGGAUGUGCAUUAUGGUUUAUAUUUGUUCUGUUUCUUAUCAUUAUGUCAAUACAACUGGUAUAUUUGUUGAACAUACAUUGCUUAUAACUUGAAUCAACAAAAUAAACAAGAAACUUUUAUAAAUUUUCUGAAAUAUUUUUAUUUAAUCGAUUAAUAGCAGAUUAAUCGAUUCACUACUGCUUAAAUUGUGUUUUUCAGUGAAUUCAAAUCUUGCGUAAUCGAUUAACACCAUGCCUAAUCAAUUAGAUUGUUUAAAUAACAGCUUAUAUUUUUAUCUUGUGUUUUUUCGAGUUGAUGCAUUACAAGCUUAUGUGACAUUCAAGAAUAAAUGUACAAUAUGAGGGGAGCAAAUUUUUCAAGCUCAACUCUAAUUUUAAAAAAAGUUGAUUGCAUAUCAAGAAGAUUGCAAGACGAGUUUGUCAUCAUCAAAAAUGGAGAGAUUACUAAUUCAAGCAUACAAAAACAAGAUUUUAUGAAGACAAAGACUAAAUCUUAAAGACAAAGGACACAUUAACCACAACAGCAAAAGACUCAUAUUCAAGCUUCGAGAAAGGCUCAUGAAGACUAAGAGUAAAUAUUUUAUUUUUAGGUCCUAAAAUGCUUUGAAUGGGUAGAGUCUAGGUUGGGUGAACAUGUUGAUAAAUCUCACAUAAUAUAAGCAUAUUGCAAAAAAGUUAUUUUUCAUACAUAACAUGACUUGAACAUAUUUUUGCAUGCGUACACGAUUUUGGGCACUAAUACUUAUAUACUUUUCAAAGUCAUACAUCAUGCAUACAUCAUUCAUAUUAGAGGUUCUUGCAUAAUCAACCAAGUCUUUUUAGAAAAACGUUAAUCGAUUAAGACUUUAUCUAAUCAAUUAAGUCUUUGGAAAUCAGAAACUCGUUAAUCAGUUAAGGACAUGGUUAAUCGAUUAAGUCAGUUUCUGUUUUGGAAUCUUGGAUGUUUUAAAGAAAUUCUAAUCGAUUAAGUGACAAUUUAAUCGAGUAUCCCCAAUAGAACAAUUUGAAACUAAAUGGUAUUUCACUAUCCUUUCCCAUGUGCAAAGUAACUUACAACAAAAAGAACAAUAAAUUUUAUACUCACAGAAACUUGAUGCAGAAGGGUUGUGUUCUGAAUUGUUAGUGUAUGUUUUAGCACAUUGAAGAUGCAUUAGAAAGUUGCACACAUCGUUUACGGUCAGUUUUGCAAAUUUGUCUCUUUGAGGAUGUGAGGUAUCACCUAGAAGAAAGAGAUAAGUUUGAUAGAAAUUGCGGUUAUGGUCAAGGUCCAAGAAGAGGAUUCAUUAGGAUACUUAGUUAGAAAUGGUGAGGAGCCAUUAGAAGUCUUGGUAAAGAAGUGUUUUGUAAAACAUGUGAUUUCUUCUAGUGAAGCAAAUCUCCAAAGAUGAGAAUGGGGAUCUAGAUGUAGAUUACACUUGGAUUAGCAAUCAAACUAGGAUAAAUUCCAUGUUUCAUCUACUCUCUUAUCCUACUCUUUUACUCACUUGCAAUUAUCACAUUUUCGCAUUAUUUGAAAGUAUUCAUUUUGUGAAUAUUGCAUAAUUGAAUCUGCUUUAUAAAUCACAUUUUGUAGUCAUUUUAAGAGCAUACUAGAUUAGUAUGAUCACUAAUUUCUUGCUGCGUCAAGAACCAAAAGAUUUUUAAGAAAACAAUUUGAUUAAAUGAUUAAGUCUGUAUAUAAUUGAUUAAGUUUUGCUUUAUGUUAAUUGAUUAACUCUUCAAUUAAUCGAUUAAAACUAGUAAUUUUUUAGAUUAUCUUUUUCAAUUUGAAUCAAAUUUAAUUGUAGUUUAAACCACCUAUUCACCCCUUUAGGUGAAGAUAGGGCCUUUGUCAAACCAAUAGAAAUGACUUUUUGAAUGUGAUAAUCUAAGAUCUUACUCCAACUUACUUUAGAAUUUUUUUUAUUGAUAUGACUUGGUCAUGACAAGCAAUUUUAUUGUUGGCCCAUUUUGGGUUGGUUAGAACUUUUUCCUUUUCUACGAUCAACAUAUUUGUCUUUUUUAUAUUCAUUUGAAAAAUGGGACCAACCCUAAAAUUUUCCUAGCAUAACUUUUUUUAAAUACUAAAAAACAAUAAUCAUGCAAACUUGGAAAUGUUUGGGCUAUGAGUGUUGAUAGGAUGAUCAUAAGAGGAUGAAAUUUAGUCCUAUGCAUUAGAGAUAAUAUAUUUUCAUCAAAAUUUUAUGAUAUUUAAAGUAGUCAAUGUUUCUCUGUCAUGGUAUGUACCUUGGGAAAAUCAAUCCUCAACAAGAUCUUUUUAAUCUUUUAUCAUGGUCUAAUUAAAGGUUUCCAAGAAAACGAUAUAAGGCUCCAACAUAUUGUUUCCCAUGCUCAUUUUCUCAUUUCUUCUAUUAUCAACAUUCAUUGGCUUAUCAUUUGUAGUCUAUCAUCAUUGUCAAAGAGAGAAGGAAGUAGCAUCCCAAUGUAUGCUUCCACAUCUUAAUUCAUGAAAAGAGAAAGCAUGGUACACUACAAAAAUAUAUCUUGUUAGCCACGGUUAUAACCGUGGCUAUUGUACCAUAAAACCGUGGCAAAAUACAGCAGCCACAGUUUCCACUACCCUAGCAAUUACUGGCGUUGCAAAAAUUUAACCACAAUCAUUUUAUGAUAUAGCUACGUCUGGAGGAAGUGUGGUAACAUUUCUUUAACCACGGUUCCAACCGUGGCUAAUGUGAACCAUACUCGUGGCUAAUUAAUACCUUUAUUUUCACCACAAUUUAACCAUGGCUAAUUAUUUAUUCAGUUAUUUUCACACAUAUUCCUCUCCUAAUCCUCUCUAACAAUCAUUAUAUUCCUUAAGCAUUAAUACUAACAAAUUGGACCCAAUAUCUCAAAUUAUCAUCACCUUCAUCUUAAAAUAAUUCACAAAUACAUAAGUAUUAAUAAGUUCACAUGUAUCAUUUAAACCAAUUGUUGAAACAUUCCAAAUUUGGUUAAAAAAAACAUUAAUAUUUCUAUAGUAAAAAUUUCACGCAUAAUCACAUGGAACNNNNNNNNNNNNNNNNNNNNNNNNNNNNNNNNNNNNNNNNNNNNNNNNNNNNNNNNNNNNNNNNNNNNNNNNNNNNNNNNNNNNNNNNNNNNNNNNNNNNUUUUCGCAUCUAAAGUAUGAAAACCAUGAAUGUUAAACUAGCGAAUCGAAAAAUAUUUCCAAGUACUCUUCUUUUUGUAUUUUGAUAAACCAACCAAACCACUUUUUAUGUCUACAGGAAGUGGUAAAAAAAUGAUCACCAACAACAACCAAGUUUUUCUCAUUAGGCAACAAAAUGACCAACACAACAAAAGUAACACAAUUCUAUUAUAUUGUGCAAAACAAUAUUUACACUCUUACCGUUCACAUUUUGCAUUAUACUUGAUCAUUUGCCUAUUCAACCAAAAAAAAANNNNNNNNNNNNNNNNNNNNNNNNNNNNNNNNNNNNNNNNNNNNNNNNNNNNNNNNNNNNNNNNNNNNNNNNNNNNNNNNNNNNNNNNNNNNNNNNNNNNCAUUACAUCUUUUGCAUCAAACCCAAAUUUUUCACAUGUUGAAGAAGAUUCACACGUUAGAUAAACAUAGAGAGAGUAACAUCUAAAAUUUUGAAAAAACUCAGGUCAGAAUCAUCUACAAAAUUCCAUAAAUCAGCUCUAGUAAAAAGUAACUUACCAAAAUAAGCAAUUAUGCUUGAAUGUGCUUCCUGGAACACAAGUUGAAUAAUUUAUGGGUCAUGUUAAGGAAUGCAAUAAUAAAACAUAUAAAUGAAGUACUAGUACAUCAAUUUGCCAAAUAAUAUUUUCUUUAUCUGUUUUUUAGUAAAAUUAUAUGGUUUUAGUUAAUUUUCAAGUGAAAUGUCAACAUCCAAGACUGAACAACUGAAGCAGGAUGAGGAAUGGAGUAAUGAAACAAAAGAAAUAGUAAGACUAAGAAGGAAACAAAAGAGUUUCUAAAGUCAAUUUAUGGAUGCAUUGUUUAAAGCAAUACCUUCAAGUUGUAGCUAGAACACCAAAGUGUAUAACAUAUGAAAAUAUGAACGUUUCUCCUUUAGAAGCAAAAAAGCUAUAGUUCUGUAUUCUCGUUAUAUAUACUGAUACUAAUAUUAUAUCCAACCUUCAUUUAUGUGAUAUCUAACCUUCUUCAUGUGAGAUUUGCAUGAACCUUCCUUGUGGUACCGGUCCAGUCAGCUUUAGAGUUCUUAUUUAUGAAGGUUGUUCGUCAAUUCAAAAAGGCAUCCUCCUCAACUUUUACAAGAACACAUCCAUUCGAUUAUACAUAUUUAGAAAGAAAAUUGUAAACAUGGACUAAUAAAAAACUCAUAGGUUAGGGAUUUGAACAUAUUUGGGGAAAUCAAUAGCAGAUUUAGAAAAUGUGAAAUUAGAUAAUUAGGAUUAAUGAUUAUAGUAGAAGAAUCAAUUAAUUAGGUAUUUUUAUUCAGAAUUGAAGAGAAUCGAACCUUGGAAGAAGCUUCCAUUUGAUUUGGAGUUGUUGAACUCACAACAAUGAAGAAAAUUAAAUUCACGUAUUUGAACUUGCUUGAAUGAGUGAAAGAGAGUGAACGAGAGAGAAGAGAAGAGAGUGAACGAGAGAGAGAAGAUAAGAUAAGAGAGUGAACUAGAGAGAAGAAGGUGAGAAAUGGGGAAAAAUGAAAGUGAACGAGAGAGAAGAAAGUGAGAAAUGAAAAAAAGAGAGGAAAUUGAGUAUCGAUCCCACAUUGCCCUCGUUGAACAAAAGAUAAGUGUUAUAUUUGUUUGUCUGUGUAAUAUUUUAACUACAGUUACUGAAACCGUGGCUACCAUAGAGUGGCCAUUCUGCGAUUUUUUUGUAGUGNNNNNNNNNNNNNNNNNNNNNNNNNNNNNNNNNNNNNNNNNNNNNNNNNNNNNNNNNNNNNNNNNNNNNNNNNNNNNNNNNNNNNNNNNNNNNNNNNNNNUAUCCUAUCGUAUCAUAUCCUAUCCUAUCCUAUCCUAUCCUAUCCUAUCCUAUCCUAUCCUAUCCUAUCCUAUCCUAUCAUAUCCAAUCCUAUCUUUCCCUAUCCUAUCCUUUCUUAUCAUAUCCUAUCAUAUCAUAUCCUGUCCUACCCUAUCAUGUCCUGUCCUACCCUAUCCUAUCCUAUCCUAUCAAAACCUAUCCUAUUUUAUCCUAUCAUCUCCUAUCCUAUUGUAUCAUAUCCUGUCCUACCCUAUCCUAUCCUAUCAUAUGCUAUCAUAAUCUAUCCUAUCUUAUCAUAUCAUGUCCUCUCCUACCCUAUCAUAUCCUAUCCUAUCUUGUCCUCUCAUAUUCGAUCAUAUCCUAUCCUAUCCUAUCCUAUGUUAUCCUAUGCUAUCCUAUCCUCUCCUCUCCUAUCCUAUCCUAUCCUAUCCUAUCCUAUCAUUUCAUAUCCUAUCCGAUCCUAUCCUAUCCAACCAUAUCCUAUCCUAUCCUAUCGUACCCUAUCCUACCCUAUCCUAUCCUACCCUAUCAUAUCCUAUCCUAUCCUAUCCUAUCCUAUCCGAUCCUAUCCUAUCCUAUCCUAUCCUAUCCUAUCCUAUCCUAUCCUAUCGUAUCCUACCCUAUCUUAUCCUAUCCUAUCUUAUCCUAUCCUAUCCUAUUCUGUCCUAUCCUAUCCUAUCUUAUCCUAUCCUAUCCUACCAUAUCCUCUACUAUCCUAUCCUAUCCUAUCUUAUCCUAUCCUAUCCAAUCCUAUCAUAUCUUAUCCUAUCUUUCUGUAUCAUAUCCUAUCAUAUUCUAUACUAUCUUAUCUUAUCCUAUCAUGUCCUAUCUUAUCUGUCUUAUCCUAUCCAUUCACGCCAUAUCCUAUCCUAUCAUGCCAUAUCCUAUCCAUUCCUAUCCUACCCUAUCCUAUUCUAUCCAAUCCUAUCCUAUCCUAUCCGAUCCUAUCCUAUCCAACCAUAUCCUAUCUUAUCCUAUCCUAUCUUAUCCUAUCCUAUCUUAUCCUCUCCUAUCCUAUCCUAUCUUAUCCUAUCCUAUCCUAUCAUAUCCUCUCCUAUCCUAUCCUAUCCUAUCUUAUCCUAUCCUAUCCAAUCCUAUCAUAUCUUAUCCUAUCUUUCUGUAUCAUAUCCUAUCAUAUUCUAUACUAUCUUAUCUUAUCCUAUCCUGUCCUAUCUUAUCUAUCAUAUCCUAGCCUAUCCUAUCCUAUCCUAUCCUAUCCCAUCAUAUCCUAUCCUAUCCUAUCCUAUCCUAUCCUAUCCUAUCCUAUCCUAUCCUAUCCUAUCCUAUCCUAUCCUAAACUAUCCUAAACUAUCCUAUCCUCUUCAAUCCUAUCCUACCCUAUCCUACCAUAACCUAUCCUUUCCUAUCCUAUCCAAUUCUAUCCUAUCCUAUUCUAUCCUAUCAUAUCCUAUCCUAUCCUAUUAUAUCCAAUCCUAUCAUAUCCAAUCAUUUCCAAUCCUAUCAUAUCCUAUCUAUCCUAUCCUAUCCUAUCCUAUCCUAUCCUAUCCUAUCCUAUCAUAUCCUAUCCUAUCCUAUCCUAUCAUAUCUUUUCAUAUCCUAUCCUCUCCUAUCCUAUCCUUUGUUAUCCUAUCAUAUCCUAUCCUAUCCUAUCCUAUCAUAUCCCAUCCUAUCCUAUCCUAUCGUACCCUAUCCUGUCCUAUCAAAUCCUAUCCUAUGCAAUCCUAUCCUAUUUGAUUCUAUCAUAUUGUAUCCUAUACUAUCCUAUCCUAUCAUAUACUAUACUAUCCUAUCUUAUCCUACCCUACCCUACCCUACCCUACCCUACCCUACCCGAUCCUUUCCUUUCUAUCCUAUCCUAUCUUAUCCUAUCCUAUCCUAUCCUAUCAUAUCCUAACCUAUCCUAUCCUAUCCUAACAUAUCCUAUCCUCUCUUAUCUUAUCAUAUCCUAUCCUAUCCUAUCAUGUCCUAUUCUAUCCUAUCCUAUCCUAUCUUAUCCUAUCCUCUCCUAUCCUCAUAUCAUAUCAUAUCAUAUCAUAUCAUAUCAUAUCAUAUCAUAUCAUAUCAUAUCAUAUCAUAUCAUAUCAUAUCAUAUCAUAUCAUAUCAUAUCAUAUCAUAUCAUAUCAUAUCAUAUCAUAUCAUAUCAUAUCAUAUCAUAUCAUAUCAUAUCAUAUCAUAUCAUAUCAUAUCAUAUCAUAUCAUAUCAUAUCAUAUCAUAUCAUAUCAUAUCAUAUCAUAUCAUAUCAUAUCAUAUCAUAUCAUAUCAUAUCAUAUCAUAUCAUAUCAUAUCAUAUCAUAUCAUAUCAUAUCAUAUCAUAUCAUAUCAUAUCAUAUCAUAUCAUAUCAUAUCAUAUCAUAUCAUAUCAUAUCAUAUCAUAUCAUAUCAUAUCAUAUCAUAUCAUAUCAUAUCAUAUCAUAUCAUAUCAUAUCAUAUCAUAUCAUAUCAUAUCAUAUCAUAUCAUAUCAUAUCAUAUCAUAUCAUAUCAUAUCAUAUCAUAUCAUAUCAUAUCAUAUCAUAUCAUAUCAUAUCAUAUCAUAUCAUAUCAUAUCAUAUCAUAUCAUAUCAUAUCAUAUCAUAUCAUAUCAUAUCAUAUCAUAUCGUAUCGUAUCGUAUCGUAUCGUAUCGUAUCGUAUCGUAUCGUAUCGUAUCGUAUCGUAUCAUAUCAUAUCAUAUCAUAUCAUAUCAUAUCGUAUCGUAUCGUAUCGUAUCGUAUCGUAUCGUAUAGUAUCGUAUCAUAUCAUAUCAUAUCGUAUCAUAUCAUAUCCUAUCAUAUCAUAUCAUAUCAUAUCAUAUCAUAUCAUAUCAUAUCAUAUCAUAUCAUAUCAUAUCAUAUCAUAUCAUAUCAUAUCAUAUCAUAUCAUAUCAUAUCAUAUCAUAUCAUAUCAUAUCAUAUCAUAUCAUAUCAUAUCAUAUCAUAUCAUAUCAUAUCAUAUCAUAUCAUAUCAUAUCAUAUCAUAUCAUAUCAUAUCAUAUCAUAUCAUAUCAUAUCAUAUCAUAUCAUAUCAUAUCAUAUCAUAUCAUAUCAUAUCAUAUCAUAUCAUAUCAUAUCAUAUCAUAUCAUCUCAUAUCAUACCAUACCAUACCAUUCAAUACCAUACCAUAUCAUGUCAUAUCAUAUCAUAUCAUAUCAUAUCAUAUCAUAUCAUAUCAUAUCAUAUCAUAUCAUAUCAUAUCAUAUCAUAUCAUAUCAUAUCAUAUCAUAUCAUAUCAUAUCAUAUCAUAUCAUAUCAUAUCAUAUCAUAUCCUAUCAUAUCUAAUCCUAUCCUAUCCUAUAAUAUCCAAUCCUAUUAUAUCCUAUCCUAUCCUAUCUUAUCCUAUCCUAUCCUAUCAUAUACUAUCCUACCCUACCCUACCCUAUCCUUUCCAUUCCUCUCCCAUCCUUUCCUAUCCUAUCCUAUCUUAUCCUAUCCUAUCCUAUCUUAUCCUAUCCUAUCCUAUCUUAUCCUAUCCUAUCCUAUCUUAUCCUAUCCUAUCCUAUCUUAUCCUAUCCUAUCCUAUCUUAUCCUAUCCUAUCCUAUCUUAUCCUAUCCUAUCCUAUCUUAUCCUAUCCUAUCCUAUCUUAUCCUAUCCUAUCCUAUCUUAUCCUAUCCUAUCCUAUCUUAUCCUAUCCUAUCCUAUCUUAUCCUUUUCUAUCCUAUCCUACCCUUUCCUAUCCUGUCCUAUCAUAUAUAAUCCUAUCUUUCCGUAUCAUAUCCUAUCAUAUUCUAUCCUAUCCUAUCAUAUCUUAUCCUAUACUAUCCUAUCCUAUCAUAUCCUAUCUUAUCCUAUCAUGUCCUAUCCUAUCCUAUGCUUUCCUAUACUAUCCUAUCCUAUCCUAUCCUAUCCUAUCCUAUCCUAUCCUAUCCUAUCCUAACCUAUCUUAUCCUAUCCUUUCGAAUACUAUCCUAUCCUAUCCUAUUAUAUCCCAUCCUAUUCUAUCCUAUCAUAUCCAAUCCUAUCCUAUCCUAUCCUAUCCUAUCCUAUCCUAUCCUAUCCUAUCCUAUCCUAUCCUAUCCUAUCCNNNNNNNNNNNNNNNNNNNNNNNNNNNNNNNNNNNNNNNNNNNNNNNNNNNNNNNNNNNNNNNNNNNNNNNNNNNNNNNNNNNNNNNNNNNNNNNNNNNNCUAUCCUAUCCUAUCCUAUCCUAUCCUAUCCUAUCCUAUCCUAUCCUAUCGUAUCCUAUCCUAUCGUAUCCUAUCCUAUCCUAUCCUAUCCUAUCCUAUCCUAUCCCAUCCUAUCCUAUCAUAUUCUUUCCUAUACUAUCUUAGGCUAUCCGAUCGUAUCCAAUCAUGUCCUAUCCUAUCCUAUCCUAUCCAAUCUUAUCCUAUCUUAUCCUAUCACAUCCUAUCCUAUGGUAUGCUAUCCUAUCCUAUGCUAUCCUAUCCUACCCUAUCCUAUCCUAUCCUAUCCUAUCCUAUCCUAUCCUAUCCUAUCCUAUCCUAUCCUAUCCUAUCCUAUCCUAUCAUAUCCUAUCCUAUCCUUUCCUCUCCUAUCCUAUCCUAUCCUAUCCUACCCCAUCCUUACUAAUCCAAGCAUAUCCUAUCCUAUCCUAUACUAUACAACUGUAUCCUAACCUAUCCUACAAUACCGUAUCCUAUCCUAUCCUAUCAUAUCCUAUCCAAUCCUAUGAUAUCCUACCCUAUCCUAUCCUAACUUAUCAUAUCUUAUACUAUCAUAUCCUAUACUAUACUAUCCUAUCCUAUCCUCUCCGAUCCGAUGCUAUGCCACCCUAUCCUAUCCUAUCCUAUCCUAUCCUAUCCUAUCCUAUCCUAUCCUAUCCUAUCCUAUCCUAUCCUAUCCUAUCCUAUCCUAUCCUUUCCUAUCUUAUCCUAUCCUUUCCUAUCCUAUCCUUUCCCAUCCUACCCUAUCCUAUCCUAUCCUAUCCUAUCAAAUCCUAUCCUAUCCAAUCCUAUCCUAUCAUAUACUAAAGUAUCCUAUCCUAUCCUAUCCUAUCCUACCCUACCCUAUCCUUCUAGCCUAUUCAAUCCUAUCAUGUCAUAUCCUAUCCAUUCCUAUCCUAUCCUAUCCUAUUCUAUCCUAUCAUGUCCUUUCCUGUCCUAUCAUAUCCUAUCCUAUCCUAUCCUAUCCUAUCCUAUCAUAUCCCGUCCUAUCCUAUCCUAUUGUACCCUAUCCUAUCCUAUCAAAUCGUAUCCUAUGCAAUCCUAUCCUAUCAAUAUCAUAUCAUAUCAUAUCAUAUCAUAUCAUAUCAUAUCAUAUCAUAUCAUAUCAUAUCAUAUCAUAUCAUAUCAUAUCAUAUCAUAUCAUAUCAUAUCAUAUCAUAUCAUAUCAUAUCAUAUCAUAUCAUAUCAUAUCAUAUCAUAUCAUAUCAUAUCAUAUCAUAUCAUAUCAUAUCAUAUCAUAUCAUAUCAUAUCAUAUCAUAUCAUAUCAUAUCAUAUCAUAUCAUAUCAUAUCAUAUCAUAUCAUAUCAUAUCAUAUACUAUCAUAUCGUAUACUAUCAUAUCAUAUCAUAUCAUAUCAUAUCAUAUCAUAACAUAUACUAUCAUAUCCUAUCAUAUCCAAACUAUAAUAUCUCAGGAAAUGAACCGAAUGGUUCACUUAAACUUAAAAAAAAACUAAAACACUACUAUAAUGUUUUACUUCAGUCUAAAAAAAGAUAGAAAAAUAUUAUUUCAAUAUAAUUAUACAUAAUUAUUAAUUAUUUAAAAUUUUAUAUUCAUAUGUAACUAUAUAUUUAUAGAUAAAAAUGAUAAAUUAUAUAUGAAAUCACCUGAUCCGACUGGACGAUUUAAUCAUUUAAACAGGUUAAACUUAAUAUAAGAAAUUUUCCGGUUUGUUGAUCGGUUUGAAUUUCACAAAUAUUGGAUGAAACUGUUGCCUUUGGAUAUUUAAUAUCAUUCGAACAUAAAUUUAAGUAAAAAAUAACUUAUUUUAAAAUCUACUCUAAAAGAAAUAUAUAUACAUAAAUAAAUAAAAAGUAACGUAACUCUUUUUGAAGUUUUUUCAGUAAAAUUUUAAUCAAAGUAUUCGGAGCUAAAAAAUCUCCAGCGAAGUUGUACGGAGGAAAAUUUCCCGUAAUAUUAGUGUUUUUAAUUAAUAAAUUGUGUAUCUUUGUCUUUUAUGGCAACUAGCAAGUUACCUGUGCAUUUACACAGGACGAUAUUUUUUACCGCAUGAUUAAUAACAUAUAUUACAUGUGCAUUUAUGAUUAAGAAUAUGUAUGUUGCUCGUGCAUUUGCAUGGUUAAAACUAUAUAUAUUACCAGUGCAUUCAUAUUGUUAAAAAUUAUUAAUUAUAUAUAAAAUCAUAUGCUCAAACCAUACGGUUUAAUUGUUUAAAUUGGAUAAACUUAAUAUGGAUCAUCUACUGGUUUAACAUCUUGCUCGACUUUUUCAACAUUGUUUUUUACACAUACAUAACAUGAUAUAGUUAGUAGUAUCAUAUUAAUCAAAAAAAUCAUCAAUAAAUUUAUAAAUUUUUAAAAUAAGAUUAGUAUAAAAAUAAAUAUUGUUUAACUCUAAAAUAGCUACAAACAAUAUGUUAUGAUUCAUAUUAUUAUUUUAAUAUUGGUAUAGUAACAUUAUAUUUUAAUAUUGCAUAGAUAAUCAUAUUCCUUUUAUUUUUAAAUAAAUCACAUGUCAUGGGGGCUUGAGAGAUUGACACAUGUCAUGAGGGAGUUCUUGAGAGAUUGACAUAUGUCAUGAGAGACCUUUAGUUUUGAUGAGAGGUUGACACAUGUCAUGAGGGUUUGAGAGAUUGACACAUGUCAUGAGAGAGUUUUUUUUAUUAUAUAGGUAAUAGACUAGUUUAAAUGCACUUUUGGUUCUUAUAUGGAUGAUUUCAAGAAAUUAAUCCUUUUUUUUUUCAAUUUUACUACAUUAAGUCCACCUCAUUUUGGUCCUUUGUUUAUUUUGAGACUAACGUUUAAAUCGUGAAAUCGAUGGGACCAAACCAAAUCAAAAGACAUAGUUUGAAUUGGUUUCAUAGUUUUGCCUGGUUUUAUUUUCAAGAAACUAUUGAAGUUUGAUUUACAAUUUUGGAAAUUUAGAAACUAUUCAAACCGGAAAUAAAUAGUAGAGAAUAAUGUUUUACUAUUAUUUGAAUUCUUCAACCAAUCUUGUAUGGGUUAUAUUGUUAUACAUAUUACAAAAUUGUUAUAUAUGUUACUACUUACUAAAUUUAUAUAUGUACUAGUGUGUACAGACACUUCGUACCUGCGGUCAAUAUUGCAUGAUAUUAUAUAUUCGAAUUUUAUAUAUAUUUUUUAUAAUUAGAAUAUAUGUGUUGUAUUCAGUGUACUUUAUAUUAUAAUUUUUGUGUGUUUAUGAUAAUGUAUAGUUUAAGGUGAGAUAUGUGGUUAAUUAAUAUUUUGGUGGUGAUUAAUUAGGAUUAUAUGAUUUUUUUUGUAAAAAUUAAAUAAUGUGAAGGGCAAAAUAGGAAGUGAAAAUUACACCAUGAUGGAAGUUACACCUUGUUUUGGCUUUAUAUAUAGUAUAGAAGUAUAGAUAUCAACCCACAUUCCUAAUUUUGGAAUUGAGUGUACAAUUUUCAUGAUAUAAAUGUUAACAUAAUAAUAUUAUUAUUUAGUUGAAUAUAUUUGAUCAGUAAUUAGUCAAUCUUAUUUUUUUAAAAUUACACAUUAACUGAAUCACUUGCAAUUAAUUCAUCUUAUUUUUGUAAAAAUUACACAUUAAUUGAAUCACUUAAGAUUAGUCUUAUAGAUAAAGUAUUUAAUUGAGAUAUAAUCAUUCAAAUAAACUUAUCAUGUUCAUAACCUAAUAUGUGAUAUUAUGAUUAAAUUAAUAUUUGUUAACUGCAUUUCUAUUUUUAAUAAUAAUUACACAAAUUAGUAGAUAUCAUCGAUUGAUUAAUGAUUUUUUAGGAUUAAAAUGAGAAACAAUUGGGAGGAAAUAUGCAAUUACAAUCACCAAUAGAUGUAGUGGGAUGGUUGUGAGAAAUAAGUAACAAAAUAGUAACAUGUGAAAGAAGACAAUGUGAUUCUUGUUAAUUUUCAAGUAACAAUUUCAAUGUAUGUUAAUUUAACUUUUAAGAAGUAAUUAAAACAAAUAAUGAAGAAAUUUUUGACCCAAUAAUAUGAAGGUAGGGAAGCAUUUAGUUGUUAUUUAUAAGGACAUAUAAUUAGAUUGUGCAUAACAUGAAAUAGAGUUGGUUACAUCAAAUAUUUGAUAAGUUCUAUAUUGAUAUACUUAUGAUUUAUGAUAAAAGUUGUUAAAAACUGGUAUUAAAUCAUUACAUUUUAUGAAAUUGGCUUUUUCAAUUUUUUUAUUAAUCUAUAAAUUAAUAUACAUUUUUAAUUAAAUUAUAAUUGUAGAAAUUAAUAGUAGUUGUUUACUAAAUUAAUAUAACUACAAUUUCUAAUAUUUAUGAAAAGAUGCACACAUAUUAAUGAUUUUUUUAUUAAACUUGGUGAAGAAAUUGUGCCACUAACAUUAAUUGUAGCAAAGUAUGCACUACUAAUAAUGUAUGUGCCUUACAUUGUAGAAUCCUUGGGUGAAAAGUAUUUGUUGCAUUAAGUUUUCUUAUUUAUUUGUGCUUUACCUACACUGGUUUUUAGUUUACCGCCACUACAAAAAAAUUAUCCGAUUAGCCACGGUUAAAACCGUCGCUACUGUACCACAAAACCGUGGCAAAAUACAGCAGCCACGGUUACCUCUCCCCUAGCAAUUACUGGCGUUGCAAAAUUUUUGCCACGGUCCAUUUAUGUUAUAGCCACGUCUUCACCAAGUGUGGUAACAUUUCUUUAACCACAGUUUCAACCGUGGCUAAUGUAACUACACCCGUGGCUAAUGUUUACCAUUAAUUUAACCACAUUAUAACCGUGGCUAAUUAUUUAUUCAGUUAUUCACAUAUUUCUCUCCUCAUCAUCUCUAGCAAUCAUUAUAUUCCAUAAAAUAAUGAUAAAUUUGUUAAUGAAAUUAAAUAUUUACAAGCUAAAAUUGAUUCUCAAUUUACAAAAAUAUUCUUUCCUUUCACAUUUCUUUCUAUCAUAAAAAGAAAGCAAGAUAAAUAAGAUCUUCAUAUAUUAAUAAUAAAUCAAGUUUAUAGCAGUAAAGCAAGACCAGAAAUCUAAAAGGUCAUUUGACGACUAAAAUUACAUUUCUAACAAAUCCACUCGAAAUAAGAUUGUAAAUGGAAUAUGAUAAUCUUAGUGAAAUACUUGUGACUUUCAGCUAAUGUAAGGGUAGCCCUUAGUCAAAACUAAACAUAAACAGAAUCGUUUUAAAAGCACCAAAAAGAAAUUAAAGCAACAUUGCUCCAAGAGCAUAUAGUUCAAUACCAUGAUUGAUUAGAGCAUAUUGAAAUCUUAAGAUGACCAUUAGUUCCUUUAAUGACAUAAAAAGAACAUGAGUAUAUUCAGAAUAUCCCUCAUCUGCAAAAACCAAAAGACCAAAAGGUCCUAAAGCACCACGUUUUGCAGCUCCACCACUAGUACGCACUGAUACUUCACAUUGGAUUGAAACAUUUGUACUUCUUUCUAAUUUCUAUAUCAACUUCAGCAAUUCCAUCAUUUUGUAUCCUCACUAAGUUAGCUAUCAGUUCUUGCUGAGAAACAAGACAAUAAAGUGCCAUGAACAUGGAAAUAAUUUAGCAACUCUUAUGCAUACAUCACAAAUACACACCACAAUGUCAAUAACAAAUAUGUGAAGGUAAAACCAAAAGAAACAAAGGUUCUUCACAAGUAGAUAUAUAUGUUAUUAGUAGUUCACUAUGGGUAGGAAAGGGAAACAAGAUGAAGAUUCUAAAUAUCUAGCAUGUGUAAGUGAGAAACUAUGAACUAAUGAUAAUAAGGACUAAGGGGUGGUAAUAUUUACUUAAAUUACCAUAUAUUUGAAUACUACUAGUUCAAUAUAGAGCCGAGAGAUGACACCACUCUCAAUAAACAAAAUGACAAGGCUUCACCCCAACAUGAAUAUGUCCAAUAUACAAAUAGCAAUCUCCCAGAUUUGCAUCUUGGAUAUGAGGUUAAACAGAACAGGCAAACAAAUAUUAUUGUAUCAAGUUAUAAAAACGCAUGAGCACAAUUAAAAACUUCAAAUCUUUCCAAUCAAUAAUGCUCGCGUCUACCUUCUCAUGCUCUCAUAGCCUAUCCAAUAGGUCAUGCUUUAGGAACCCUCUCUUCUCUAUCAUUGAUCUAGGACCUUAAUCUCAACUCCAAUAGGUGAUGUGACUGAAUGCUCCAAAACUACAUGAACAAUAAAAACAAUAGUUCAAGGGGGACCAAGUGAUAAUUAUUAGCAUUGGGAUUGAGAGAUACAUAAUCAGACAUACAAAGGUUAGAAAUAGGAUAAAAUUGAAAAAAAAGCUGCAAAAUUGGAUAUCCAUGUACCUGUAUAAUAGCAUUGAUGAUGAGGUUGAAGAGUGAAAGAUUUAAGCAAUUGAAGAAUUUGAGUGGUUGAAGAGAUGAAUUUGGAUAAAAAAAUUGAAGAAUUAGUUGAAGAGAUGAGGCAAUACCAGCCACAAAGAGAAAAAAUAAACCGUAUAAAAGGGGAAAAAAUAAAUAGUUUAAGCUAAAUGAACACAAAGAACUAAAUAUAAAAAAACAAUAACAUUUAAAAUCAAACAAAAUAUAAAAAAAAUGAACAUGAUUAUUGGUAGCAUUUUAGUGUUGUCCUUUACACACUAAGAACUUAACAAAAUCUACACACACUAUAGAACAAGUGACUACAGUGAGAAGAUAUCUGAGACUUGCCCCAUAAGACAAGAAAAACUUGUUGAACUUCAUAGCAGUAUAUGUCUUGUAACAUGAGAUGGUAAUUAAUUAAGGUUGACUACUUAGAUAAAAAGAUAAUGAGAAAAUAGAUAAAGUGCAAUAAUAGAAGGUUCAACAAAUCUCUUUGGGAGCAAAGAUCUACACUAGGAAAAAUAAGGAACAUCCUUAGGACAAUAAUUUACUAUGACUGAAAAACUUACAACAAUUGCAAAGGACAAUACCUCUUAUCAUAUGAAAAAGAUCAAAGAUGGAGAAUUUUAAUUAGAUCAUCUAGAUUCUAAAGAUAGAAACUCGAACAAUCACAAGAGACAAAGUGUACCUGAUGCAAUUAGAAACCAAGAAGAAUCAGAAAACCAUAACAAUAUAUCUACUCUUUCCUAUUGCUCCCAUCAGGACUAAAAGAAUAUGUGUGUAAUUUGAAUUUGAGAUCCAAUUCAGAUCAAUGAUCAACAAUAGCAUUUAGCAACAACAUAAUAAAAAUCGACAAUAAUUCAGUGAGGUAAAGCACCAUUUUGUUGUUGUUAUCGAUCAAAAUAAUCACAUCUAUAUUACAUUAGAAGGAUAAUAAAGUGGUGGAUCUGAGAAGAAAGAAAGGGAAACCUGAUAGGUGUUAUCAAAUUUAUCAUACAUGAAGCGAGUGAUGAUGUUGGUUUCGCCAUCAGAUUAAUCACCUAAGAACGCAGCUAGUAUUUUGCAUUCCAAAUAAAUUUAGGUAUAAAUGGCAUGUUCCAUUUUUAGUUUUUAUGAUCACAACAUAGGCCACAUCUAGCUGUAACUUAACAAGGAAAAAGGAAAGAACACAGUUGCACUGCACCAAUUGCAAGUGUGGCGCAUACCUUUUCAUUAAUUCAAUUAGUUUGUGAUCUUUUGGCUUCAUACCCCAUUUUGUAUCAACUAGAAGGCAAACUUGUCUGUGACCAACUCUUGUGGAAACACACUCCUUAUUCUAAAAAUAAAGGUUUUCCAGAAACACAAUUUAUCAGUGCUUAAUAACAAAGCAACUCAAAAAUCACUACAUAUGUCAACAAUAAAAAGUGGAAAAUGCCAACCAUGUACAAACCCAGAGUGAAAUUAAAACAUUGAAAAGUAGCACCCAUAGCAUGAUAUAAACUUGAAGCAUUAUAAGAAACAACUUGAAUACUGUGAAAUUAAAUAUAAUUUGCACACUUACAACCUUCUCCCAAUUUUCUUUCACUCCAUCUUUAGCAUAUGCAAAUCCAUAGAUGAACAUAUGGUAGAGUUGGUGGACAAUAACAACAUAGAAGGUGUAUAUGUGUUAGGCAAAUAUUGUCUCUGCAUUCUUUAACAACUCCCCUGCUCCUUGUCUUAAAUUAGUACCAAGAACUUUAACAGCAUCUGUCUCACCUGUGGACAUUUGUGCUUUGUAAACAGGGCCAAACGCCCUAUGAUGGUUGUAAAAUUAGAAUUUGCCUUUUGUAUAUAUCUGGAAAUGGAGUCUCAAUGUUCCCAACACACAAAUACACAAAAUAUGAGCAAGUCCAUAACACCAAAUUAUUAUCCCCUCCCCUUAUUUAUUUCUUGCUAUAGAAUGGAAUAUUUACUACAUAAGAGAAGAAAACACAGAAUUUCUAAUAGGUAUAUUGGUCUCAUUUAGGUCCUAAAAAGUUCACUUCUAAAUCUUUAUAUUUUCGAAAUCCAUGGGAAUAUUGGUCUCAUUUAGGAACAAAUCUAAAACCAAGUAUUUUAGUAUUUUGAUUUUCUCACUUCACUUUUCCUUACACAUUUUUACACCUAUUUGUAAGUAUUUCAGUAUUUUGUUCUAGCUAGGAGUAUAUGUAUAUGGAUCCUUCAUAAGUCAACCACCUGAAGAUUGGUUCCUAAAAGCAUAUACAUAUAUUCUACCCUUUCUACGGUCACAUAUGUAUAAUUAUUACACAAAAUAAACAUGAUUUUAUUCUAUGAAAAUGUGCAAUGGUACUCAUACUGGCAUAUAGAAAGAGGCUUUUCCAAUUAUUGGCAACAAUAAAAUGGAACCAUUUUGGUUUAUAUGUGCAAGUUGCAUAUAAAAGCACAUGCACUCAUUAAUGUAAUUUAUAUAUAUAACAUAAAGGACAUAGUAAAUAACAACAAAUCCAAAAUCCAGAAAAUUAUUAAGUUAAAUGACAGUCUGCAUGAAGCAGUUUAUGUGUAUGUGCCUAUCUAGGUGUGUUGUUUCCUAUGAAAUGAAUUGCAUGAAGCAGUUUGAAUGUUUAAUAGUCGAAUGUUGAAAUUUGAAUUUGAAAGAGGGAGUAAAGAGUUCUUUUCAACCAUGUAGCAUUAGUGUGAUUAGAGUAUGCAGGGAAAUUGGAAGUGGUGGAAUUGUUUUUGCCUUUUAGAGUCUGUGAAGUCCUAACUUUGAACAUAAAACUGGAUUUUAAGAUUUAUAGGAUAUGCAGUUGCAGGAUUUUAAAAAAGAAAAGAUGAAUGAAUAGUAUUAAGAGAGGGAUGAAAUGAAAAUAUGGUUUUGACUAUGAAAUUCUCCUAAAAUGAGGCAGCAUGCAAGGUUAAUCAUCCAAUACCAUCUAUAAGUUAAUUCUAUUCCAUUCCUAACCUCAAAAUCUCCUUCCUAUAAACCAUUCCUAUUUCUUUUCAUUUUUAUUAAUUUCCUUCAGUUCACCUCUCUCUAUUGCAUUACUUCAUUUCACCAAAUAUGAUACUUACAUGGUAAAGUAAAACUAUAAUUUUCACUUCUAUUGUAACAUAAAACAAAAUUAAGAAAAUCAAAUAUAUAUUCAGGGUUUUAUUAUAUAUUACUAGGGAAUGAUUUUUUUCGCAUCUAAAGUAUGAAAACCAUGAAUGUUAAACUAGCGAAUCGAAAAAUAUUUCCAAGUACUCUUCUUUUUGUAUUUUGAUAAACCAACCAAACCACUUUUUAUGUCUACAGGAAGUGGUAAAAAAAUGAUCACCAACAACAACCAAGUUUUUCUCAUUAGGCAACAAAAUGACCAACACAACAAAAGUAACACAAUUCUAUUAUAUUGUGCAAAACAAUAUUUACACUCUUACCGUUCACAUUUUGCAUUAUACUUGAUCAUUUGCCUAUUCAACCAAAAAAAAACCUUAUCAUUAUCUCUGAUCACGUCGAUGGAGUCUAUUUCUGCUCCUUCUUCAUCUGUCACCAUUACAUCUUUUGCAUCAAACCCAAAUUUUUCACAUGUUGAAGAAGAUUCACACGUUAGAUAAACAUAGAGAGAGUAACAUCUAAAAUUUUGAAAAAACUCAGGUCAGAAUCAUCUACAAAAUUCCAUAAAUCAGCUCUAGUAAAAAGUAACUUACCAAAAUAAGCAAUUAUGCUUGAAUGUGCUUCCUGGAACACAAGUUGAAUAAUUUAUGGGUCAUGUUAAGGAAUGCAAUAAUAAAACAUAUAAAUGAAGUACUAGUACAUCAAUUUGCCAAAUAAUAUUUUCUUUAUCUGUUUUUUAGUAAAAUUAUAUGGUUUUAGUUAAUUUUCAAGUGAAAUGUCAACAUCCAAGACUGAACAACUGAAGCAGGAUGAGGAAUGGAGUAAUGAAACAAAAGAAAUAGUAAGACUAAGAAGGAAUCAAAAGAAAUAGUAAGACUAAGAAGGAAACAAAAGAGUUUCUAAAGUCAAUUUAUGGAUGCAUUGUUUAAAGCAAUACCUUCAAGUUGUAGCUAGAACACCAAAGUGUAUAACAUAUGAAAAUAUGAACGUUUCUCCUUUAGAAGCAAAAAAGCUAUAGUUCUGUAUUCUCGUUAUAUAUACUGAUACUAAUAUUAUAUCCAACCUUCAUUUAUGUGAUAUCUAACCUUCUUCAUGUGAGAUUUGCAUGAACCUUCCUUGUGGUACCGGUCCAGUCAGCUUUAGAGUUCUUAUUUAUGAAGGUUGUUCGUCAAUUCAAAAAGGCAUCCUCCUCAACUUUUACAAGAACACAUCCAUUCGAUUAUACAUAUUUAGAAAGAAAAUUGUAAACAUGGACUAAUAAAAAACUCAUAGGUUAGGGAUUUGAACAUAUUUGGGGAAAUCAAUAGCAGAUUUAGAAAAUGUGAAAUUAGAUAAUUAGGAUUAAUGAUUAUAGUAGAAGAAUCAAUUAAUUAGGUAUUUUUAUUCAGAAUUGAAGAGAAUCGAACCUUGGAAGAAGCUUCCAUUUGAUUUGGAGUUGUUGAACUCACAACAAUGAAGAAAAUUAAAUUCACGUAUUUGAACUUGCUUGAAUGAGUGAAAGAGAGUGAACGAGAGAGAAGAGAAGAGAGUGAACGAGAGAGAGAAGAUAAGAUAAGAGAGUGAACUAGAGAGAAGAAGGUGAGAAAUGGGGAAAAAUGAAAGUGAACGAGAGAGAAGAAAGUGAGAAAUGAAAAAAAGAGAGGAAAUUGAGUAUCGAUCCCACAUUGCCCUCGUUGAACAAAAGAUAAGUGUUAUAUUUGUUUGUCUGUGUAAUAUUUUAACUACAGUUACUGAAACCGUGGCUACCAUAGAGUGGCCAUUCUGCGAUUUUUUUGUAGUGGUAUUGGUUAUGUCCAUUCUUCAAAUAUUUUUAUUAAAAUUAUUAGGAUUAAAAAAAGUCUAACAUUUGUUGUCAACUGUCUUUCCCACUACAAAGAGAGAAGUAAUAACCUUAUCUUUGCUAUCGUGCCUCCAUUUGAAGGGGCGGAAGAUAUGAUUUUACUAGCUAUCAUCCUUUCAAUCCUUAUUACAUCUUUCAUCAUUUAAUAAUUUUAAAUUGCUUAAUUAAUUAAUCAUUAUAAAAUAUUAUAUUAGAUAUUAUUAUUUAUUAAUUAAAAAGUAAAUUUGAAUUAAUUAUUAUUAUAAUACAAAAUGAUUAAAUAGGAAAGAAACGAAAAUAAAAAAGGAAAAAACGACAUGCAACACAAACACAUGGUACAACCUGAAUGAUCAAGAAUUUGUGACAGAGAACGCAUAAAAUGAGAGUACACUAAAGUGACACACAGAUCCUGAGGCUACAUGAUGACCUUAGAUUUGCUAAUGGUAAGCCAAUGAUAUAGAAUAUGAUAAGGGGAAGAAAGUUAACUAGCAAAGAAAAUGAGUAUUGAUUUUAGGAUUUUUUGGUGUAUUCUAGUGUGUGUUUUCUACUAUCUCUAAAUUUCAGCCUAUAAGGGUCUACCUACAGUUGAAAAUAUGAUCUUUUAUAAAGGAAUAUUUUCGUGGAUAUGCUCUAUUUUAAAAUGGUGAUAGAAUUUGAUAUAUUUUAAAAUAGUGAUAGCAUUUGAUAUAUUUUAAAAUGGUGAUGGGAUUUGAAUAUUUAUUUUCUCUUUCUUGCUCUAGUAUGUAAAUUAAUGCGGGCAAAAUUAUGUAUUCACCAUCACUAUGCCCAAAAUAAUAGCACAAGAGGCCUCACAUAGGGCUAUAUUACUAUUAAGCAAUUAAACUACUUGAUCUAUAACAAAUAUAGCAUAUAGGCAUAUAAUACAACUACCAUUUUAUCCCAAUCACUCACAAUGGUACUACAACAUUAAACUCAAGUAAUAUUUUUUGUAUUUUCUUUCGAUAAUAAUAUAUUAUAUUAUAAACACCAUAAAAAAUGUUUGAAUAUUCUCACAUACAAAAAAUGUUAACAGUAUAAUAUCUAAUCAUUGUCAGAGUAAAGAUAUUCAUAUACAAUAUAUCAGUUUUCAUUCUUUUGUAUUACUUAUAUUUAGUGAUAAAUGUUAAUUAAAUAUGAAUUGUGAACAAUACAAUGAUAAUGAACAAAAUCUUGCAUUAUUAAUUGAAAACAUUGUUUCUCUAUUAUACUCAUUGUUGUUAUAUUAUUUAUAUUAAUCAACACAUGUCUGGUUUAAUAUAUAUAUAUAUAUAUAUAUAUAUAUAUAUAUAUAUAUAUAUAUAUAUAUAUAUAUAUAUAUAUAUAUAUAUAUAUUAGCUUCUUCCUUAAUUAUGUUAAAUAAAUCCCUGAAUCGUUUUGAUAGCAUGAGUGGCUCAGCAAAUCCCUGAAUCGUUUUGACAGCAUGAGUGCCUCAGCAAAUCCCUGAAUCGUUUUGGCAGCAUGUGUGCCUCAGCAAAUCCCUGAAUCAUUUUGGCAACACGGGUGCCUCAACAAAUCCCUGAAUCGUUUUGCCAGCAAGGGUGCCUCAGCAAAUCCCUAAAUCUUUUUGGCAACACGGGUGCCUCAGCAAAUCCCUGAAUCCUUUUGGCAGGAUGGGUGCCUCAGCAAAUCCCUGAAUCCUUUUGGCAGCAUGGGUGCCUCAACAAAUGCCUGAGUCAUAUUGGCAGCACGGGUGCCUCAGCAAAUCCCUGAAUCAGUUUGGCAGCAAGGGUGCCUCCGCAAAUCCCUGAAUCAGUUUGGCAGCAAGGGUGGCUCAGCAAAUCCCUAAAUCGUUUUGGCAGCACGGGUGCCUCAACAAAUCCCUGAUCCUUUAUGGCAACGCGGAUGCUUCAACAAAUCCUUGGUCCACCAGCGAGGCAUCGACCUGCAUUCUCAUAUCAAACCUAAGCUUUCCAAGACCCCGAACCUGAUGUGCUAUCAAACCAAUCUUUCCAGGACUCCGAGCCUGAUGUGAAUUUUCGAGUUUUGGCAGUCCCCGACCUGCGUUUUCGCUUUACCUUUUUAUUAUCUCGAGUUCCGGUAGUACCCGACCUGCGUUCUCACAUUUACCUAUUAUCUCGAUUCCUCAACUUGAUCUCACCUAACGUUGUGUAGUGAUCGUUGCUUUCGCCUAUCUUUAGCAAAAUUGGCGUUCAUUUCUUUACUAAUUACUUACUAUGAUAUCAUACAAACCUCGGUUUGCUUGCUAUCUAGUAAGUAAUAAGUAAAGAGGGGCAGCUGUGAACACUCAAUUUUGUCCUAUCCGAUAUCUCUCUUGUGAUGUGAGGUAAUUCGUAAUGCAAUGGUACAUUUAGACUGAUUGAUGUUACUCUUUCAAUUUAAACCUUCACACGGUGGAUAAAUCAUAAAGAUUUUUGAGAUUCUGUUAUUGAUGGGCAUAAUGCAUUGUUUUUUAGGUUAUAAACUUAUCUUAUUCACGUCAUACAGUGCGAACCCUAAACUUCAUGAUACCUUCCUUUAUCAUUUAUGAAAAAUUCUACUCGAAACAUAAUAAUAUUGGUUGCAAACAAUCCAUAGUCAAUACAUAUACCAACUGUAAUCAUUGGAAUAGAACCACCCAAAAGUAUGUGUCAAAACCCUUUAAAGAUGUUAAAACAAUGUAGAGAAAAGCUGGAGAGUAACAAAAAGGUGUUCAUUAUUUACAUAAACUCGACCCUUUAUUACAUGAUCUUGGAUCCUUCAUGCUUCCUGAGCUUGGGCAAGAUAAAGCUUAUCCAAGUGAAACCUUGUUUAUAGCUGCAUUUACAUCAUUUUUUGUUGUUGUGCACAUUUCAUCCUUUCACACUCAAGAAUAAAAAGAUCUACACAGUUCUAAUAUGAUGCAGAGUUUUAUCAUUCUUAGUUGCUUCUCAAGCUCUUCGCUUAGUGCCAUUUUAUUUUACGCAGCACCCUGGUCCAAACUACCAUUGUCGUGACCAAUAGAAGAGAGUUUAUGCAGAGAUAACUACAAAGAGCAACCUCCUUGCUUGUUCAAUUAUACCUCACACAACUGCAUUAUCUGCAGCAAUAGUUAACAAAUUUCAUUAAAAAAAACAGAACAAGAAAAAUACUAAUCAAAAGUGAAAGAAUAUGAGACUAACACUUAGCUUACGUGGUUAGAAUCAGCCUGGCCAAAGAGUCUGAAUUAGAAUCACCCACUGCAAAAACAAAUAGAAUAUCAGAAUGGGCGAUGAAUAUAAGCAAAGUGAAGUGCAACAAUUAAUUGGACAACAUGGUAGGAUCUUCCGUCAUUGAGAAAGGAACCGAAGAGGAGUCAACACGACUCCGUGGCUGUGUUGCAUGGAGGGGAGAUCGUGUUCGCCGCUCUCCGUCACCGCACCACCCCUCUCAAAUUCCUUGCUGCCAUCGAAGAUGAGGAGGAUGAGAGGAUUUAAGAGUUUGUCCUCAUUCUUAUAAGAUUAGGGAUUCAAAUCCCUUAGCCAUCGAAGGUGAGGAGGAAGAGAGGAUUUGGGGGUUUGUCCCUAUUCUUCGAAGGUUAGGGUUGCUAAUCCUUUGGCCACGUGAAAAAUGAGAAAGAGAGUAUGAGAUUUAGGAAAAAUUUUCUUUUUUCUCCCUUUACCAUUGGCCACCACCGUAGGAUGACGAGGCUAGAGCAAGUCAGGGGAUAAACCCCAUUCUUCUAAAAUCUGCACGUGAGAUUUUUAUUUUUUAGCAUAUUAUAUUGUUGUUUUGAUUAAGAAUUAUACUUUUGCAAUAAUCACUUAUAUGUAUGUUUAUUAUUUCCCAGCCAGUGGCCUUAAUAAGUGAAGUAAGAUAAUUCUCAAGUAAUAUACUCCGUAUUAGUAAAAUAAUAAUGGUCCAUUUUUCGUCUUAUUGACCUCUAUGCAAAUAAUAUUAAUCUCAUGUAAAAAAUAAAUAUGCUUAUGUUACGGAAUAAAUAGUAUGGAACUUAUAGUGAGGUUAUGGUUAGAGUCGUCUCUAACUUCUCUGAAAAGGGGAAGAAGGUCUACCACCAACACCGUCUUUAAGCUGUUAGUUCCAUUGAAAUAAAACAAUCACAUACUAAUUGCUUCAAAAUCCACAAAAUCAAUUUCAUCAAAUCUAUCAAUACUAAACAACAUUUUCAAUUCAAUAACAAUCAACCAAACUAACCAACCAUCAAAAAGAACUAUGUAAGUCUUGAUUCCCUUAAAAUGGAUACGUAGGACCAGGGUCAAUCUUGUCAGACAUAAUAAUAAAAAACUAUUUUUUCUUCUUAAUAAAAAUGUGGUUACAAAAUGAGGACUGCAAAAGAUUGUGAGUCACUCUUGGCACACUAGAGUCAUUGGUUGCCCUAUGUACAUCCUUGCUCAGAAGCUCACAAUCCUCAAGCAUGAGCUCAAAUACUGGAACAAAACUGUCUUUGGAAACAUUCAUCACAAGGUUAUUUUGGCUAAAACAAUGUUGAGCACAUUCAAAACUGCAUAAGGGACUCUGAUCCUUCUACUCACCUUUAUCAUCAAGAGGACCUGACUCAAUCUGAACUUCUUAAAGCUUUGAUCAUUGAAGAGAUAUUCUGGAAGGAAAAGGCUAGAAUUAACUAGCACAACUAUGGGGACAGAAACAUUGCCUACUUUCAUAAAAUGGCUAAGAUCAAGCAUGUUACAAAAGCCAUGUCUUUGAUUAAGUCUGGAGAUGUGCUGCUCACUGAUCAUGAUGCUAUAGGCUCUCAUGUUCUUGAUUAUUACACUAACCUCUUUGCCUCUCCUAAUUUUGUGACCUCUAACAAUUUGAUUCAGGAGGUUAUCCCUUCUCUUGUUAAUGAGGCUGACAACCUGAUGAUUUCCUCUAUUCCUACUGAUGUGGAAAUAAAGAGUGUUGUUUUUGACAUGAAUGAGGAUAGUGCCCCUGGUCCUGAUGGCUAUAGGGGGUCUUUUUACACCAAUUUUUGGGACAUAAUCAGUAUGGAUGUUUGCAAGUCAGUGAGGCAAUUCUUCCAACAAAACUGGUUGAUGCCUAACUUGAAUUCCAGCAAUGUGAUCCUCAUUCCUAAGAUGCAGGGUGCUGAGAGAAUUGAGGACUUCAUGCCAAUUGCUCUGGCCAAUUUUCAAUUCAAAAUCAUCACCAAAGUUUUAGCUUCUAGACUUUCUGUUGUGGCUCCUAAGAUCAUCUCUUCCUCUCAAAGAGGUUUUAUCAAAGGCAGAAGCAUUAAAGACUGUAUUUGCAUUGCCUCUGAAGCUGUUAACAUGUUAGAUUACAAGACUUUUGGAGGCAACAUAGCUAUCAAGCUUGACAUAAAAAAGGCUUUUGACACUCUUGAGUGGAAUUUCCUCCUCCAUACUCUUAAGGCUUUUGGUUUUAACCAAACUUUCAUUAAUUGGNNNNNNNNNNNNNNNNNNNNNNNNNNNNNNNNNNNNNNNNNNNNNNNNNNNNNNNNNNNNNNNNNNNNNNNNNNNNNNNNNNNNNNNNNNNNNNNNNNNNGUCAUGUUCUUUUUGCUGAUGACAUCUUGAUCUUCUGUAAAGGUACUAAAAGGAACCUUAAUUGUCUCAAGAAGCUUGUGAUGGAUUAUGCCAUGGCUUCUGGCCAACAAAUCAAUGUCAGCAAGAGCAAAUUCUACACCAGCAUUACAAACCACAGAAGAAUUGCUUCAAUCUCAGCUACUCUUGGUUUUGUGCAAGGCACUCUCCCCUUCAUAUAUCUUGGUAUUCCUUUAUUCAAAGGAAAGCCCAAAAAGCUUCAUUUGCAGCCUAUAGCUGAUAGAAUCAUCAACAAGCUGUCUAAUUGGAAAGGUGCAUCUCUUUCCUUAAUGGGACGAGCGGAGCUUGUGAGAUCCAUCAUUCAAAGCAUGCUUGCCUUCAGCUUUCAGGUCUACAAAUGGCCUUCUAGGUUAUUAUCUCAGGUUGACAAUUGUGCCAGGAACUUCAUCUGGUCUGGUGAUAUUGGUGUCAAAAAGCUUGUGACAGUUGCUUGGCAUAGGUUUUGUUCCUACAUGGAUGAGGGUGGUCUUGGAAUUAAAUCUUUGAAGUGCUUAAACAAGGCCUAUCUGUUGAAGCUAACCUGGGAUCUCAAGACUACUAAUCUGGAAUGGGCAAUCUUCUUCAGAUUAAAGUUCAACUUCCAAGGCUAUACCACUCCUAAAUACUCUAAAUCUUCUAUCUGGCCUGGAAUUCGUGAUAAUUGGCUCCAUGCCAACCCGAACUCCAUUUGGCUAGUUGGUGAUGGCCUUAGUGUCAACUUUUGGAAAGACAGUUGGCUUGGUGAGCCUCUUGUUGACACUUUAAACAUUCCUAGGAACAUUCAUGAUAACCUUCAGGGCUCCAUUGCUAACUUCACGGUGGAUUCCAAAACUAUAAUUCCAGGUGAGUUAAAUAGGAACUUCUCUUCCCUUUCCAAUGAUAUAGCUGCUUACAAGAGACAUGAGGGUCAGGACAAAUUGAUUUGGAUGCCUUCUAUGGAUGGUUCUAUGACUUCUAGAGAUGCUUUUCAGUUUGUGCACAAAGUUGGAGACAAGCUUUCCUGGUGUAAACAUAUUUGGUCAUCUUCACUUCCUCCUUCCAAAUCAUUCAUAGUGUGGAGAUUGUUCCAUAGGAAAAUGCCAACAGAUGAUCAUCUUCAAAAAAAGAGGUUGUAUGUUAGCCUCUAAAUGCAACUUGCGCAACUGCAAUGUAGAAAUAGAAGACCACCUAUUUUUCAGCUGCUCUGCUGCCAAAGGUAUCUGGAAUUGGUUUUCUGACAAAUUCUCAAUCCAAAUCAACCAUUCAUCGAUUCACUCUAUCAUUAAGGAUUGUGUUGCUAUUAAAGGAAGCCAAUUAAGAAAGGUGAGUUUAGCUUGUGUUGUCCAUAACAUCAAUACUAUCUGGUUCUGCAAGAACCAGAAUAGAUUUGAGGACAAACUGAUAUCUUCUAGCCAAGCUCUCUCAAGAAUAAAAAGGGAGACCUCUUACUCGGGCUCUUACCCUUCUACAACAGUGGCUUCAGGAGGUCUUCAAGAGUUGCAAACUCUAAAGUUCUUCAACAUUCCUCUCAAACUUAGUAAAGCUCCUAAUUACAUUGAAGUUCUAUGGAAACCUCCUCACUGGAAUUGGAUAAAAGUCAACACGGGUGGUGCUGCUCAUGGUAAUCCUGGUCCAGCAGGUGGGGGAGGUAUUUUUCGUGAUUCUAAAGUUGGUUUCAUCUAUGCUUUUUCAAACUUUCUCAACGUGCAACAUGCUAUCUAUGCUGAACUUCACUCAAGAAUGCACGCAGUGGAUAUAGCUUUUAGAAAGGAUUGGCUAAACCUUUGGCUUGAGAGUGACUCUAUGCUGGUUCUGGAUAUUUUCAAUGGUAAUUCUAAUGGGCCUUGGAAGCUAUCCAAUGAUCGGCAAAUAUGUAAAUCCCAGAUUUCUCAAAUGAACUUGAAAUUUUCUAACAUAUUUAGAGAAGACAACACUUGUGACGACAAACUGGCUUCCUUUGGCAUCUCAUUUCACACUAACUCCAUUUGGAACUCUACUCAUACAUUCAUAAUAGAGGAGUUUGCUAGGAAUAAGCAUGAUCUCCCGAACUAUAGAUUCCGGAACUUUUAACAUGCUUAUUGCCUUUCUCUUGUAACUUUCUUCAUCUAUAUAUUUUGGUGCUCUUACACCUUGCUUAACAAAAAAAAAUUAUAAAAUUUAAUAAUAAUAAUAAAGUUAUAUAUUUUAAUGAAGGGUACUACUUAAGGCGGGCGGGUAGGGUGCUAAUACCUUCCUUACCUUGUAACCGACUCCCGAACCUGGACAUCGAAAAUCCAAAAGCCCAAGGUAAUUGGGCUUAAAAGAUUUUCCUACAUUUUUAACUAUAAAAUGUAAUAGCGACUCUAAAUAAAGUCGUGCAACCGAAAAUCGGGGCGCGACACCCAUAUCCGCUUUUGAUUGGCAUGCAUUUUUAGGGCGAUGGCUAAAAAUGUCGGUAUCCCAUUAUGCCAACACUACGUGGCACAUAUGGUGUAAAACAUUUUUGUUAAAUCAUUAUUUAUUUUAAUUAAAUUUUGAACUGAAGCUUCUCGAAGGUGUCCAUGCCAACUCUUCCUUACAUAUUUGACACAUAUUUCUGAACGUUCUACACACACAAACAUAUGACAUGCACGCUCUGAUUUUAGGACUUUUAUGUGUGUUCUAGUGUGUAUUUUCUACUACCUCUAAAUUGGAGACAAUAGAUCAAUCUAUAGUUGAAAAUAUAGGUUUUGGGAUAAGGAAUAUUUCAUUGAUAUGUUAUACUUUAAAAUGAUUAGAAUUUGGUAUAUUUUAAAGAUGUUGAUGAGAUUUAAUAUAUAUUAAAAUGUGUAUUGAAUAUUUCUUUUUUAUUUCUCUUGCUCAAGUCUAUAACUUUAUAAUAAAAAAUAUCUUUGUCAUGCCAUCUUAGACACAUGUCACUCUCUCAUUUACUUUUUUCCUCCAAAGGAGUUUCAUAUUCCUAUAAUGAACUCUCACAAAUUAUUUUCAUCUUCUACUAUCUAUGUAUGAAUUGAAAGGGUUGUUGAAAAGACUAAAAUAAACAAGUGAACAUAUAAACAGAAUUAUCUAUUAUUCAUUUUUCUAAAUCUUUGCGCAAUACUUUCAAUAUUGCGAAGUACAAAGUCAAAACGGGCCAAUAACCAAAUUUCGAAGUGAAAAAAGAAUCUUUGUAUAAAAAAAAUAAUAAAUAUUAUUAUUGAUAUUGAUAAAUAAUAUUUAUUAUUUUAAUAGACUAGAUACUCUAUAUUUGUGACAACUGUAUAAAGAAGAGACUAUUUUCGUUAUAUAAAUCUUAAAUUUUAAAAGUCAUUUCCUUUCCUCAUGUCACACAAUAAUAUGUAUGUUUGAAUUAAUAAAAACCAAAUAGGAUGAUCUAAAAUUUAAAGAAUAUAAUAAUAAUUAAAUAAUUCAAAUUAGAAAUUGAAGUUUUUCGUAUCACGAUUUGAUGAAAAUGUAAGGAAUAUAGUAUCAUGAUUUGAUUUCUCUAUUUUAAUUAAAAAAUCAAAUUUGAAAUUGAAAAAUCAUUAUUCUCUACAACUUUUAAAAAUAUUUAUUUUAAAAAAAUCACACAGUAGCAUGUUUCGGUUUCCUAUUUUCAUUAGAAAAUUCAAAUUUGAAAUUGACAUUUAUUUUUCUUAUUGCUUAAAAGGCAAACACAUGGGUAAUACAUGUGUUGUUAACAUCUGAAUGAACGAGUAACAUGUGUGUCUUAUCUAUCCGAAUGCACAAGUAAUAUGUGUAUUCUUAACAAUAUGAAUGUAUGGGUAACAUGUUUUUUUUAACUCUGAGAAUCCACGAGUCACAUGUGUGUUCUUAACAAUACGAAUGCACAUGUAACAUGUGCGUUUUUAAACAUGUGAAUGCACGACUAGCAUGUGCAUUCUUAACUAUAUGAAUGUACAUGUAAAAUGUGUGUUCUUAAUCAUGAUGCAAAAAAUAUGAGCCCGGGCAAAUGUAUGGCUAACUUGCUAUUAUGUAAAUUAAGUCGAACAAAGUUAGGCGUUCACAACUAUUAUGCACAAAAUAUCAUUUUUAAUAAUUAUCAAUUUAUCACAACUACUCACAAACGUUCAAAUAUCAUAAGCGAGUGUUUCACAUUGUGGUAACCAUAAAUAAGUUUAUGAACAUACUACACCAAAAUAGCAAAACAACAACACUUAAAAUUGUCAUUUUUAAUAGUGCUUAUUGGGCGUUGUUUAUGUGAGUGUAGUAGAAUAUAGGAUUAUAUUCAACAACACUUUUGAAGUGCUGUAGAAAAUAAAUUAAACAUUUAACCACGCUCGCUGAAGCAAACACUAUUAAAUGUCUACUUUUAAAUAAGACAAAAUCUCUCUCAGACAUUAUAUCAAACAUGUAAUAAGCAUACCCAAUUCCACCAUAUUUACUAGAGAUUUGAUAAUAUAAACAUCUUUCUGAAAACUCGAUUCAUAAAUCAUUGCACGAACUGAUCUCCUUUAGUUCAAAUUCAUUAACCAUAAGAUUAUAUGCAGGAAUGACAGGGAUGAAGGUGAUGAAGAUGUAAAGGAUAAAUCUAUGAAUUUCUUAUCUCCAUUAACUGGAGAAAUAAGAAGAGAAAACGAUGUAGUUUAGAUUCAACAUAAUAAGAAUCAAAUUAAAAUUUACAUAGAAAAUAUGGAUGAAAAAUGAUAGCCAAAUGCAAGAAAUACAUACAUAUAUUGCAAGUUUGGUAAAUCAUCAACACCUCCACCUAGCUUCAGCCUUGGCAUUUCCUAUAUUAUAAAAUAAGCAAUUAAGGUAGAUGUAAAUGCAAGCAACAACAGUGAAUCAUAGAAAAAUAAAUAAGGUAAAAUAAGAUACCUUGUACUCGAAAAUAGAAACCAACAGCUAAUAACUUGCUUGAAGAGAGAAACUAAGAGAAGAAUAAGAGUAAGAGAAAUAAAGUACUGAAUGUUAAGUAUAUUAUUGUGUGUUAGAUUUUGUUUUUAAAUCUGCAAAGAUUCGCGCUCACUAAAACAAGUGAUUUUUGAAUAUAUGAACUUUAACAGGACUUAUUGUAAUGAACAUUGUUGAUUAUUUAAGCAAUCCUUGUUAAAUAGAUUCAAAUCAACAGCGAUUGUAUAAAAAAUACCGUUAAAUAUCAAAAUUCUUUAAAUUAUUUAGUUGUCAUAUUAUGUUCAACUUUUGAUAAUGGAAUGGCAAAUAACAUAAUUUAGUAAUCAAAUAUGAGUUUUUGUUGUGUCAAAUCACAUACCUUAAUAUUCAAUUUUAAUAAUAUUGGUUGGUGAUUUAUAAUGUUUUUUUGAAGUAAUAAAUAAUUGUCUUUUAAAUAUAUGUAUGACCAAGUUGUGUUAUACAUGAAAACUAGCAUAUGAGUUUUUAUUAACAAUUUGAAUUACUUUCCUAUAAUGUUUACUUCAGUUAUAUAUUUCAAAAUAAAAUUAAAUAAUUUCAUAAAUACCCGUUAAGUAAUAUCUAAAACAAGCAUUUUUUGAAUGGGUGACUUUUAACAAUACUUAUUGUAAUGAGUGAUGUUGAGUUGUCACGUUUAACAGCGCUUAUUUAAGCAAAUGUUAUUAAAUAGAUUCAAGUUAACAAUGUUUGCUUAAAAAAUAUUGUUGCAUAUCUUAGGAAAACAUACAACAACACUUCAAGAAAGCAAUGUUAAAGUUAUAUCCAUCUAUCAAAUUUAACAACUUUUGUUUAAAAGAUCAUUGUUAAUGAUCUUCUGUAUUGUAUUUACAAGCGUUGUGCUAGAAAGCAAUGUUAAAGGAGUGUUGUUAAUUAUCCUCCAACAUACAAAAUAUAUAAGACUCGUACAUCGUCACAAGAGCAAUUAUGAAAUCUUACAUGGAAAACAUUUUCAUGCGAGUUCCUUAUUCUAGAAAACUAGUUGACUCUAGAGAUCAUUGGAGCACUUUAAUGAAAAAAGACUCACCAAAGCUAGUUGUGAGCUACUUGACUAGGCUAUUAUGGGCUAUUCAGAAAAGUGCUCAAGAGCCUUGUAAAGUGAGGUCAUGCAUGAUAUAAUUGUUGCUUGGUGGCUAGGUUAAGAUAACCACUUGUUGGGUCCAGCCCGCCUAGCUGCUUAUAUGGCACCACUGAGCUGCCUGCUUGAGCACCUUGUCCUGCUCUAGCCAGGGGUGUGGUUCCAAGCCAGGCAGUCCAAGUGCAUGCUGAGUUGCCUGCUUCAACAGGUUGGCUCGUGCCAGACCUGGGUUUGACCGUGUAUAUCUUGUGUCUUACCGAGCCAAGUUGGUGCCAGUUCAGUUGGGCAAUGUUGUUUGUCCAAGCCAGGCUGCUUAGUGAGAAACUUCAUGUUUUUGGUCCAUGCUUAUGGCCAAUAACUUAGCUUUCCAUGUGUGCAUCAAAAGUAGCUUAUGCGCGCACCUCCUUGCUUGACUAUUUUUAUGUUUUCUUUCUUCUCUUCGAUUUUUCCUAGAAAACUUCACACAAAAAUUUGGAAAAGAGGUGGACAAAAUAUAAAAUCAAACUACAAAAAUUUAUCUAAAAAGUUUUGAAUUAAGUUGGUUUUGCAUGAAUUACAUAGGAUAAGUUCCAUUAAAAAGUGUAUGAAAAUUUUGUAAUUUUGGCACUUAUCAAUAUCCUUGCAUAAAGAGGAGACACGCUUGAAAUGAAACCUAUUCACUUUGGAUGAAAGUUGUUUAUUUGAAUUUGAAAAUGUGGUUUCAAUAGCUUUGUGUAAUCGAUUGACACGAAGUAGUAAUCGAUUACCCAAAUGCUAUGUCCAAGUUGGUAAUCCAUUAAUACACUGAAUUAAUCGGUUACAUCAUUCAAUUUUGCUUUGUAUCUAUUUUCUCACUCACGUAACCUAUUACACCAUGUUAGGUAUCAGUGGUUACAAUACACCUAGAAGGGUGGGUUGAAUAGGUGUCGCGGUUAGAAUAGACGCUUUUCGAAACUCAACACUUAAUGCUGAAUCACCCCUAAUUAAUCAAUUAUAGGAUGAAGAUAAUCGAUUAACAUGCGAAAUAACUCAUAUUCAUGGGUCAGCGCGUUCAAUCUCGUGCGCUUGACUUCGCUAGUGCCUUCGUGAGUCACUUGUAAAGUCUCCCACAUUUCUUUCGCAUUAUGGCACUGCGAGACCCUAAAGAAUUUUUCUUGUGCUCAUCAUCGGUCCAUAAACUUUUCGGUUUAUCUUUAGGCUGAUCGUCCACAAGAUGUUGUGGAACGUAAGGGCCGUUGACUACGGAUUCCCAAAUAUCCGAGUCUAUGGCUUCAAUAAAAAUUUGCAUGCGCACUUUCCAGUAGGCAUACCCUUCACCACUGAAUAUUGGUGGUCGAUUAAUGGAUGACCCAUCACCACCAAAUGGAUUUGAAGAACCCAUUCCUUUUCCCUUUAGGAUCACGAAUACGCGGUUGAGCUAGCACUUCGUACUAGCUCUGAUACCACUUGUUAGGUAUCAGUGGUUACAAUACACCUAGAAGGGGGGGUUGAAUAGGUGUCGCGGUUAGAAUUACCGCUUUUCGCAAAUCAACACUUAAUGCUGAAUCAACCCUAUUUAAUCGAUUAAGGAGAAGAAGAUAAUCGAUUAUAUGCACAAUCUUAAUCGAUUAACACAAAGAACAGUUUUAAUGCUGAAUCACCCCUAAUUAAUCGAUUAUAGGAUGAAGAUAAUCGAUUAACAGAACAAUCUUAAUCCAUUAACAGAAACAGGAUAAUCGAUUAAUGAAACCAUUUUAAUCGAUUAAACAGAAACAGUAAGCUAUUACAGAAAACGAUUAAUUGCAGAACAGUUAACCGAUAAUGGAACGAAUAACAGAGCUUACAGAUUGUAUAUCANNNNNNNNNNNNNNNNNNNNNNNNNNNNNNNNNNNNNNNNNNNNNNNNNNNNNNNNNNNNNNNNNNNNNNNNNNNNNNNNNNNNNNNNNNNNNNNNNNNNUCAUCCUGAUUAUCAUUAUCAGACAAAUCCAGAUCAAAUGUGGUAUAGUCCUCCUGAUACUGCCAAGUAGUACCAUACUUGUAUAUCCCCAUCUUAUGAAUAAGACUUUCACCAACCAGGUGAUCUUUAUCAGUAUACUCAAUAAUGAUAGUAUCAGAAACAUCAAUGUGCAGAUAAUCGAUAAUGCGAGAUAUGAAAAUGCUAUAUGGAAGCAGCUUUGACUGAGACAAUGAUACGCUGUUCAUGAUUUUCAGAAUCUCCUCAGGCCAGUUGAUCAUGACGUUAUUCUUUACAGCGUACAUGAAACGCAAAUCAUUCAUAGUAGGUUGUGCAUGAUUUGUGUUCCGCUAUACUAGUAUGUAAGCAAUAACGUAAUGCAACAGUCUGUUCUCAAUAGAUAACGACCCAGCUUUGGUCAGUUGACCAUGAAUGUACAAAUGAGGGCCGCGAAGGAAUGACUUAUAGACCUCAACAGGAUCAAAUUUGUCCUUGACCCAGGAACAAUCCCCUAUACCAUAACCAGACGAUGAUAAACCUCCAACAUUCAGAAACAAAUCAUCACUCAGCUCAAACAGAUUACCAGAAAUCAUUGACCAAUACUUUCCAUCCUUGUAUCUAAAAUUAGCAUAAAACUCCCUAACUAGAGCAGGGUAGACACGUCCCUUUAAUUCCAAAAACUGAACGGCUCCCUGAGCCUCCAUAUCAUGCGGAAAACUAAAAUUUGGUUCCGCUAACCAGGUUAAAUCAACAUACCUGACGUAGGUAGGUUUGCGACCUUGAAAUUUCGCCAAGCGGGUCUCUUGCAAGAUGAGAGAAUAGUAGGGGUCGCCGCGAUCCCGAGUGGAAGGUGAGCCGGUUUCCCAUCUUUGUACACGAGUAGCUAUAGUCUUGACCCGUUUUGGACGACUUUGCUCCAUUAUAUGUGUUGAACCCGAAACUGUGAUGAAUGAACAGAGGAGGCAAACUUAACCAAGGGUUUGGAUUGGAUGAUUUGGAAUUGGAUGGAUUAAGGAUGAAAGAGAGCGAUUUCGGAUGGUUUGAGAGGGUUAGGAUGAGGUUUAUUCGAUCCUAUUGCACUUGGAUUAGUUUGGUUACUGUUUCAAAGACUCAAAGCACAGAGAGGUUGCGAGAAUGUNNNNNNNNNNNNNNNNNNNNNNNNNNNNNNNNNNNNNNNNNNNNNNNNNNNNNNNNNNNNNNNNNNNNNNNNNNNNNNNNNNNNNNNNNNNNNNNNNNNNGAAGCUUUCCAAAUAAAGUAGCUAAAGGCAUAGAGUCCAAAUCUUUAGACUCAACAAUUGCAGUCACCUUUGGUUGCCAUUUCCUGUUAAGACAACGCAAAACUUUAUUAGUUAGUUCACCUCUAGCAAAUGAUUUAUCGAGAGCAACUAAAUGGUUAACAAUAUGAGCAAAUCGCUUUUUCAUAUCACAUAUAGAUUCGCUCGGUAACAUGCGAAAUAACUCAUAUUCGUGGGUCACCGCGUUCAAUCUCGCGCGCUUGACUUUGCUAGUGCCUUCGUGAGUCACUUGUAAAGUGUCCCACAUUUCUUUCGCAUUAUGGCACUGCGAGACCCUAAAGAAUUCAUCAUAUGAUAGGGCUGAUGUGAUGAUGUUUUUGGCGUGUAGGUUAUGCUGGACCCUCUUGNNNNNNNNNNNNNNNNNNNNNNNNNNNNNNNNNNNNNNNNNNNNNNNNNNNNNNNNNNNNNNNNNNNNNNNNNNNNNNNNNNNNNNNNNNNNNNNNNNNNCUUAAUGCUGAAUCACCCCUAAUUAAUCGAUUACAGGAUGAAGAUAAUCGAUUAACAGAACAAUCUUAAUCCAUUAACAGAAACAGGAUAAUCGAUUAACGAAACCGGUUUAAUCGAUUAAACAGAAACAGUAAGCUAUUACAAAAACGAUUAAUUGCAGAACAAUUAACCGAUAAUGGAAUGAAUAACAGAGCUUACAGAUUGUAUAUCAGAAUAGCAUCCAGUAUAGCAUACGAACAGAAUGUAUCAAUUGAAUCCACUAUACCAAAUAAUCAAUUGAAAGCAUUAAAGAGAUAGAGAGAGAGAAAUCCAGCAACGCGAAUUUUCAUCCUGGUUCGUUUGCUGUCCACUGCAAACUACAUCCAGGCCUCCCGGCUGACUUGGGAGAUUUCCUUCACUAUAAUCGAAUCAAUGUAAUUACAUGCAUAUUAUCCAAUUACAACACUUAGCAAAUUACAAUAAAAUAAAGAAACUAUUCAAUGGUUAAUGGUUUGACUCCCUUCCUACUGACAAAGAAAAUGUUUCUUUCGGCGUAGCCCCAGCCAAGAAUCUCUGUUCUUUCCUUUUCUUACACUCUAAGCAAUUAUGAAGAAACACUCAAUCUCUAACGGUGAUAAGACACCACGAGAUUCCCUUUACAACAAUUAUACAACAAUUACAAGAGUAAAAUAAAGCUAUUACAAUGCUCAAAUAUAACAAGAAGGCUUUACUCUAAUGCAAUCCAAUCAACUAUUUUGUAUACUUAGUAAUAAUGCUCAAUAGAUUUAUAAAACCUUGAAACAAUUACUUCAAGUAACUCAGAAAAAUUCUCUUUUGAAAGUUUAAGAACUUAGUGCAAAAGUGCAGAAAAAUAGAGAGAGAAUUUUUCAGAAUCGUAUGAGAGUUGUGUCAAAGUUGUGUGUUUGUUUUGUGAAAGUUAGAGUCUUUAUAUAGACUUUCAAAACACCCAUGGUGUCUUUCUGAAAGUGUAGGAGUUGUUUGAAGUGAAGAGAUUUCAUUUGGAGUGAAAACAUUUCGUUUUGAAAUCUGAAAUCUCAUGCAACAGUCUUCAGUAAUCAAUUACUGAUAGUGGGUAAUCGAUUACCCAAACUCUCUGUCCACUGUGUAUUUAAAAACAAAUUACUCUGAACAGUAAUCUGUUUAUUUAAAAACUCAACUUUUGUAAAACUGGUAAUCUGUUACUCAAAGGCAGUAAUGGAUUACUCUGAACAGUUUAAAGUUGGAUAACUCUUUUUAUCUCACAUGUAACUUGUUACUUAAAUGAAGUAACCCGUUACACAUCAUUCUUAAAAAUGUUUUAAGUAUUUUUAAAAUAGUUUGAGCAUUACUACUUUGUAUUUAUAAAGAGUUUUAGGAUAGAAGUACCUAUAGAGACUUAAUCUAAUUUUCUUUAAGCUUUAAUCUUCUUUGUCUUCAUAAGUAUUCUUCAUUUUCUUCUUUUUGGUGAUUUUGGUGUCUUCAUCAAAAUCUUGCCAAGGUCAGGAGCAAAGAUCUUCUUCAUAGAUAUUGGUCUAUGAUUUCUGGAAAUCUGUUUCAGAUGGAUAGUAGCAUUUUUAUGAAUGUGGGUGGCUUAUCUACUACUGGUGUUAGCAUAGGUGAUUGUGAAAGGCUUGCUGAUUUCGACGCUACUGAGGUAUAUAAAUCUUAUUUGAGAGGUCCUCAUUUGUAUAUCCAUGGAGAAUUGAGUAAAGAUGGUUCUCUAUCGGUAGAGAAUAGAUUGCUUCAUUACUUGAUUGCCUACAUUUUGUUUCAGAGGAAAACUAACCAUGAACAACAUAUUGUUAAUGAUCUGAAAUUUAUGUAUGUUGUGAAGGAGAAUAUAAUGGUUAAUUGGCCUGAAGAAAUUCUGAAGGUCAUGUAUAAUAUCUCUACAUCGCUCCAAAUUGUUGCCCUACAGUAUCUUCAUAUCGAGAAUUAUUGACUAUCUGCAUAUUGAUAUUUCGGACACCAUCAUCACAUAGACUUCUGAUAAAGAUCACCUUGUUGGUGAAAGCCUAAUCCACAACAUGGGUAUUUACAAGUAUGGAAAUACUUGGCAAUACUAGGAAGAUUUUACUACAGUGGAUUUGAAGACAUCUGAUGAUGAGGAUCACGCUGGUACAAAACAGCCUAAUGUAGAGACUCAGUGGGAGCCAUCUAGAACUGUGCAGCAAGAAUCGUCCUUUGGAUUAGCUCAACUGGAUGCCAUGGAGCAAAGGCGGAACAAUAGGAUGUACUUACAUUUUCAGUCUUUAAAGGACUCCUACCACGCUGGUUUUUAACAAUUUGAGGAGCGUCAGAUUGCAUACAUCGAUAAUCACUAUCAAACUCUGAGGAGCUUUAUCCAGAACACUGCUGAGGCACAAAAUGCUAGGUUUUUUGCAGAGUUUAAGAAGCUAGAAUUCCUCAUCCGAGAUGAUAGUAGUUUGACCGCACCUGAUGCUAGAGAUCCUCCUCAGCAUCCCUAGAAUAGAAGGCCUUAGAUCUUAGAUUUCCCUUGGUUUAGUCUUUCUAUAUGGCUAGUUUUUAGGAUUUGUGCUGCUUUGUAAUUUCGAGACAUAUUUUCUCUUCGCUUUCUGGAUUAUAACUAUCUACUAGUGCUGUGACUUUAUGACUUGAUAUGCAUGGCAUUUGAUCUUUAAAUUGUUUCUAUUGUGGUUUCAUUUUGCUUAAAUAUGUCAAAUAUAGCAUGAUUGCAUCUUUUAAUGGUUCUUGAUCAGGUUUGGUUAUAUGUAUAUCCUAUGUUUGAUUGAGCCUACUGUUUCAAUGUUAUAAUUUAAAUGUUUGAUCAUUCCAUGCUGGAUUGGUUCAUAUAUAGCCCUCCAUGCCAUUAUAUAUGUCAUAUUGCUGUAUUUUGUUGGUUUAAUCGAUUAACCUACUAUCUUAAUCGAUUAAAUGCUGCUUAACUUGUGAACUUGUUCAAUUCUUUCAUAAAUUGGUUAACUAAUUACAUUCCCACCACUAAUUGAUUAAUUACAGUUUGAGUUCACUUCAUAUGUCUUCUUACUUUGGACCAAAAUUUCAUUUAGUUUAUCUUUUUGAUAAUGUCAAAAGGGGGAGAAAGGUUGUUUUGUUGUUUAAUGUGUGCAGGUUGAAAAUAAUACCAAGCGUUCAUUGUCUAAGCUAUGUGCUUUAACUUUGAAAUAAACAACCAUGCAUUUAGUGAUCAUCUUCAAGCUAUGCAUCAAAACAAAGUUGGUGUAGAGUUUGUCAUCAUCAAAAAGGGGGAGAUUUAAAGUGUGAAUGUCAAGAGAGCACUUUAGUUUGCCUAUGUUUUGAUGAAGACAAAGGACUUAGUGAAAGCUUAAAGGCAACUCAACAAAUCAACAUGAGACAUGUCAUCUAGUUGAUUAUAUGUUCAUGCAUUAAUCAAAUAUGUUAUUUGUGCAUUUAGGCAUAACAUAACAGUAAAGCAUAACAUAUAGGUAGUUUACCAAUUUACAUCUUAACUGAAAAUACGUCAAUUAAUCGAUUAAGUAAAGCUUUAAUAGAUUAACGAGAAAACAGUUUUUAAUAGUUUCAACAGAAAACUGAAAAACAUAUUUCAGUUACUCACUAACAGCCCGUUAAUUGAUUAACAUGCAACUUAAUCGAUUAACUGGGUGAAAAAUAGCUUUUCUAUAUGAACUAUUUUGUUAACAAAUUUCACAACGAUUUUCAUACAUUCAUACAUUCAUAUUAGAAUUGCAAUGUUGCAUAUUGUCAUGUUCAAUGUAUGCCAUAUAGGCUGAGAGAAAGUGCAUGUGAGAUUAGAGUGAGAUAGUAUUAUGCUUUAGGAUUAACAUGUCAUCCAUUGCAUAUUUUCAAAUGUGUUUGUCAUCCUAUCUUGUUCUUGCAUGAUUCUUUCAUUACUGUUUAUAGGGUUUUUAAGUGUAGAAAUCACAUGUUCUUCAUGAUUUUCAUCUUAUACAUAUUCAUAGUAAUUGUGAGAUUUGUAUAGGUUUAAUAGCUUGUUCUUUCGUAUAAUAUUUGAGCUAUAUUGUUGCUUCACAUUACUACUGUUUUUGUGUUGAUUGUGUAACAAGGUAAAGUAGUCUCUUGAUGUCGUACCACCAUAGAGAUCAGAGAGUCUUCACCAAGACUUGUAGGUCUUGAGUUUAGAGCAUACUCUUGGCUGGGGCUGGAUCGUAGGAAAGGUUUUCCUAGGCGAUUGGGUAAGGUCAAACCAAGGUAUAGGUUCUAGGAACUCAAGAAGGGAGCAUUCAAGGUCUUGUAAUUGCAAGUGUGUUUGUAAGACACAUUGGUUUUAAUUUUUAGUGAAGAAAAAUCUCCCAGAUCAGAGGGGAGGAUUGGAUGUAGUUUUGCAUUGGACCGCAAAACUAACAAGUAUAAAAAUCUUGUUACAGGUUUUUCUUCCCUUAUCUCUUUAUUGUUUUCAGUAUCUUUUAAUUGCUUACUGAAGCUGAUUUUUUUAAUAUAGCAUUACUGCCAAAUAAAUAUCAUUUGUGUUAAAAAAUAUCUGAUAAAUCAAUUUUGUAUAAUCUGUACUUGAGUGUGCAAUUGUGCCAGUUAGGAACUGCAAUUUUCUGUAAGACUUAAUCGAUUAAGUCAUAUCCUUAAUCGAUUAACUAGGCAAAUUUCCAGAACAGGGUGUUCGUGCAUAUAGCGGUAUGUGGGAACCGGGACACCUAUUCACCCCCCACCCUUCUAGGUGUAUUUUGUUACUGAUACCUAACACUCCUUAGCAAUGAGAUCAUGAAAUGCAUACAAAAAAAUGAUUUCUUAUUGAUGCAUGAUAUGCAUGAAGUGAACCUUUUUUCAUGUUACAUGAAUUGAGAUGCAACUUAUAACUCAAAAUGAUGGCUGAAAUGCUAACUUUGUGCUCAUUUUAUGUGUUAUGUAUAUGAAGAUGCAUUUUGGGAUGUAUAAAUUAUAUGAUAUUAAUAUUUUUGAAGUAUAAGAUGCAUGAGGAUGCAUGUGAUUUUAUUUUUAGUGCAUGAGACUCUUAGAAAAUGCAACUUAUGAUGUAUAUGAAUUUGAAUAUAUUAAAGCUAUGACAAGAUGUAUGAAAUGUUUUAGUUUUGUUUUUUUCUUAAAUGAGAAGGUUUGUGAUAAUGAAUGCAAUGUUAUUAAAAUGUAUGAUAUGGUAAUGCGUGAAAUAAAAUAUUUUGAAUGAUUUAUUUAUAUUUUUUUGAUGACUAUAUGCAUAAGUGAGUGUAUGUAUGACUAAUGUGUUUAUUUUUUUAAAUUGCAUGUAUACAUGAGUGAAUGAAUACUUACUAAUUUUUUAUACAAGAAUGAAUGCCUAAGUCAAUGAAUGAUUACUUUUCCUUAUGAAUACAUGAAUGAAGUUUUGUAUAAUGAUUGAAUAAAAUGUAGAUGAAUGUACGAUUAUUGUAUUUUUAUUUUUUUUAAAUGAACGUAUAAUUUUUAAAAAAAAUGUAUGUAUGCAUGAAUUAAUUAAUGAAUUAGUAGAAGAGUUUAUGAAUAAUGUAUGCAUGAAUAAUUGAAUGAAUGAAUAAAUGCAUAAGUGAUAAGUGUCAAACAUGCCUAAAUUUUAUACACUUUUAUGGCACUUAUCUUAAGCAUAAUUGAGAAAAUCCAACUUAAAAAAAUACUUUUUGUAUAAAAUAUCACAAUCUAGUAUAUUUGUGUUUGUAUUUAUUUUUUAUGUAUUUUGUAGAAUUUAGAAAGAAAAAAAGAAGAGAAAACGGACUAAUGGUCAAAAAGAAAAAGAAGUCAAAAACCAAGGAGCUCAAGCAAGCUGCCUGACCUGGACACCAGCCUGACCUGGACCAAAGCUGCUCAAGCAAGCAGUUGACCUGGACCUGGACACCACCAUAGACUUUUCAGAAUAGAUCACAACUAACUUUGAUGAGUCAAAAUAAGGAGGUGAGAAAGCUACAUGAACAAGGGACCAAACCCAUGCUAAAGGGUUUGGUCAGCUGCUUAGCGGUCCAACCAAGCAGCUUAGUGACCUAGAAAAAAUUCUAUAAUAGGGCACAAUUCAUUCGAGCAAAGGGGUUCAAAAAAUCCAGUGAAAUACACAUAUCUCUUAAUAAUUAUGUAAUAGGUAAUUAGAAUUUAUGUACCAGCGUUAGAAUUUAUUCUAACAAAGCCGAGAUGAGGCAAAGAAUGAAUGACUUAUUUACAUGAUUGUUAAAGAAGUAAGUUUAACUGGAAUAUUCUUGAAACCCUUAAACCGGCGUUAGAAUUUAUUCUAACAAAGCCGAGAUGGCGAGCAAAGAAUAAAGCCGAGUUCACUUACUUAAUCAAAUAAAAAGAACACACCGAAAAUGAGAUUAAUAACCUUUCAACAAAUUGUAACUGUUGUUAGGACGAUUUGUUGAGGGGAAAAACUCUCAACACCUAAAACCCUUUCAACAAAAAGCCACUUAAUGAAGAUAUUGUUUGUAAUGUGGUGAACGAAUGAAUAAGUGUAUCGAAUAUUUUUUUUAUUUUUGAAUGUAGGAUUGAAUGAAUGAAUUUUUCUUUUCGAUUGCAUGAGUGAAUGAAUUUUUCUUUUCGAUUGCAUGCGUGAAUGAAUGUGUGAGUAAUGUACUCUUUUUAAUGAAUUUACGAAGGCAUAAGUCAAUGAAAGUUUAAAUAAUGUAUUUUUAUUUUUCAAAAAUGCAUAUAUGGAUAGUUAAUUAAAAGAAUGUAUAAGUAAUGUAUUUUUCUUAUAUGCAUGAAUGAAUUAUUUUGAACGAUAGUUUUUUUACUUAGUGUAUGUAUGGAUGUACGUAUAAAUCUAUUGAUAAAAAAAUUAUUUUUAAACGCAUGAAUGAAUGCAUAAGUCAAUCAAUGAAGAUUUUUAUUUUUGACUGCGUAAGUCAAUCAAUGAAUAUAUUUAUUUUUUGAAUGUAUAAAUGAAUAAAUAAUUGACUGAAUGUUUGAAUAUGUACUUUUUAUGUUUAUGCAUCAAAUGAUGCUUUUUUUGUAUGAUGUAUUUUUUAUUAAUGCAUGAUCAAUGAAAUGUCUAAAAAUAAAAAAUGCAUGCCCCUUAGAGUAAUGGACCCUAUAUUGGGGGUGAUUUAGCCAUCACUACGAUUUGAACAAGGCAUAUUUUUUAAAAAUUAUAUUUCUUUUAUUUUUAUAAUAAUCUCUUUGUUAGGGGAAUAAGAAUUCCCUCAAGGGUGCGAUAUUUUACAUGAUUUUUAUUUUACAUCACAAAAUUCUAAACAAUAUGCUAUAAUACAAACAUAUGCAAAUCAAAAGAUUCACAACAAGUACAACAUCCUAGGAUAGGGUUCGAACAUACAAUGGAUGCCCUUGGCAAGUUAUAGACUCCAUAUAAGGUGCCCAUAUUGCAACUCUCUCCAAUAUAGAAACCCAAAUAUUAUGAUGUUAGAAACAGAAUACCAGUUCGAGCGGCUAACUCAUAAUAAAAGGUAACAAUAUGAGUGGUCCACAUCACCAACACUUAGAAGGGGCAAAGAUCACGACCAGUGAAGUUAGUGUCUCUUCUAUUAAAAAAUGUAUCACUAAACAAAUUUAUUUAUUUUUAUUAUUGUGUCUGACAAGAUUAACCUUGGUUCUACGUAUCUAUAUUAAGGGAGUUAAGGCUUACGGAGUUCUUUAGGUAGAAACAGGUUUGUUGGUUGGCUGUAUUUUGAUUAAGGAAAAUAUAUUGUUUAGUCAAAAAAUGUUUAUUUGCAUGUUAAUUUAUUGGUGAAAAAAAAAGUUUUAAUUUGGUUAAUUCUUUCCAUUUAUUUAAUUAAGAAAAUUUAAUUUAAUCGAUUUUGAGAUUUAAUCGAUUGAAAAGAAGCAGCGUAGCGUGACCUUUCGAAGAUGAUUUGAAAAGAGUCAUAUGGGGCGACCUUUUCUUCAUCUUUGAUUAAUUCUUAGAAUUGUUUUAUUUUUUGAAAAGUACUCGUUGUCAUGUUUUAUAUAUAAAAAAUAUUCAAUUUCUUAUUAGUCACAAUUCUAAUUAUUUAUAGAAAAUAAUUUUAUAAGUUAUCAAAAAGGUUUGAUUAAUUGGUGGAUAUAUGAAAAUGAUUGUUUGUUUUGCUACUUUUACUAUGUUAAAAUAUAUUCUAUUAACUCAAAUAAUUUCAUUAAUAGUUAUCUUGAUUUCCUUUAGUGAAAUCUGAUUAUUUAUUAAUGAAAUUUAAUGAUCGAUUAUAGGAAAAUAAUAAAUCAAUUACAAAAAAUAAUGACACAAAAAAACAAUUUUGGUGACCUUUUCCCAAAAGAAUAGGAAUUCUUUUUGUCUAUGGUGUUUUGUCCUACUUUCCACAAAAUUUUAAUUAAACAAAUAUCAUUAUUAUUGAAUCUCUACACAGUAAAAUAAAUAAAUUAUUUAUAGCAAAAUUAUUUUUACAGAAUUAAUAUUAAUAUUAUGAUAUAACAAACUCAUGAACUAGAUCAAAUAGAGACAAAUCUGAUUACAAAGGAAUAAAAUUUUUAGCACUAUAGGGAAAUAGAUCAUGUGUUGCAAUAUGGAAGAUAUUGAUUAGUGCAACAAAUUAGAGCUAGCUAUGUGGCAUGCUAUGACAGAGCAAGCUACAUUAAUCAAUUCUCAUGUUUUUGGCUGGGAAAUAAAGCUAUACAUUUUUGCAGAAGACACUUUAUUGCUACAAGCAUACAAUAACCUAAUAACCCAAUGCCCCUGGAAAAAAGUCUCAAAGCGGGAAAAAAUUCUAGUAGUCGAGAAAUAAUAAUUUUUAGUACUUUUUUUGGCAUUUCUUGGAAUGGCUUUCUUUUGGGUAUUUUUUUGGAAUGUUGGGAGUGAUGGCUCCUUUUUUUAGAGGUCUUUUCUUGAGAGAGUCUUUCUUUAGUGUGGAAUCUCCUCCUUCUUUGGUGAAUAAGACACUCUAUUUAUAGACUAUAACUUAUCACAUGUGUUUAAUGAGGAGAAUAUCUCCCAUUAAUUGAGUAGAGGAGGUUAAGGGAAAUAAAUCAUAUUUGCAACAUAAUCAAAUUGAUUUGAAAUUUACUUGAUUUGAUUUGAUUUAAUUUGUUUAUUCUCAUAUUGCAACCUUAAAUUUACUUGAUUCCAAAUCUCUAAAGAUUUAAUUUUUCAUCGAAUCAAAUCUCUAAAGAAUAAUUAUUAUAAUCAAAAUUAUUUGUGCAACACAGUCAGAUUGAUAUCAAAUUUUCCAAUCUUAAUUUGAUUUGCAUAUUUCCUAAUUGCGAUCUUUAACUUAUUUGAUUGAUUUACAAUCUUGAUUUAAGAUUGAAUUUUCUAAUCAAAUUGAUUUGUGCAACACAAUUAGGUUAAUGUGAACUUUCUAAUUUGAUUUGAUUUGUGUAUUUCCAUAUCGCAAUCUUGAUUUGAUUAUUUAAUCCUUAAAGAUUUAGUUAUUAUAAAGGUGAUUUAUGCAACUAAUCAAAUGGAUAUGAUGUGAUUCAAAUUACAUAUUUUCAAAUCUUAAGUUUAUAUGAUAAUACAAUCAAAUCUUUAAUUCACUCAUCAUUUAUUUUUAUUUAUUAUUAUUAAUUUUAGAAUAACUCUAAAACAAAUCAUUUUUUUUAGAAUUCAAUUACUUUAAACUUGAAUUUUGGUUAACCUAAUCACUUAGAUUUAGGAACCUUAACAUAACAUGUUUAGUUUUAUUUUUAUUAGAAAAUUAUUUUUGGAAUUUUGUUAUUUUUUUAUUUAAAAAUGUUUUGAGCUUUUUCUGGCCCGGACAAAAAUAGGUGUUCACAAUGUGCAAGGUAGUUGACCAAGGCUGGUUUCAUGACAUUUGAAAAAAGGCUUCCCUAUUACCUUAUUGCUUAUAUGUUGGUUCAGAGAAACACCAACAAUGCUCAACUGAUGGAUAAUGAUUUGAAGCUCAUGUAUGUUGUGAAAGAAUGAAUCAUGGUUAAUUGGCUUGCUGAGAUUUUGAAGGUGAUGUUUAGAAUCACUUCCUUUUCAUCUAGAUUGAUGGCAUAUGGGAUUUUUUUUUCAUGUGUCAUUGAACAUGUUAGCAUUGACAUAAGCAACGAGGACUUAAUUAUUUUAAAUCCCAGGGAGCAUCUCAUUGAGGAUAGCCUAAUCAACAAGAUGAGUAUAUAAAUAAAGUUGAGUGUUGAUGUAUCAGGAGGAUCAUCAACUACUAUGGAAUUUCAGAUGAGGAUGAGAAUGUUAUUCAUGCUGAGCAAACCCAAACAGCAACUGCAUGAGGUUCCUUCUAUCCUCAAGCACCAUAUUUCAGUUUGGCUCAUUUAGACGCUAUGGUACAAUGCCUCAAUGAGCAUAUUGAUAAUGGAAUACAAUUCAUGGAGGAAAGGCUCAUGAAAUAGUUGCAUACAUAAGAAUUGGAAACUCAGACUCACUUACGACAUAUUAGCUUUAUCCUUAACACCAUUAGUAGCUUCUUCCAACCACCUCAUAGUAGCUCAUCUAGUUGGGGCAACCAUUAGUAUUCCUAGUUGGCAUAUGUGUAUUUUGACUUGUGUUGACUCUUUGUGUGUUUAAAAUGGAUGUGCAUUAUGGUUUAUAUUUGUUCUGUUUCUUAUCAUUAUGUCAAUACAACUGGUAUAUUUGUUGAACAUACAUUGCUUAUAACUUGAAUCAACAAAAUAAUCAAGAAACUUUUAUAAAUUUUCUGAAAUAUCUUUAUUUAAUCGAUUAAUAGCAAAUUAAUCGAUUAACUACAGCUUAAAUUGUGUUUUUCAGUGAAUUCAAAUCUUGCAUAAUCAAUUAACGCCAUGCCUAAUCAAUUAGAUUGUUUAAAUAGCAUCUUAUCUCUUUAUCUUGUGUUUUUUGGAGUUGAUGCAUUACAAGCUUAUGUGACAUUCAAGAAUAAAUGCACAAUAUGAGGGGAGCAAAUUGUUCAAGCUCAACUCUAAUUUUAAAACAAGUUGAUUGCCUAUCAAGAAGAUUGCAAGACGAGUUUGUCAUCAUAAAAAAUGGGGAGAUUACUAAUGCAAGCAUACAAAAACAAGAUUUUGAUAAAGACAAAGACUAAAUCUUAAAGACAAAGGACACAUCAACCACAACCGCAAAAGACUCAUAUUCAAGCUUCGAGAAAGGCUCAUGAAGACUAACAGUAAAUAUUUUAUUUUUAGGUCCUAAAAUGCUUUGAAUGGGUAGAGUCUAGGUUAGGUGAACCUUUUGAUAAAUCUCACAUAAUAUGAGCAUAUUGCAAAAAAGUUAUUUUUCAUACAUAAUAUGACUUGAACAUAUUUUUGCAUGUGUACAUGAUUUUGGGCACUAAUACUUAUAUACUUUUCAAAGUCAUGCAUCCUGCAUACAUAAUUUAUGUUAGAGGUUCAUGCAUAAUCAACCAAGUCUUUUUAGAAAAAAUGUUAAUCGAUUAAGACUUUAUCUAAUCCAUUAAGUCUUUGGAAAUCGGAAACUCGUUAAUCAGUUAAGGACAUGGUUAAUCGAUUCAGUCAGUUUCUGUUUUGGAAUCUUGGAUGUUUUAAAGAAAUUCUAAUCGAUUAAGUGACAAUUUAAUCGAGUAUCCCCAAUAGAACAAUUUGAAACUGAAUGGUAUUUCACCAUCAUUUCCCAUGUGCAAAGUAACUUAUAAAAACAAGAACAAUAAAUUUUAUACUCACAGAAACUUGAUGCAUAAGGGUUGUGUUCUAAAUUGUUAGUAUAUUAUUUAGCACAUUGAAGAUGCAUGAGAAAGUUGCACACAUCUUUUACGGUCAGUUUUGCAAAUUUGUCUCUUUGAGGAUGUGAGGUAUCACCUAGAAGAAAGAGAGAAGUUUGGGAGAAAUUGCAGGUUGGGGUCAAGUUCCAAGAAGAGGAUUCAUUGGGAUACUUAGUUAGAAGUGGUGAGGAGCCAUUAGAAGAUAGGUCAAAUAGAAGUCUUGGUGAAGAAGUGUUUUGUAAAACAUGUCAUUUCUUCUAGUGAAGCAAAUCCUCAAAGAUGAGAAGGGGGAUCUAGAUGUAGAUUACACUUGGAGUAGAAAUCAAACCAGGAUAAAUCCCAUGUUUCAUCUUCUCUCGUAUCCUAGUUUUUUACUCACUUGUAAUUAUCACAUUUUCACAUUAUUUGAAAGUAUUCAUUUUGUGAAUAUUGCAUAAUUGAAUCUGCUUUAUAAAUCAAUUUCUGUAGUCAUUUUAAGAGCAUACUAGAUUAGUAUGAUCACUACUUUCUUGUUGCGUCAAGAACCAAAAGAUUUUCAAGAAAACAAUUUGAUUAAAUGAUUAAGUCUGUAUAUAAUUGAUUAAGUUUUUCUCUACUUUAAUUGAUUAACUCUUCAAUUAUUCGAUUAAAACUAGUAAUUUUUUAGAUUAUCUUUUGCAAUUUGAAUCGAAUUUAAUUGUAGUUUGAACCACCUAUUCACCCCUAUAGGUGAAGAUAGGGCCUUUGUUAAACCAAUAGAAAUGACUUUUGAAUGUGAUAAUCUAAGAUCUUACUCCAACUUAGUUUAGAAUCUUUUUUAUUGAUACGACUUGGUCAUGACAAGCAAUUUCAAUGUUGGCCCAUUUUGGGUUGCUUAUAACUUUUUCCUUUUGUACGAUCAACAUAAUUGUCUUUUUUAUAUUCAUUUGAAAAAUGGGACCAACCCUAAAAUUGUCCUAGGAUAACUUUUUUUAAAUACUAAAAAACAAUAAUUAUGCAAACUUGGAAACGUUUGGGCUAUGAGUGUUGAUAGGAUGAUCAUAAGAGGAUGAAAUUUAGUCCUAUGCAUUAGAGAUAAUAUAUUUUCAUCAAAAUUUUAUGAUAUUUAAAGUAGUCAAUGUUUCUCUGUCAGGGUAUGUACCUUGGGAAAAUCAAUCCUCAACAAUAUCUUUUUAAUCUUUUAUCAUGGUCUGAUUAAAGGUUUCCAAGAAAAAGAUAUAAGGCUCCAACAUAUUGUUUCCCAUGCUCUUUUUCUCAUUUCUUCUAUUAUCAACAUUCAAUUGCUAAGUCUUUUUUUAACAUGGUCUAGGAUGGAAUGGGUGAUGAUCUAAGAUCAUGGUGAUAAUAUUCACAUGGGGAAGGUAUUUGCAUUACGUUUACCCCUACUAAGAGAUACCUUCAUUAAUAAGAUGGAUAUACCUUAGACAUUCUUAAAUAUUUAUUUAUUUUUAUUAUUUAAUUAUUAUUUUUUAAAGGAGAAAAUUUGUAUAAUUUCUAAUUUCAUGUUUGACAAGACUGUCUUGCCCCUAUGUAUUUCCAUGUGUUGUAGGAAAUUAAGACUUAGAUAGUUCUUGGGAAAACAAUGUUGUGAUAGUAUGGUUAUUUUUAUUAUUUAAAGAUUAAGAGUGGACAAACAAUGUCAUUUGUAGUCUAUCAUCAUUGUCAAAGAGAGAAGGAAGUAGCAUCCCAAUGUCUGCUACCACAUCUUAAUUCAUGAAAAUAGAAAGCAUGGUAUUGGUUAUGUCCACUCUUCAAAUAUUUAAAUAUUUUUAUUAAAUUAUUAGGAUUAAAAAAAUUCUAACAUUUGUUAUCAACCGUCUUUCCCGCUACAAAGAGGGAAGUAAUAACCUUAUCUUUGUUAUCAUGCCUCCACUUGAAGGGGCGGAAGAUAUGAUUUUAACAGCUAUCAUUCUUUCAAUCCUUAUUACAUCUUUCAUUGUUUAACAAUUUUAAAUUGCUUAAUUUAUUAAUCAUUAUAAAAUAUUAUAUUAGAUAUUAUUAUUUAUUAAUUAAAAAGUAAAUUUUAAUUAAUUAAUAUUAUAAUACAAAAUGAUUAAAUAGGAAAGAAACGAAAAUAAAAAAGGAAAAAAACAAAAUGCGACACAAACACAUGGCACAACCUGAAUGGUCAAGAAUUUGUGACAGAGAACGCACAAAAUGAGAGGUACACGAAAGUGACACACACAGAUCCUGAGGCUACAUAAUGACCUUAGAUUUGCUAAUGAUAAGCCAAUGAUAUAGAAUAUGAUAAGGGGAAGAAAGUUAACUAGCAAAGAAAAUGAGUAUUGAUUUUAGGAUUUUUUGGUGUAUUCUAGUUUGUGUUUUCUACUAUCUCUAAAUUUCAGCCUAAGGGUCUACCUUUUAUUUUUUAAAACAAAGGUGUCAAUACACCCGGAAAUAUAUUAAGAAGAUAGUAACCAUUACAAACCCCUAAAUCUAUAGUUAGGAAGUAGCAACAAAUUUCUAUGAAAAUCAUGCAACAAGAAGGAAGGAGGGGACUCCCACCAAUAGUCCAAUCUAUAAUUCACACCAAAAUUCGCCAAUCUAUUCGCACAAGCAUUCCCUUCCUUAAAAAUAUGGGACACUUGCACUUGCAUAUCCAUCAUUAACCGGUUACACUUGUUCAUAAGGUUGGUUAACUUCCAAGGCACCGGUUUAGUGCCCUUGAAUAUGUCCACCACCGCAGUUGAGUCACACUCUAACCAAACAAAAAACCAACCUUUAGAGUGAGCCAUUUGAAUAGCCAAAAUUGCAGCUAGAACUUCAGCAAAAAGAGAGUCUUGAAUGUUAAAGUAUGAAGCAAAGAAACCCAAGCACUUUCCCUUGCCAUCCUUGAAAAUAACACCACCCCCUGCACGCCCCGGGGAUCCCUUAGCUGCACCAUCGGUGUUGAUCUUCACCCAACCAUCAAGGGCAUAGCCCAAUUGACCUCAGUAAUUGAAGGAGCCCUGUUGUACUUGCCAUUCACGUGGAAAGCUCUUAGGAUUGAGAAUUCCAGCAAGGAGGACUUAGCACAACAUUUGGUGAAGUUGCCUGUGAAAGAAGUAUUCAACUUGAUCAUUUGAAUUGCUUUGGCAAAGCUGAUUGAAAUGUUAUCAAAUCUUGACUUAUUUCUGCAGAGCCAGACAACAGCAAUUGAGUUCACAAUGGCAGAGAGUAACACCUGCUUCAAUUGAGGACUCCAUUGAGGAGAAAUGAACAAGAUGCUCUUGAGAGAAGCAUGAUCAAUGCAGUAGCCGAAUUGAGUACUUAGCCAGGUCCAAAUCAGCUUAGCAAAACCACAGUUGAAGAAGAGAUGAGCAGAAGACUCCUCAUUGGAACCACACAAAUUACACAUAGAAGGCAAAACCAUUCCCCUCAGCUUCAAAUUUUCAUCAGUUGGCAUUCUGUUUUUAUAGAGCCUCGAAGUAACAAAAGACCUGGAAGGAGGAAUAGAGAUGGACCACGGACUGCUGCACAUGUUGUCUUGUUGUUGAGCAGUUUUGGUGAAUUUCUAGGCUUCUUUUGAAGUUAGAAUCCCAUCAUUGGUGUGCAGCCAGACCAACUUAUCAGGCAGGUGAGAAGCAGGAAUAGGGGUUCUCAAUAUACGAUGACAAACCUCAGGAUGGAUCUUAGUCAACCAAGAUGGAAUUAUCCAGGCAGAGUCUUGAAUGAAGUCAGGAAUCUUCCCUAAGGGUCUGCCUAUAGUUGAAAAUAUGAUCUUUUAUAUAAGGAAUAUUUUCGUGAAUAUGUUAUAUUUUAAAAUGGUGAUAGAAUUUGAUAUAUUUUAAAAUAGUGAUAGCAUUUGAUAUAUUUUAAAAUGGUGAUGGGAUUUGAAUAUUUAUUUUCUCUUUCUUGCUCUAGUAUGUAAAUUAAUGCGGGCAAAAUUAUGUAUUCACCAUCACUAUGCCCAAAAUAAUAGCACAAGAGGCCUCACAUAGGGCUAUAUUACUAUUAAGCAAUUAAACUACUUGAUCUAUAACAAAUAUAGCAUAUAGGCAUAUAAUACAACUACCAUUUUAUCCCAAUCACUCACAAUGGUACUACAACAUUAAACUCAAGUAAUAUUUUUUGUAUUUUCAUUAUAAUAAUAUAUUAUAUUACAAACACCAUAAAAAAAUGCUCACAUGACUUGUUCAGUCGGCUGACUCGAGCUUUGCCCUAGUGAAGUCAAUAAGGAAAGUGCUCACAUGAAAAACAUACAAUUUUAAUCAAUUUACUCAUUUUGUUCAACAUGUUUGCCUGUAAAAAACAAAAGCAUUCCUUCAGCAUUGCCGACGGCCCAUAGGCCACAUAUCCUAUAGUAUUUUUUUGACAAAUCAUAUAAUUUUAGUCCAUUUCUCCAUUUUGCCCAACUCAUUUUCCUAUCAAGUUUUAGUAUUAAAAAAUAGAAUUCAAAUAAAUUACUAUAUCAUGAUAUUUAAUGCCUCAAAAAGUUUGCAACUUCAUGUAAUUUAUUAAACUUCACAUAACAUAUGAAGUUCUUUUUUGGUUUUCUCUCUUCAACUUCUUUAUAUAAUUCCUUGUCAUAAUAUCAUGUAUUUUUUAUUUUUUAAUUAUUUAACAAUGCUUGUGAGUGCCCGUUUUAAAAAUGGAAUGACAUGAGAAUUUCUCCAAAAAUAGUAAUCUAGCACGCCCAUGUCCGCUUUUCAUUUGCAUGCAUUUUUAGGGCGAUGGCUAACAAUGUCGAAUCCCAUUAUGCCAACACUACGUGGCACAUAUGGUGUAAAACAUUUUUGUUAAAUCAUUAUUUAUUUUAAUUAAAUUUUGAACUAAAGCUUCUCGAAGUUGUCCAUGCCAACUCUUCCUUACAUAUUUGACACAUAUUUCUGAACGUUCGACACACAAACAUAUGACAUGCACGCUCUAUUGUGUGCUUUUUGUGUGGUCUAUACUAGUUGUUUAAAUUUCCAACUCUAUAGACAAAGGCUUUUAGCCUUUUUGAAAAUCACACCACUUGACAUGCACUGUACUCCUCAACAUUUCAUUUCUCUUUUUGUUGACACAUGUCCUACUAUCUUCUCUCUUUUUUUCUUUGUGGUACUUAUCAUCUUUGAGUGGCAUUAACCAUAUAUGUGGAUGUAUUCCUAGAACACUUGCCACAGUAUAAUGGUUCUCUGCUACAAUGAUUUAGAUUGUUUUAUUUUGGGGAUGUUGUGGUUUAUAUUAUGCUCUAACCCUGCAAUAUUUUUAGUGACAUGAUGUUCUUUUUUAAAACCUAGCAACAACAAUUUCAAUAUGAUUCCUUCUUUGUGUUCAUCCAAGAGAUAACUCGUUAUGUUUCUGUUUUAUGUUUCUGUUGGGCUUGACAUCAACAAACCUUUUCAGUUUGAGGAGUAUAAUUUCAAAAUAUAACAAGAAAAAUGGUGCUCUUUCAAACUAUGACGAAAGAUAAAAUGGCUAAAGAAUUAAAGCCUCUGGAAUGAGAAUGGUCUUACACAUUCAACAUAUUUAAUGGUUAGAAAGGAUACCCAAAUUGCAUUGAUUAGAAAUGAGAGACUACUUUCAAAAGAACUAACUUAUGAUACCGGGCAUAAUCUGGAUGGUUUAUCAUGCUAAUACAAGUAAAACUUAAUGUCCUUACCAAGCAAAGAAAGAGCAUCACUUGUGAUAGAGUAUAUUAAAUAUUAUUGUUUAUUUUUUAAAAAUGAAAGUUUUAAUUAAUUAUUAUGAUACAAAAUAAUUAAAAAAUAAAGAAAUUAAAAUUAAAAGGGAAAACAUGAAUUUGGCCCCAGACAUGUUUCACAACCAGAAAGGGUUUGGAAUGAUGGCUUGUGGCACAAAAAAACAGGAACACAUAAGUGACACAUAGAUCCUCUGACUACAUGAUGACCCCAGAUUUCCUAAUGAUAAACCAAUGACACGAAAAAUGAUGAGGGGAGAAUGUUGGCUGCAAGAAAAUGAGAACUGAUUUUAGGACGUUUAUGUGUGUUCUAGUGUGUAUUUUCUGCUACCUCUAAAUUGGAGACAAUAGAUCAAUCAAUAGUUGAAAAUAUAGGUUUUGGGAUAAGGAAUAUUUCAUUGAUAUGUUAUACUUUAAAAUGAUUAGAAUUUGGUAUAUUUUAAAGAAGCUGGUCAGAUUUAAUAUAUUUUAAAAUGUGUAUUGAAUAUUUAUUUUUUAUCUCUCUUGCUCUAGUCUAUAACUUUAUAAUAAAAAAUGUCAUUGUCAUGCUAUCAUAGACACAUGUCACCCUCUCAUUUACUUUUUUCCUCCAAAGGAGUUUCAUAUUCCUAUAAGGAACUCUCACAAAUUAUUUUCAUCUUCUACUAUCUAUUUAUGAAUCAAUGUAUGAAUUGAAAGGGAUGUUAAAAAGACUAAACUAGAUACCAUAUAUUUGUGAGAACUGUCCAAAGAAGGGAUGUCACACAAUAAUAUGUAUGUUUGAAUUAAUAAAAACUAAAAAGGAUGAUCUGAAAUGUAAGGAAUAUAAUAAUAAUUAAAAAAUUCAAAUUCGAAAUUGAAGUUUUUCGUAACUUUUAAAUAUUUUUUAAUAAAAAAGACUCAUAUAGUAUCACGAUUUGAUUUCUCUAUUUUAAUUAAAAAAUCAAAUUCAAAAUUGAAAAAUCAUUAUUUUCUACAACUUUUAAAAAUAUUUAUUUUUAAAAAAAAUCACAUAGUAGCAUGUUUCGGUUUCCUAUUUUCAUUAGAAAAUUCAAAUUUGAAAUAGACUUUUAUUUUUCUUAUUGCUUAAUAGGCAAACACAUGGGUAAUAUAUGUGUUGUUAACAUCUGAAUGAACGAGUAACAUGUGUGUUUUAACUAUCCGAAUGCACAAGUAAUAUGUGUAUUCUUAACAAUGUGAAUGUAUGGGUAACAUGUUUUUUUUAACUAUAAGAAUCCACGAGUCACAUGUGUGUUCUUAACAAUACGAAUGCACAUGUAACAUGUGCGUUUUUAAACAUGUGAAUGCACGACUAGCAUGUGCAUUCUUAACCAUAUGAAUGUAAAUGUAAAAUGUGUGUUAUUAAUCAUGAUGCAAAAAAAUACCAGCCCGUGCAAAUGCACGGCUAACUUGCUAUUAUGUAAAUUAAGUCGAACAAAGUUAGGCGUUCACAACUAUUAUGCACAAAAUAUCAUUUUUAAUAAGUAUCAAUUUAUCACAACUACUCACAAACGUUCAAAUAUCAUUAUUUAACAAUUUUUCAUAACGAUAUAUCAUAAGCGAGUGUUUCACAUUGUGGUAACCAUAAAUAAAUUUAUGACCAUACUACACCAGAAUAGCAAAAGAAAAACACUUAAAAUUGUCAUUUUUAAUAUUGCUUAUUAGGCGUUGUUUAUGUGAGUGUAGUAGAAUAUAGAAUUAUAUUCAACAACACUUUUGAAGUGUUGUAGAAAAUAAAUUAAACAUUUAACCACGUUUGCUGAAGCAAACACUGUUAAAUGUCUACUUUUAAAUAAAGCAAAAUCUCUCUCAGAAAUUAUAUCAAACAUGUAAUAAGCAUACCCAAUUCCACCACAUUUACCAAAGAUUUGACAAUAUAAACAUCAUUCUGAAAACUUGAUUCAUAAAUCAUUGCACGAACUGAUCUUCUUUAGUUCAAAUCCAUUAACCAUAAGAUUAUAUGUAGGAAUGACAGGGACGAAGGUGAUGAAGAUGUAAAGGAUAAAUCUAUGAAUUUCUUCUCUCCAAUAACGGGAGAAAUAAGAAGACAAAAAGAUGUAGUUUAGAUUCAACAUAAUAAUAAUCAAAUUAAAAUUUACAUAGAAAAUAUGGAUGAAAAAUGAUAGUCAAAUGCAAGAAAUUCAUACAUAUAUUGCAAGUUUGGUAAAUCAUCAACACCUCCACCUAGCUUCAGCCUUGGCAUUUCCUAUAUUAUAAAAUAAGCAAUUAACGUAGAUGUAAAUGCAAGCAAAAACAGUGAAUCAUAGAAAAAUAAAUAAGGUAAAAUAAGAUACAUUGUACUCGAAAAUAGAAACCAAAAGCUAAUAACUUGCUUGAAGAGAGAAACUAAGAGAAGAAGAAGAGUAAGAGAAAUAGAGUACUGAAUAAUAAGGAUAUUAUUGUGUGUGAGAUUUUGUUUUUAAAUCUGCAAAGAUUCGCGCUCACUAAAACAAGUGAUUUUUUAAUAUAUGAAUUUUAACGGGACUUAUUGUAAUGAACAUUGUUGAUUAUUUAAGCAAUCCUUGUUAAAUAGAUUCAAAUCAACAACGAUUGCAUAAAAAAUACCGUUAAAUAUCAAAAAAAUUUAAAUUAUUUAGUUGUCAUAUUAUGUUCAACUUUUGAUAAUAGAAUGACAAAUAACAUAAUUUAGUAAUCAAAUAUGAGUUUUUGUUGUGUCAAAUCACAUACCUUAAUAUUCAAUUUUAAUAAUAUUUGUUGGUGAUUUAUAAUAUUUUUUGAAGUAAUAAAUAAUUGCAUUUUUCAUAUAUGUAUGACCAAGUUGUGUUAUAUAUAAAAACUAGCAUAUGAGUUUUUAUUAACAAUUUGAAUUACUUUCCUAUAAUGUUUACUCCAAUUAUAUCUUUCAAAAUAAAAUUAAAUAAUUUCAUAACUCCACGUUAAGUAAUAUCUAAAACAAGCAUUUUUUGAACAUAUGACUGUUAACAAUAUUCAUUAAAGCAAACAUUGUUAAAUGUGUGACUUUUAACAAUACUUAUUGUAAUGAGUGGUGUUGAGUUGUCACUUUUAACAACGAUUAUUUAAGCAAAUGUUAUUAAAUAGAUUUAAAUUAACAAUGUUUGCUUAAAAAAAUAUUGUUGAAUAUCAUAGGCAAACAUACAACAACACUUCUUGAAGAAAGCAAUGUUAAAGUUAUAUCCAUCUAUCAAAUUUAACAACUUUUAUUUAAAAGAUCAUUGUUAAUGAUCUUCUGUAUUGUAUUUACAAGCAUUGUGCUAGAAAGCAAUGUUAAAGGAGUGUUGUUAAUUAUCCUCCAACAUACAAAAUAUAUAAGACUCAUACAUCGUCACAAGAACAAUUAUGAAAUCUUACAUAGAAUGUUGGAGAAAUUCCUUCUCCAUCCGAAAUCCAUAGAGUGAAUGCGGAAGUCCUUAUGACCAUGGCUUUGUUCCCACAACCUAAUGUGUAUGCCCAUACAUACACCCGAAUGGAACAUCCAUGGUCCAGACCGAAGAAACCCCAAAUGAGUUCAUGGUGAAGAUGAAGAACAUACCUUGUUGAGCCAUUUCCGGAAUCUCGAAGGUAUGAGGGUGAGAUGAUCUUCCAGAUGAUAGAGCGCCUUACGGUUUUCCUUUAGUUCUCUCUAGAGGGGAAUGAGAGAAUGCCUUAGUUUCUGAAAAAGGUUCCUUNNNNNNNNNNNNNNNNNNNNNNNNNNNNNNNNNNNNNNNNNNNNNNNNNNNNNNNNNNNNNNNNNNNNNNNNNNNNNNNNNNNNNNNNNNNNNNNNNNNNGUUCCUUAGGGAGAGAAUGCCUUAGCCUCUGAAAAAGGUUCCUUAGGGAGAGAAUGCCUUAGCCUCUGAAAAAGGUUCCUUAGGGAGAGAAUGCCUUAGCCUCUUUUGGUUAUGAGGAGAAACCUCAUCCUUAUACCUAAUGAGCCUUAUGGAUGGGUGGAUAGUGUUAUCCUAUCCUGGAUAACACUAUUCUCAUCCUACCUUAUUCUCCUUAACCUUAACACCUGAAAACCUGUUGCUCUACAAAUGGGGACCAUAACCCAUAAAAGUAACCCCGUAGUGGUUACUACUUUAGUUGCAAUAAUUCUGAUUCAGUCCCUUCAUCAAAUCAGAAAUUGCCCGAAGGUAUCUACACUUAUUAUUAUUUCAUGACACAUAUGCCCUUUAGCCACCAAAUUAAUUACUUAAGAUCAUUUUAUAUUUUGGCUAAUUACAUAAUGGCCAUAACACAAUUAUAGAAUUAUAUUUGUGACCCAUAAAUUGUCAGAAAUUCCAACAUAGAAAACAUUGGAGCACUUUAAUGAAAAAAAUCUAAGAUCAUGUUAGUAUUCUCCUUUUCUCUCAUCACUUCAAUAUUGUCAACCAAUCUGGAGGAUCACUACUUACAUCUACUUGACCCAUGCGUCAUUAAUUCAUCAAACAAGAAAAACAAAAAUCUAUUCAAACAAACCUACUUUAACAAAGCACAUAAGGACAUAUAAUAAAAUCAUACUAUUAUGAAAAUUAGUUUCAGUCUUUGAAACUAAAUAUCAAUUUUAAAAUAUUAAUAAUUUAACCUUUGUAUUUUAUCAAUGUCAUAGAAAUGGAAACAGAUAAUAAAAUUGAUAUAUAAUGUAAAAUGAAGUACUUUUUAAUAUUUUAUUUCGCACAUUUUAUAAUAAUAUUUUUUAGUCUAAAGAUUAUAAUAUUUAUAUUAUGUCAAAAACACACCACAAAGUAUGCCAUUAAUGCAAUGGUACUACAAUUUUAGACGCAAGUAAUAUUUUAUGUAUUUUGUUUAGAUAAUAAAUUUUAUUUUAUAAACACCAUAAGAAUAUUUAAAUAUUCUCACAUACUUAAAAAAUAAAAAAUAUAAUAUCUAUGUAUUCUGACAGUAAAGAUUUGUACACAAUCAAUAAAUUAUCUACCAUGUUUAUAUUAUUUAUAUCUAAUGGUUAAUAUUCAAUAAAUAUGAAGGGGUGAUACAAUAACACCAUAAAAAACUCUUAUACUAAUCAUGUAUGCAUGUUUUUUUCUAGUGACAGUAAUUACUCUUUUAAAAAUAAUGAUAUCUCACAAGUAUAUAAAGGUGGUAGAGGCCUAAGAAUUGAGACAUCUAUUUAACAUUAGAGAUUUGAUCAAGUGUGAAUAGUUUGAUGAGUAUGAGGAUGUCUCUUGUUAAAUUUGCUUUCUUUUUUGUGUUUAUUAUUGCAGCAGGUUAGAAUUUCUUUUUCUUCAAAUUUCCACACUGUGUUUUAUACCUUCAAAUUUUCAUGGAUUAUAUUAUAUUUUUUAUAUAUUGUUUUUAUGUUCAUGUAUUAUUUGUGUGAACACAGAUAUAUCGAAAGAAUCAGAUGCAUUUUGCGUUAUCCAUUUUCCUUGUAACACAGACGCAGACUGUGUAAAACUUUGUGGUGCCGGUUGGAAAUGUGUUGGUAAAUCCUGUGAACAUCUCAACCAUUCGAAAAAACCUCAAAUCAAGCAUCAAAAGAUUAAGAACACACCUCAACUUAUUAUGUAAUAAAAAUGUGCGCAUUAGUAAUACAAAAUUAAUAAAGAAUAUCUUAUUAUGAAAUAUUAUACAUAUUCUUAUUAAAAUUCUGUAUAUAUAUUUAUGUUUUGUUGUUAAAUAAGUCUCACAUUGCAUAUCUCAUUGUCUCGGGAAUGCUUUAAAUAUUUAUUGGGCUACUUCGCACAUUGCCAAUUGGUUUUGAGAUGUGGUAUCAGAGUCACAGCUCAACUUCUUUCCGAUUUUUAUGGACCAAGAGAUUUCCUUUAGUUACAUGUCAAAAAUAAUCAUUCGUCUCGUCAUGCAGACUUAUAUAAAGAUGACAUGUUGGGAAGUAAGUUUAAGAUGUUAUAACAUUUUCCAUUAUCUCUCUUCUUUGAUAAAUAAAAAGUUGACUAUAGAGAUAAGUAAUGUAUUCCAUCGCUCAAGUGUUAUUCUCAAAAGAUAGUCAAUGUGUUGUUUUCCUUACACAAAAAUAUUUAUUCUCAUUGACAAUGUCAAACAUGGAUAUGUAAGGUUAACCUCUGAGAUAUUAAAUUAAUUUUAUAGAAAGGUCGGCAAGAGUAUCACUACAAUAAAUUUCAAUAAAGGAUAUAUGUGAUGGAAACGAAUAAAUUGAGAACAAAGAACAAACUUGAAAGGUCAGAAUCGUGAUAUAAGUGCAUCAAAAUUAUCACAAAUUCUUGUGAAUACUUCAAAUUAAUCAUGUCUAUUAUACUCAUAGUUGAUAAAGAUAGACACGAAGAUAGACACGAAAUACAAUAACAAGUCUACUUGUAGUAAGAUAAAGAAGGGAACUAAUCAUACCUUGAUACUUAGAAAUGUUGACGCAUUUUCCAGUCUCAUCAACAUCAAUGUAUAUUCCAGAAUUCAUAGGAGUGGCGAUAAGUUUGUAGUCAUCUGUUUCAAAAUGUUUCAAUAGAUCCAUGUAAUAUUUAGACUAACAGAAAACGAUGUCAUCCUUGAGUUGUUUGAUUUGUUGUCAAAGAAAGUAGUUCAACUUUUCCAUCAUGGAUAUCUCAAAAUCUCAUUGCAUCAUCUUACCAAAUUCCUUACACAAAAGAUCAUUAGUAGAACCGAAAAUAAUAUCAUCACCAUAAAUUUGAACAAGCAAAGUAUGAUUGUUUAUUUUCUUAAUGAAUAAUGUAGUGUCGAUCUUUCCUUUAGUGAAACCUUUAUCAGUUAAAAAUUUUGUUAGUCGAUCGUACCAUGCACGUGGAGCUUGCUUUAAUUCAUAGAGGGCUUUCUUAAGCUUAUAUACAUGAGUGGGAUGCUUGCAGUCUUCAAACUCAGGGGGUUGUUCGACAUACACCUUUUCUUAUAUAUAACCAUUCAGAAAUGCACUAUUUACAUCUAUUUGAUAUAACUGGAAAUUCAAAGAACAUGAAUAUGCAAGCAAUAGCCUAAUAGCUUCAAGUCUAGAAACAUGAGUGAAGGUUUCAUCAAAGUCAAUACCUUAUUCAUGGUUGUAUCCUUGUGCUACAAGUCUUUUUUUAUUUCGUAUAAUAAUGUCAUUUUCAUCUGAUUUAUUCUGAAAGACCCAACAAGUUCAUAUAACAUGUCUUUCUUUAGGUCUAGGAACAAGUUCCCAAAUUAUGUUUCUCUCGAACUAAUUAAGCUCUUCUUGCAUAGCAAGAAUCCAGUGUUCAUCCUCAAUUGUAUCAUCAAUCUUGGAUGGUUUCACUUAAGAAACAAAAGUCAUGUUUAGACAGACAUCAUUCAAUUUCAUGCGAGUAGAGACUCCCUUACUUAUGUCACCAAUGAUGUUGUCAAUAGGAUCAUAUUGAUGGAUUAUCCAUUCUUUUGGUAAAUCAGAGUUAAUAUGCUCUUCUUGUGAAGGUAUAUUGUCAUAUAUUUUCAUAUGCUCUGUAUUGGAUGUACAUCAUUAGUGGAUUCUUCCAAGGAUGGACUAGGAAAGUCAUCAUCAUCAAUCAUGGAUUUUUCUUCCAAGGUUGGUCCAAGGUUGGAUUAGUUUCAUCAAAAUUCACAUGAAUAAAUUCUUCCAUAGCCACAGUUCUCUUAUUGAAAACUCGAAAAGCUUUGCUAGUAAGAGAGUAGCCAAGGAAAAUUCUUUCAUCGACUUUUGUAUCAAACUUUCCUAAGUUUUCCUUUUCAUUAUUUUGGCACAUAACAUUUGCAGCCAAACAUAUACAAGUGAGAAAUAUUUGCUUUCUACCUUUAAAGAGUUAAUAGGGGUUUUCUUUAGAAUUGGUCUUAUUAGGACUCGGUUGGAAACGUAGCAUGCCGUACUAACUACAUCUGCCCAAAAAUAUUUUGGUAGAUUAGUUUCAUUCAACAUUAUACGUGUCACUUCCUCCAACGAUCUAUUUUGUCUCUCUACAACACCAUUUUAUUGUGGUGUUCUAGGAGCUGAGAAAUUGUGAGUGAUAUCAUUAUCAUGACAAAAUUCCUGAAAAUAAGCAUUUUGGAAUUCUCUUUCAUGAUCACUUCGUAUAGCAGCUAUUUUCAAGGAUUUUUAUUUUGUACUCUCAUAGCAUAUUUGCUAAAGGCAUUCAAUGUCUCAUUCUUGAGUACCAAGAAUAGAGUCCAAGUAUAUCUUCAAAAGUCAUCACUAUCACAAGAGCAUAAUAGUUACCAAUGAAACUUUUGGUUUGAGAAGGGCCAAGUAAGUCAAUAUGUAUUAACUGCAAUAGUCUAUCAGAAGAAACCAUAUUGUUUGGUUUGAAAGAAGGCUUUAUUUGUUUACACUUUUGACAAGCACUACAUAGUUUAUCUUUUACUAACUUCAUUUUAGGUAAACUAACAACCAGAUCUUGCUUUAUCAAUUUAUUCAAAUGAUCCAUAUGAAUAUGAGUAACUUAGAUCCAUUUGAUCUAAAUGUCGUUACUUCACGUAACAACAAUUAAAUCGAAUACCAUUCAAACAAAUCUACUUUAACAAAACACAUAAUGACAUAAAAUAAAAUCUCACUAUCAUGAAAAUUCAUUUCAAUCUUUUAAAAUAAAUAUGAAAUUUAAAAAAUAAAUAAUAAUUUAACCCUUGUGUUUCAUCAAUGUCAUAGGAAUGAAAAGAGAUAACCAUGGUGAUAUAAAAUCUAAAAUUGAGUAUUUUUUUCGUCUUAUAUUUUGUAAUAAUAAUUUUUAGUCUAGUCGUAAUAAAUUAAUAAUAUUUAUAUUUUUUCAAGUAGGCCAUUAAUGCAAUGGUAUACAACAUUAACCGCAAGUAAUAUUUUAUAGAUUUUCCGUAGAUGGUAAUAUUUUAUAUUAUAAACACCACUGUAAUAUUUAAAUAUUCUCAAUUACAUAAUGUAACAUUCCAACUUUGACAUGUUACCUUUUCGGACCCAUGAAUUUAUUGAGUGCGUCAGCUAUUAAGUUUAAAUACCCCUACACUAAGGGAGCCUUCCUCAACUCGAACUUAUCACCUCAAGGAUGUAUAGUCAUUGAUUCCAUUGAGUCGCUACUGCAGGGAUGGCCAGAUGACCUUUGUCCUUUCUUGUACACAAAAUGAGAAGGCCAUGAAAGACUCUUCUCUUGUUAUAUUUGCCCUCUCCUUCCUUCCAUUCAUGUCAGAUUUGGUGGGUUGUCGGAGCACCUAUUGAUCAAUCGUCGAGAGUCUGUCCAUUAGGGACCUCUAGAGGCAGCGUCACACCUACAGGGCUCAGGGAGCUCGUGAGUCAUUGAUCCAUAUCCCUAUGGUGCAAAUAUCAUAUUUGAAUGGGGCAGCUAAUAGUCGUUUUAGCACUUUUCUAUGUAGUUUUUUAUUUUUUGUAUUACUUUUUUAGAGUUUAUGAUUUUUAUUUGUGGCUGAUACUAUAUACAUCCCCUUACAUGGGCUCUAAACUCGGGGAGGCAAUAAAACCGACACUAAAACACUAAAAUUAAUAAAUUAAAAAAAACGUACCUCCAUCGUGGGUUGCCUCCCACAAAGCGCUCAUUUAACGUCAUUAGCUUGGAAGUUGGUCCUUGCAUAUCACGUAGGAUCCCAUGCACUCAUGCUCGAGGGUGGAGGGAGUGUUUUUACUUUCAUAUUAGGUGCUUUCCCUUUCUCCCAAUUAUCAUAUUUAUGUAUGGCCAUCAAGCUCUCCUCAUGUGGGUUGCAAGGGAGUGGUGAGCUUGCAUUUAUAGAUUCACUACUCUCGCCACUUCUUCAUCAAAAUUUGAAGUGUCACCUAACAUGCUUCUCUCUAAGAGAUCCUCAGAUUUCACUUUAGGCACAUCCUCAUUCACUACCUAGUUCAGCAUAUCAACCCUGCAAUAUGUGUCCUCAAAAGAAUAUCAUUUAAUAGAUUUAACAAUAUCAAAUUCAACAUUUUCAUCCCAUAUGCUUAGAUAAAGUUUUCCAUUUUUAACAUCAAUUAUAGCACCAGAGGUAGCCAACAAUGAUCUACCUAGUAUGAUUGGAAUUGGUGCAUCUUCUUCUAUCUGCAGUAUUACAAAAUCUGUUAGAACGUAAAAUUUCACAACUUUGAUAGGAACAUCUUCGAAGAUUCCUAUAGGGAAUUUCACUGACCUAUCCGCUAAUUGAAGUGAAAUAGUAUUGGGUUUUAGUUCACCCAUGUUCAAUUUUUUAGACGCAGAUAAAGGCAUGAGGCUCACACUUGCUCCCAAGUCACAUAAAGCACGAUCAAAAUUAGUGUUAUAAAUUAAGCAUGUGAUAUAGAAACUACCAGGAUCUUUUAGUUGGGGAGGCAAUUUAUUUUGAAUUAAAGCACUGUACUCCUCAGUUAGAGCAAUUAUUUCAUAAUUCUCUAGUAUUCUCUUCUUAUAUAAAAUAUCCUUAAGAAAUUUCAUGUAUGCAGGCAUCUCCUACAGUACUUUAGUAAAUGGAAAAUUGAUAUCUAAUUUCUUAAGGAUAUCUAAGAAUUUCCCAUAUUUCUUUUCUAAUUUUUCAUUCAUAAAUCUCUGGGGAAAAGGAUUUGGUCGUACAUAUGGUGGUGGAACUACAUACUUAGACACCUUUUCAAAAUUUUGUUCCCCUUUAGGGAGUUGUGUUUCAUUAUGUUUCUCUUCCACUUGUGUAUCAUUCCCAGUUCGAAGAAUAUCCUUGAGUUCCUUCCCACACCUUAAUCGGAUAGCCUUAUAAUGUUCAUUAUUUGGAAUUUUCUCUGGUUGUCCUGGAAAAUCCAUAUUUGCCUAUUAAAGUUUCUAGCUUGUUGGGCAAUUUGUGUUUCUAAAGUAUUUUUUGAGAAAAGCCUUAAAGAACUGAUCAAUAUGGAUAUUAGGAUCUUCAUGAGCCAUUGUUUGUAUAUGUGCAUGUCUUUCUCUCGCUCUUUCUAUUUGUUUCCUUCUUCUUCUACAGAAAGUCCUUUCUAGAUCCGACUAAUAAUUUGAACUUUGCAUAAACCAAAUGGGCAACCUGUAGAGGUGCCUAGAAAAAAGAAAACACGUAAUACACUAGAGUAAAGUAAUGAAUUAAUUGAUUAAUUAAGAAAUUUUGACAUAGUCCCCGAUAAUUGCGCCAAAAAAUUGAUAGGGCAAAUCGCAAGUUCACGAUUAUAUCGUUAAUUAAUAAAAUAUUGAUCCCACGACGACUGGAAUAUUCCUUUAAUUAUAACAAUUAAUUUAUACUUAACUCAAAUAAGGAAUAAAAUUGAAUUUAGGACAAUUGACAAGAAUAAUUAUGAAAAUAUUAAAAAGGAUUAAAAUCGAAUUUGGGAAUAGUUCCCAGGAUAAGGGUUACCACCUUUACACUAACAAAUCCUUGUUUUGCUCAUUUUCAUGAACUUUAAGUAAUGAGGGUGAAUUACUCUUUGAUAUGUGUCAUCCUCUCUGAGCUCUAACACGUGUUCUCAAUUGAAGUCGCAUGUACUCUCAUGGUACGAUUAUCAAUUGAAUCAUUUAUUUGGAUCUUUCUAUCCAAUCGUUUUGUAGCAACCCAAUGUGAACUCGAGAAACCCCCGAGAAUCCUAAGACUACUCUCGUGAUUUAGGGUUCUAGUUUAAAUAACUGAAUGGUCAGAUAGUUGGGUUCACCUCCCGGUCCUUUCCCAAUAUAUCUAAUAGGUGGAAUUUGUUGGCCAGACAACUCUCACGAAUAAAACUCAGUCUAAUGAUUCAAAUCACAACAUUCAAUUAGAAAAGUUUUCCAUUUUUAACAUCAAUUAUAGCACCAGAGGUAGCCAACAAUGAUCUACCUAGUAUGAUUGGAAUUGGUGCAUCUUCUUCUAUCUGCAGUAUUACAAAAUCUGUUAGAACGUAAAAUUUCACAACUUUGAUAGGAACAUCUUCGAAGAUUCCUAUAGGGAAUUUCACUGACCUAUCCGCUAAUUGAAGUGAAAUAGUAUUGGGUUUUAGUUCACCCAUGUUCAAUUUUUUAGACGCAGAUAAAGGCAUGAGGCUCACACUUGCUCCCAAGUCACAUAAAGCACGAUCAAAAUUAGUGUUAUAAAUUAAGCAUGUGAUAUAGAAACUACCAGGAUCUUUUAGUUGGGGAGGCAAUUUAUUUUGAAUUAAAGCACUGUACUCCUCAGUUAGAGCAAUUAUUUCAUAAUUCUCUAGUAUUCUCUUCUUAUAUAAAAUAUCCUUAAGAAAUUUCAUGUAUGCAGGCAUCUCCUACAGUACUUUAGUAAAUGGAAAAUUGAUAUCUAAUUUCUUAAGGAUAUCUAAGAAUUUCCCAUAUUUCUUUUCUAAUUUUUCAUUCAUAAAUCUCUGGGGAAAAGGAUUUGGUCGUACAUAUGGUGGUGGAACUACAUACUUAGACACCUUUUCAAAAUUUUGUUCCCCUUUAGGGAGUUGUGUUUCAUUAUGUUUCUCUUCCACUUGUGUAUCAUUCCCAGUUCGAAGAAUAUCCUUGAGUUCCUUCCCACACCUUAAUCGGAUAGCCUUAUAAUGUUCAUUAUUUGGAAUUUUCUCUGGUUGUCCUGGAAAAUCCAUAUUUGCCUAUUAAAGUUUCUAGCUUGUUGGGCAAUUUGUGUUUCUAAAGUAUUUUUUGAGAAAAGCCUUAAAGAACUGAUCAAUAUGGAUAUUAGGAUCUUCAUGAGCCAUUGUUUGUAUAUGUGCAUGUCUUUCUCUCGCUCUUUCUAUUUGUUUCCUUCUUCUUCUACAGAAAGUCCUUUCUAGAUCCGACUAAUAAUUUGAACUUUGCAUAAACCAAAUGGGCAACCUGUAGAGGUGCCUAGAAAAAAGAAAACACGUAAUACACUAGAGUAAAGUAAUGAAUUAAUUGAUUAAUUAAGAAAUUUUGACAUAGUCCCCGAUAAUUGCGCCAAAAAAUUGAUAGGGCAAAUCGCAAGUUCACGAUUAUAUCGUUAAUUAAUAAAAUAUUGAUCCCACGACGACUGGAAUAUUCCUUUAAUUAUAACAAUUAAUUUAUACUUAACUCAAAUAAGGAAUAAAAUUGAAUUUAGGACAAUUGACAAGAAUAAUUAUGAAAAUAUUAAAAAGGAUUAAAAUCGAAUUUGGGAAUAGUUCCCAGGAUAAGGGUUACCACCUUUACACUAACAAAUCCUUGUUUUGCUCAUUUUCAUGAACUUUAAGUAAUGAGGGUGAAUUACUCUUUGAUAUGUGUCAUCCUCUCUGAGCUCUAACACGUGUUCUCAAUUGAAGUCGCAUGUACUCUCAUGGUACGAUUAUCAAUUGAAUCAUUUAUUUGGAUCUUUCUAUCCAAUCGUUUUGUAGCAACCCAAUGUGAACUCGAGAAACCCCCGAGAAUCCUAAGACUACUCUCGUGAUUUAGGGUUCUAGUUUAAAUAACUGAAUGGUCAGAUAGUUGGGUUCACCUCCCGGUCCUUUCCCAAUAUAUCUAAUAGGUGGAAUUUGUUGGCCAGACAACUCUCACGAAUAAAACUCAGUCUAAUGAUUCAAAUCACAACAUUCAAUUAGAGAAUUAAUCACUCAUGAUGGAGAAGAGAAUCCCAAAUUCUAAAUUAGAGAAUUGUAAUAUAAAGUGUAAAAGUGUUCAAUUCUUGAGGGAGAACCCUCGUUUAUCCUAAUUACAAAAUAUUGGGCUAAGCCCAACAAAACAAAUCUAAAAAAUAUGAAUAUAAUAUAACAUCCAUGAUUUAUUUUGGCCCUUCAAUUGGUCUUUGCAUAACUUGAACAUUGAAUUCUAUCUUCUUGCACCCAAUCUCUAGUCUUUUUGGCUUCAAUCCAUGCAAACUGCACAACAUAGCCAAAAAUACUCGCUCAACCCGAACAAAGAGAAAUAAAAGCUAAAAACAAUCCUAUAGUCUUAAUUAUGUCCUAAAAUUCAAAUUAAAUGUAAUACAAAUGUAGUUAAAUUUCAUACUCAUCAGUGGCCUACAAGCUUAGUGUUAAUAACAAAGCUAUAAUUCUAAAAAUUGUGAUAUGAUGUAAUUUAAUGCUUCAUACAAUUUGUGGUGGGAUGUGAUUUGUUCUACUUUACAUAACAUGUCAACUUGUUUUUUGUUUUCUCUUUUUCAACUUCUUAAUUUAAUUCAAUGUUAUAUAAUUUUUAGGAUUUAUAACUUAUUUAAUUAUUUGUUAAUGCUUCUAGCUCCCUAUUCUAAAAUGGGCAUGACAUGAGAAUUGUUCCAGAAUAGUAAACGAGCAUGCUUAUGUUUGAUUUUUAUUUGCAGGCAUUUUGUAGGUGUGGUUAAAUAGGUUGGGUGACCCAUUUGGCCAUCACUACUUGCUCUAGAAUGGUGUAAAACUUUUUUUUAAAUAGAAAUUUAUUUAAUUUAGUUUUUAAUUGAACAUUCUAGUAGUUGGUCCAUGUUAGCCCUCCCUUACAUGUCUGACAAACUUAUGAAACCUCGGCACAUACCAAUGUAUGACCCAUCCACUCUAAUAUCUACUUUACUUGUACUUUAUCUUGUCAUUAAUGUUUUAUAAUGUAUGAUCGAGGUUGUUCUUUUUGUGGUCAUAUCAUCAAACCUGUUGAGUUGAAACAUGAUAUUGAACAUAAGCGUGUUAUUCCCCACUCUCAAAGUGGAUAGGAAGGAUGAUCAUGAAUAAUAUUUUUCUCUUCAUCUUUAUCCUUAAAUCAAAUGUAAAAAUAUUUUUUUAAAUAAAUCUUAAUCUUUAUCUCUAAAAUAAUUUUGUGAUAAACACUAAAUAUUUUAAUGACAAUAAGAUGAAAAAUCAUUUUAAAUAAUGUGACAAUUUUUUUUAAUAAUGAUUUAGUACAUAUAACAAUAUAAAUUUAUUUAUUUUUAAAUAUAAAUAAACAGAAAUCAUAAUUAAUUAAAUAUAUAAUAUAAAAAAUGUAAUAAGGAUUAAAAUAAUGAAAGUGACUGAGAUCAUAUCUUUCACUCCUUAAAGUCGAGACAAAGUAGUGAAUAUCAUGGCAAGCACUAGAACUUCAUAAACAAAUCUCUGGUACAUCAUGGAAAAUGUGAUAAUUGACUCAACAAAUCCUUAGUCCAUCAUGGCAAUGGUGGAAACUUCCUCAACAAAUCAUUGGUUCAUCAUGGCAAGCGCAAGAACUGCCCCAAAAACUACUUGGUUGCAUCAUAGCAAGUGCAGAAACUGCUUCAACAAAUCCCUUGUUCAUCAUUGCAAGUACGGGAACUACUUCAACAAAUCUCUGGUCCACCACAAUAUAUUCUGUAACUACGACGACAAAUGCCUAAACCACCAUAACACAUUCUGGUAUUGCUUCUCCAAAUCCACGGUUUCCCCUUCAUCCAAGGUAUGAACAUAUAUUUCUCGGUCCUAACAAAAUUAGUGUUCUUUUAUUUAUUAGAUACUUACCAUGAUAUCCCUAACAAAAUUUUGAAGAAAAAAAUCUCUUAUGAUAAAAAUUAAACCUUCGGAGAUUGACUCUCAUAGAAAUUAACUAAUCAAAUAAGUUAAAGAUUGCAAUUAGAAAAUAUGCAAAUCAAAUUAUAAUAUUUCUUAUCAAUUUGAUGAUGUUGCUCAAAUCUCUUUGAAUUAAAAAAAAUGAUUUUUAAGAAGGUUAGUGAUCUUUGAAUAUUCCAUAAAAAUCAUAUCAAAAAGACUGUGUGUUAAGUACCUUUUGCCAUUUUUUAUUACCUAAUUGUUAGUUGUGAAAGAAAUCUAUUUUCAAGAAUAUCAAGAUACUAUAUAAUCGAUUAAAGUUGUAUAUAAUUGAUUAACUAAACUUUGCAUAUUCGAUUAACACUGACCAUAAUCAAUUAAUAUCAGCAAGUUUUCUAUUUCGCGCAUAAAUCGAAAAAGAGGGACUAGUGAUCAACUACACCUAUCGACCCUCUCUAUGUGUGAUUUACCUUACUAGUAUCCAACACACGACAAACAUGGGAACUGCCUCAACACAUCUCUGGUCCAUCAUGGCAAGCACUAGAACUUCAUCAACAAAUCUCUGGUACAUCAUGGAAAAGGUGAUAAUUGACUCAACAAAUCCUUAGUCCAUCAUGGCAAUGGUGGAAACUUCCUCAACAAAUCAUUGGUUCAUCAUGGCAAGCGCAAGAACUGCCCCAAAAACUACUUGGUUGAAUCAUAGCAAGUGCAGAAACUGCUUCAAAAAAUCCCUUGUUCAUCAUUGAAAGUACGGGAACUACUUCAACAAAUCUCUGGUCCACCACAAUAUAUUCUGUAACUACGACGACAAAUGCCUAAACCACCAUAACACAUUCUGGUAUUGCUUCUCCAAAUCCAUGGUCCUAACAAAAUUAGUGUUCUUUUAUUUAUUAGAUACUUACCAUGAUAUCCCUAACAAAAUUUUGAGAAAAAUAUAUCUUAUGAUAAAAAUUGAACCUUCGGAGAUUGACUCUCAUAGAAAUUAACUAAUCAAAUAAGUUAAAGAUUGCGAUCAGAAAAUAUGCCAAUCAAAUUAUAAUAUUUCAUAUCAAUUUGAUGAUGUUGCUCAAAUCUCUUUGAAUUAAAAAAAUGAUUUUUAACAAGGUUAGUAAUCUUUCAAUAUUCCAUAAAAAAACGUAUCAAAAAGACUGUGUGUUAAGUACCUUUUGCGAUUUUUUAUUACCUAAUGUAAUAAUUUAAGGUUGUUUAGAACCUAUAAAUACUUUAUUCUAGGGGGGAAUUCAUUUAAUUUUAUUUGGAGCCAAAUAAUUAUUUUUUUUACUCACUUGCGAGUAUUACAAUAAUUUAUGGGCUUUAGAAAAAUUACUAAUCACUAAAGAAAGUAUUUUUCCCUGAAAUAAAACCAAUUAAGUGGAAAUUUGUAAAUAAAUUUUAAUUUGAGAUUUUCUUAAUAAAAGUGAAAAUCUGGAUUUAUUGCAUAAUUGGAUAUUACCAAUUUUUAUUUAAACAUGUUUUGAUGAAUGGAAUAAAUACACAUGAUAGUCUAUUCCCGAAAAUAAACCUAUGGCUAUCAGCAAUGGCAAGAAAUAAGGGGCUGAUAUUUUCAUACAAUUAAAGGAGAGAAAUCCUCUCCCAUUUAAUGUGGGUGAUUUGUGUCAAAAUAAAAACAUUUGCUUUUUUGCAGGUAUAAAUAGAGUAGCUUACCACUAAAGAAAGACAGCUAAAAAAUCAAAAAACAUACUCACUCUCCUAUCUGAAAUUCGUUUGAAUUGUUUAUAGAAAAAAUAGCAAAUAAAAUAUUUUGGCGAUGACACCCUAAAAAAUAGCAAAAAAAUACUUCGAAAGUUUUAUCCUCUCAAAUAAAUAAAAAGUAGAAAAAUUCAUAAUACCAACAAAUUGCCAUCAUACAAAAAGAUAUCAGAAAACAUCCUCCAACAUAGAAUGCAAUACUAAAAAAUCAUAACACAAAGAAGCUAGAAAAAAUGGAACAUCUUGCACAAGAAAUAUAUCAAAAUUCCCUAUAGUUCAUCAAACAAUAGAGAAUUUUUUAAUAAGAACAAUGUAGUCUUGAUUCCCUAUUGUUCAUAGGGAUGCAUAGGAGCAAGAUCACAUCUUAUCAGACACAACAAAAAAUAAAUAAUAUUUUCCAUUUUAUUAAUAAUAAAAUAAUCAAACAAAUUUUAGGGUAUAAACAAUCCAUUUGUUUAGGGAAGGGUACCGUUUAGAAUGGGCAAAGAGGGUGCUAGUACUUUUCUUAUUUCAUAACUGCCUCGUGAACUUGGAUAACAAAAAUCCAAAUCCCAAUGUGAUUGGGCUAAAAAAAUCAUACAUUUUUUACCAUAAAAUAUAGUGGUGACACUGAGAUGGUUACACAGCUGAAAAUUGGGCGUGACAAUAUGUAUAUAACCCAAGGUGGGUAGCUUUCGAAAAAAAUUCUAUUAAAUUCAGUUACUAAAUAAAAUAAUAUAUUCUUUUACAUCCGUCAAGUGACCGAAUGAUAAGAGAAUACAAUGAAGUUCCUAAUUUGAAGUGCAAAAUAAAAUAAAAAACAAAAAGUCCGUUGAGAUUCUACAACGAAUAUCUUAGGCAAAAGUUAUGGCAAAUGAAGUUUUAACAUUAAUAAAAUCAAAUGGAAUCCUUCAUGAGAAUAUAUCCGCCUAACUCUUAGGUCAUUCUUAUCACAACCCAAGAAAUUCACUUGAUAGUUGAAUGUCAUGUUAGAAAACUAUUGAAAAUAGGAUAAAGAAGAAAUGUGGGUGUGUGAAACACAUAUUUUUAAGCCUUAUUUUAUUUUCUUUGAAACCUUUAGCUAGACCAUGGUACAAGCCUAGAAGAUCUUAUUGAGGAUCAAUUUGCCUAAGAUGCACUCCAAAGUAAAUAAAAGCCCACUCCACUAUUCACAUAAAAUUUUGAUAAAAAUGUCUCAUCUUUAAUGCAUUGAAUUAAAUUCAUUCUCUGUCACUAAUAUAAUCAUCACCAUAUCAAUAAUCAUACCCCAGACACAAAUUAAAUUCAAUCAUCUACACAAACUCAAACGCAAAUUAAGUUCUAUCAUCACCAACACAUUAAAACAAGCCCAACCAGAAAUGAAGUUUUAUCAUCGCCACCACACAAGUGAUAGCCCAAACAUUUCACAAGCUUGCAUGAUAAGCCAAUAAAGCACAGGAAACAUAUAAGCCUCUCAAAACUAGGGCAUUUUUUAAGAUUUGUGAUCUAAAGUCCAUUGAGACAUUUUGAAUGGAAUGACAACUCUUAAUAUCAUAAAUUGGGACAAUUUUUUGGUUCAUUCCUUUUUCUCAUGUGAAAAGGUUACAAAAAGCCCAAAAUUGGAGUAAUGAUGGAAUUUCUCAUCAUGGCAUUGCAAGAAAAAAAAACAUUCAACCAAGUAGGACUAAGAUCUUAAUAUUACAUACAACAAGGAUAUUCAAGAAUAAUGUCAGCAAUAAAUCAGACACAUAGUCUACUUACUGUCAAAUCAAACCAUCACAGUUGAGGAUGUCUACUAUCUUAUUAAAAAUACAAUAGUUUGGUGAUUUUACAAUAUUAGACAUCUUCAAAACUUGACACUUGGUUUUUUUUGGGGUAAAUUUGUAAUAGAAAUUUUUAUAAAAUAAAAAACGAAAAAGUAAUGCCUGAGAUAAAAAAUCUUUACUAAAAUGUACUUUAUAGCAGUGUCGUCAUAUUUCAGCAGGAAAAUUACCUGCAUGAGUGCCAUGUGUAUCCCACUAUGUUAAUGGCAUUGAUGACAUUUAUUACAAUGUACCUUUCAUUUCUGCUUUUUACCUAUACCUCUUCAAUUUUCUUCUUCAUGAUUCUUCUUCACAUGUAUUCUCUUAUUACUCUUAUUUCUUCUUUCUUAUCUAUAUAUCUUUUCAAUUUUCUUCAUGUGCAGACCCUUUCAUUUCUUCUCUCUUCCCUAUACCUCUUCAAUCUUCUUCUUCUGUGUGCAUUUAAGUAUCAAUAACAUUAUUCAUAGUAGCUUCUGUGUGCAUUUAGAAAUUGGACCUUUAAGGUAGUCGUCUCUCUAGAAGUGAUCCUUUAAUAUCAUAGUAGUUUGUCCAUAAACACUUUCAAGGUUAUGAAAUUUCGUUCGUUUAUUUUAUAGUUUUUUGAGUUAUGAAUGUUGUUAAAACAAAUUAUGACCUCCUCUGACAUUUCUUUAUGCACAUUUCUAAUGAGUUACUUAUUCUCUAAUAGUGUAUGACAUUGUCUCUGAUAUUAUAAAAUGCAUUACUAAUGACUUAUGAUUGAUCUCAGUUCACAAUAUUGUUACUAUGUUCUAGAUUCAAAAAUAUUUGCAUAUUUUAGUACUGUUAAUGUGUGUUAGUAAAUUUAUGAAGUUGAUUGUAUGCAUGUCCAUUGUUGGUGGAUGGUCAUUUUUGAACAUUAUAAUUAUACUAUUUAAUAAUUAUUAACAUUAUAAAUAUAGUGGGAAAUAAUGUCAUCAAAUCAGUUUCUUACUUUAUAGUACUCUUAAUGUGUGUUAGUAAAUUUAUGAAAUUGACUCUCUACAUGUCUGUCAUUGCAUGUUGGGUGUUCAUUUUUGAACAUUACAAUUAUAAUGUUUAAUCAUUUUUAACAUUAUAAAUAUAAUGAGAAAUAAAGUUAUCAAAUCAUUUUCUUACUUUUUUUUGUUAUCUUCUUCGGAAUAGUUCUUAUUCAUUUAAGUCUAUGUCUAAUAGCCUUUGUUUAAUAGACUUUGUUAAUACAUAAAACAUUUCACAUAAAUCUGACAUUCUGUAAAUAUUAAUCUGUUUUGGUGUCUUUUCUAUAAGUUUGUCACAAUUUUGUUUGUUUAUUUUUUCAUUAUUCCGUUUUCUGUAUUUUUUUGUAGUUAUGCAUAUUAGCCUUCUUUAUUAUAUUUUGUUCUUGUGGCUACAUAAUUUUUCAAUCAAGAUUUGUUUAUUUUGUGAAGUCUAUGUUUAAUAGACUUUCUUGAUUAGUGCUUCUGAAGUUACAGAGGGCAAUUAAGUCUUUUUUAAAUAUCUUCAAUUAAGUAUUUCUUUUCUAGCAGUGGCUAUACUUUCAUAUUUUUGGCCUUAAAAAUGUCAACUUUAUACUUUUUGUUCUCAAAUAUAUAUUUGUUAUAUAACAAAUAUAUAUGGUAAACAGGUAACAAAAUUUCAUACUUUUCUAGCAAUUAUCAUACUUUUAAAUUUUUAAUACUUUUCCACUAGUGCUGAUACUUUUUGGUGACUUGUGUCAUUUUCUUCCUUUUCUAGUAGUGAUGAUAUUUUCACAUUUUUUAGUCUUAAAAAUGUGAACUUCAAUACUUUCUAUUCUUCAAUUUGUUAUAUUUCUUAUAUUUUUGGGUUUUAAAUGUGAUCUUUCUCCCGUUUUGUGGCUUAAAUAUAUCUUGAAUAUAUAUUUGUUACAUGCAUGGGUCUUCCGAAGGUUAUUGUUUGAAUAAUUUUGUUAUCUUCUUCCUUAUCCAGAAGCGAUAUACUUUCAAAGUUGUUGAAUUUGUAUUGACCUCUUAUGAUAUUCUUGAUACAAAUUUUUAAUGACCUACUUAUUGUUUAAUACUCUAUGAAAAUGUCUCUAGUAUUAUAAAAUGCAUUAGUAAGGACUACAGUUUUAGAUACAACAAGUUUCUUCAUCAUUUUUAUGUGGCCUUACUUUUGUUUCUUUUUUACUUAUGAGUUUGAUUCUCUGCAUCUCACUUAUGCACUCAUUUUAUAAUAUAUCAUUAGCAUUUUGUUUAUGAAUGUUGAUUUUUAUAUUACCUCUACUAAUUUUUAGUGUUUUAUGAGCUCUUGAUUCUCUCCUACAUCAUUAUAUACUAUGAAUAAACUAUGCAUACAACAUCAUUAUGUUGUUUUAACUAAUAUGUCAAUCUACACCUUUACAUACAUUAACUUUCUUCAUUAUGUCAAAAAAUUAGUCUUUCAACAUUGAAUCAAGCUCAAUAAUAAACUAAGGCCUUUACAUUAUGAGGUGUUUUAGUUAAUAACUCCCCUCUAUAAAAUAAGUAUUCACAUAUCUUUUUUUUUUUAAAAACCUUCACAUUUCUUUACAUUAUGUGCCAACUUUGAAUAUAAUUUUAUUUUGUUGUUAUAUUCAUUGCUACAAAAAGUUGUUCAUUAAAAAUAUAAAUUUUUAUCAUUACUGAUAUUGUUCAUUUCGUUUGUUUAUAUUUAUGAUUUAUGAUCAUUAAUAUAUUAAUGAGUUUGAGAGAAUUUUUUAUAUACCAAUAUCAUAUUGAUAUCUUGCCCCUUUGACAUGAUCAAGGAUUUGAGCGAGUCUAAACACCUUCGGAAGAUUACAGUUAGGAUCAUAGAAAUCUGGUAUGUAUAAAUACGACCCAAACCUGGACAUCAGGAAAUGUAUAAAUUUGUAUAGAUUUACUGAAGAGUAUAUGUUUUAUUUCAGUUGUGAUGUGGAUAGAUUUGGAGAUAUAUUUAAGAGUAUAUUUUUUAUUGGACAAUUUAACAUUUUAUUCCAUUGUAUUUAAGACUUUCAACUUUGACUAGAAAAUUUAUUGCGAACAUCAAGUGUAUUUGUUAUGUGAUUUUCACAUGUAGUAAAUGGAAAAGUUUAAUGUGACCCUUUAACCAUAGGGCU